GCAGCGCGAAGCUCGUCGUAAAGCGGAGAGUCCGGGUUAGCGAACAAGGCAGGGAGUUGCAUGCCAGCUGGCGCGUCCCAGUUCCAAAACGGCAACGCGAACGUCGGAUCGUCUAUGAGUUUGGCCAAGAUUCUUUCGUGGAAGUAUAGGUAGUAACGAUGGAAGGGGAAGAAAAGCCAGCAUUGAUGGAUUUGGAGCUCGAGGUUGGGGAAGCCGACUUGGUCGUACGCGCCGUCGCAAUAGGCACAGUGGAGAUCGGCUUGCUGGGUGAAGCUACGCGGAUCGUCGUCCGGGAGGGCUUUCAUGAGCUCGAUGGCUUUUGAAUAUUUUUCGAUGUAGGCUUUAUCCACGGUGUGAGCUGCCGGCCUGACGCGGAGUUUGGUAGGGGAGGGGAAUUUGAAGUCUACGAUUUUUUGGGACGUUGGCGGGCAACAGUUGGUCGGGACUGCUCCACUUGGAAAGUCCGCAGCUCCGCAUUUGGCUAGGUCAGGCGGCGACACUGGCUUUGCAACAGCGAAGGGGUCGCUGCCAAGACCAGCCACUCCACCGUAUAGGCUUCCGAGACCUAUAAGUACAUUUCUUCUGUCUAGGUUUACUGGAGAAGGGUUUUCAUGGUCGUGAUCGUUGGAGCUAGUGGAAGGGUUUUUGUUUUGGUCACUACUAUUAUUUGUGGCUUUGCAUGAGACAGCUUGUAAAUUGGAAUGCCUAGGGUUUCCAAAUGAGGAUAUUCGGUGAUACUUUUGGGAGAAAGGGGAGAGGAAAGUUGUGGGGAUGAUACUUGUGGCGGAGGUGACGAGUGGAGCUGACAUAGAAGCCAUGGUUACUUUUGACUCUGAAUAAUACGUUGUAUUGGCUUUGCUUUUAUAAUGUGUUCUAGGUUGUACUUUUCUUUGCACAGGUGGCAGGCCGUACACACGUGGUCGGUCCUUAAGGGUUUGACGAGGAAUACUACGUAGUCAUUUAGUACAGGACAACCAUACACUAUAGCAAGUGGCAUGUAUUUAGAGAUCGAGAGAGAAUUGGGUAAGGUUCACGAGGGAUUUGUAGUUUCAGAAGGUGAAUUGGUUUUGGUCUUCUUGUGUACCAAUAAUAUUUACUUAGUCAUUUAGUGCAGGACAACCAUGCACUAUAGCAAGUGGCAUGUAUUUAGAGAUCGAGAGAGAAUUGGGUAAGGUUCACGAGGGAUUGUAGUUUCAGAAGGUGAAUUGGUUUUGGUCUUCUUGUGUACCAAUAAUAUUUACUUAGUCAUUUAGUGCAGGACAACCAUGCACUAUAGCAAGUGGCAUGUAUUUAGAGAUCGAGAGAGAAUUGGGUAAGGUUCACGAGGGAUUGUAGUUUCAGAAGGUGAAUUGGUUUUGGUCUUCUUGUGUACGGCUGUGGGUCUGCUGUCCCGGACUCUCUGUCUCAUUUGUGUCUUAUUUUUUAUUUUUUCACACGUGUCUUUUACUUAACGUCAAAUCAUGAUAGCAAUGUUAUGCAAUUGGGAGCUAAACGACCGAUGCUUUUAUUUUUUAGUUUGCUUUUUUUCCAGAUCUGAUCAAAUCAUGAUAGCAAUGUUAUGCAAUUUUCAAGAGGGAAAGAUGCACCUGGGAGAGAAACGGUACGGUGACUUCUAAAUCACCGUCCAACAGAACAAUUCUCAGUAGAGACUACUAGAGAGAGAUGCACCUCACCAAUGAAAAAUUUAACUGCAAAAAUUCUGGGUAUUGGGUAAGGAAAUUCGGUGAUACUUUUGGGAGAAAGGGAAGAGAGAAGUUGUGGGGAUGAUACUUCUCGUGGAGGUGACGAGUGGAGCUGACAUAGAAGCCAUGGUUACUUGACUCUGAAUACUACGUUGUAUUGGGUUUGCAUAUAUAUAUAAUUAGGAUUGAAGGAUGUAGAGCUUAUUUUGUUAUGUAUUUUAACGAUUUAAGUGCUUAUCUUUUAGGUUUUCUCUUAAACAUCAUGUCUAUAAAAAAUCACCAAAAUUCAAACCAUAUGACCAUUAGAUCCAUAGUCAUUUUAGUGUUUAUUUGUAAAAUGUAUUCAUUCAUUUUCUUCACUACAAAUGAGUGAAUUAAUGAUUUUAGAAUUUGUCUAAUUUUUUACAUUGAUUAUUUAUGAAUGUUGAAUUGAAAUUUAGACGAUUCAAAAAUAGUUGAUAUGCAUUACAAAAUGAACUCCACAAAAUAAGUGUCAAAAUAUGUAUAAAAAAUGGACAGCGUGAAUGGCUUGGAAAUUGGAAUAGGUUUGAAAAUUGUGCUUUUUGUAGCAAAUUUUAGCAAAGUUUGCUUGGACUUUCACAACCGUAUAAAUUAAAGGGAAACUUGAUAUAACUCCAAUUUUUUGAGCCAAUAGUAGGAAUAGUCCAGUUUAUUAAAAUAAGUUCAAUUCUUUAAAUUUAAUUAUUUAGUUAUCAAUAAUUAUCUCUUAAAAGAAAAAACUUAUUGUAAAAAUCAAAUUUCUUCCUAAUUAUCUCUUUGAUUAUUUCUUUUUAUUUAUUUAUUUGUUAUUUCUUGUUCUUCCUCCUGCUUUAACCCAUUUAUAGAUUUUUUUUUUAAUUUUAUAAUCAACCUAUGUCACAGGUUAAUUGUAUUUAUCUACCUAUAUGACAUAUUCUUUUUCAUAGUCAACAUUUCACAGAUUAAUGUGUCUUGCUUGUAGAUAUAUUAUGUUUUUUUCUACCUUUUAGUUAGGUUUCAUAUCUCACUUAUAGGUAUAAUAUACAUUCAUAUAUUUGCUACUUGAGUUAGGGUAGAAUGUUUUGCAGAUAGAUUUAUGUUAGUAUAUUAAUUUUUUUUUGUUUAUAAGAUAUUAAUUAGAUAUUUUGGAGUUGAAAAAUGCAUAAUAUUAAAAGCUUUUAAUUGAUUUUUAAUAUUUUUAGAAAAUAUAAAAGGAGUAUAAAAGAAAUCAAAACAUAUAAUUAGAUAACGGGAGUCACUCCUAAAAACACUCUAUGUUUUUUGACCUGGAUCUUAAAGCCCCUAAAUUAAACUGUUCGCUUUGUUGGGAAAAAGAAGUGGCCCUAGUUUCCCUUUGAUUUUUCAAGCACGGUGGGAGACUGGUCAUAGUUUCUAGAUUGAUGCUCUAAUUCUAAUGUUAUACAACGCGUACGCUAUAAUAUUUUUAUCAAAAUAUUAGUUUUAGUGUUAUCAAAACAAUAUGUUAUUCUUACCAUGUUUUUGUAUCACAAUUAUAUACCACCUUAGAUGGUAUCUGAUGUGGACAGCCACAUCAUUUAAAUUAAUAAGCAUUUAAUUUCAAAAUGUUAAUCAAUAAUUAAUAAAAAGAUUGUUAAUUAAAUGAUGAUUGUGGUAUACAAGGAGUCUCCUUCUUCCUUCCUCUUUCCAUUCUGCUUUUUCUUCUUACCUCUUUUUUUUUUUUAAUGCCAGUUUUGUAUUGAUUUCUGUUGAUUUCCAUGAUUAUGGUCAAUCUUUAUAGAAUUUACUAGUAUGCCACAAUCACCAUUGAUUUCUAUCUCCAGACUCAUGCCCCGUAGCCCUAAUCCUCAUUCCCCUUCAAGUAUUUCUGUCUCCAAUCUUCUUUGGUACUCCAUGAUUGUUCAUCUCGUGAUAUUUUUUUUUUUGAUUAUUUCAUUAAGUAACGCUUAUUAGCUUUCAUGCGAAUUAGGAGUCAAAAUCAAAUUUGUCUAUCGGAUUAGGGUUCAUACCCAAUUAAGUUACUAACGCCAGAGGGAUUUUGAAGUAUGCAAUUUUCCUUAUUUAAGUGUUUUAAUUAAUAAGAAAAUUGAAAUUAAACAAUUUAGCUUGUCCAACUCAUCUGCCACCUAAGAUGGUAAAUAAAUGUGGUAUAAAAUUGUGGUAAGAAUAUCAUUACUCUUAUCGAAAUUACAAAAAAAAAAAAAAAAGCUGAUUCAAUAUUUAGUUAUUAAAAAAAAAAUGAUCAAGUAACUAUCCAAUACCCAUGUAUUGGGUGCUUUGUUUGAAAAUUUUCAAAAUGAUAUUGGGCUCGUUUGGAUAUGUUUUUAAAAUGACUGAAAGCAUUUUUAGAGAAAAUAUUUUUUUGAUUCCAAAAGCACUUAAAGUGCUUUCUGCAAGAAGCACCCGUUAUGUGCUUCUUCCUGGAAGCACUUUAAGUGUUUUUCCAGCAUUUACUUGCUUUUUUACUAAGGACUGGUUCCAAAAACAUUUUCACAAAAAGUGUUUUCAGUCAUUUUAAAAGCACAUUCAAACGAGCUCAUUGUUUUUCCUAUUUUAAUCGAGUGCGUCGUCCUCUGUUGAGAAUGAAUCUCAUAUUAUGGGAGGAGGGAUCUUGCAUGAAUGGGAGGAGGGACCUUGCAUGAGCUUAUAAGUAAGUUGGGUUACUCUCCAUAUUGCCAAAAGAAAUUUUAUUUGGACCCAGUUUUCCUCUCUCUAAACCCAACUUUAAUAUUUUGUUACCUAUAAACUCUCUAGUUUACCCUCAUAAAUUAUAAACAUAAAUAAACUAGAAAAAGAAAAACUCAUCAAACCCAUUUCCCAACUGUUCUGGCGUCUCUUCCCUGUAUUUGUUGGGUCUGUCUCCCUCCCGACUGUUUUUUUUUUUCUGAUAUCUCUGUGUGUUCCCCCACCUCUCCCACACCCACCAAUUCUUUGUGGUGGCUAUUCCACCAAACGUCCAGUGAAUCUUUCCAUUUUUCUUCUAUUGCGCGUGAUAGGGCCUUGCUAUUAAUAGGCAAAACUAAGCGGCAUCGUCGACUCCGUAAGCGACUUGUUGCAUAAGUCCAAAAUGGAGUCAAAUGGAUUUUGUAUUGGGUCGGGUUGUUGAAGGCGAUGGCUGAUUUAGCAAUCCCGCCUAACUAUUUCUAUAUGUAGGAGAAGGAAGAGGGAGGGAGGUCUGAAGUGGUGGUUGAGUGGUGGCGAUGUAUGUGGGUUCUCUCUCGGUUGAAUGGGUGUAGAAAGAUAUUUAAUUUUCAAUAUCUUAUUUUAUUUUGUAUAAGGGAUAAUAUAGGAAUUACAUAAAAAGUUUUUUUUAUAGCUAGGUGUAGAAAUAGUAUUGUUGGGUCUAAAUAAAAUUACCCUAUUGCCAAUUAGUUUUAUGGUGAAAUCUUAACUUUGUUCAUGCUUUCAUAGUAGGUUGUUCCACGUGUGAAGUCAAACAUCCACACGCGCUGCACGUCACCCCGUUGUGUUGUUCACGUGUUAAGCUUGAAAAUUCAUCACACAUGAGGGAGCGUGUUGAGAAUAAAUUCCACAGUUUAUAAGUAAGUUGUACUACUCCGUAUAUUACCAAUUAAUUUUGUGGAAUUCCGUCAAAGCUGAAUUUGACGGAAAAAAAUAACUUCAUGUUUGUUCUUAACUAUAAAGUCAGUGAUACACUAAUUCUGGUUUGUUUGUUUUUUCCUUCCUUCUUAAGGAAAUUCCCAAUCCAACCAAAAAAAUGAAAUUCCCAAGAGAAUAGUAGCACGAACAAUCGUAGCUUUCUUCUUCGAUAAGCCUUGGGGAAACAGAAAAGGGAAAACCGGACUUUAACCCUAAUUUCUCCCAAUGCCGCAGCACUCUCUAUUUUCUCUCUCGCUCUAUAUCGCGGUCCCUCUCUCUCGCCGUCCUCUAUUGCUCAAACUCAAUGUCUCCAACUUCCUCUGUAUGGUUCCCGAGGAAGAUGGUAAAACAGUAAGGGCAAGAAAUUGUGACAAGGUUAGAUUUGGGUAUUAAUCUGGUGGGGCUACAAUUCUCCAAUCCACACCCCUUUCAUCUGUGCUAGUGUUUGAACCCAAUAUUAGAUAACCGGUCCAUGCAAUCGAUGCCGUUGAAUGAGAAAAAUUCUAGGCCGUGGGAUCAAAUAUAAUGAUGUGGAUUAAAUAAGGAAAAUUUAAAGAGUAAUGAUAUUCAUACCAUGUUUUUGUACCACAUUUUCAUACCACCUUAGGUGGCAUUUGAUGUGGAUAGCCACAUCAUUUGAAUUAAUCAGAUUUUAAAAUUUAGUUGAUUAUUUAAUAAACUAAUAAUUAAGAAAAACUAAUUAAUUAAAUGAUGAUUGUGAUAUACGAGGAGUCUUUCUCGUUCAUUUCUUUGGGUUUUGCAAAUUUUUCAAAUGAUGUGGCUGUCUACAUCGGAUGCCACCUAAGGUGGUAUAGAAAUAUGGUAUAAAAAUAUGGUAUGAAUAUCAUUACUCAAAUUUAAAUGUUUAUCUUGGUUAAAUUACCAUGAUAAUAUUGUGGAAUUAUCUUUUGCAUAACGGAAGAGCGAGAAAAGUCCAAGGGUGUAGGGAAGUUGUGUGGUUGACUACCGCUAUUUUGAUGGUAUAAUCUGUAGAGUAAUAUUACAUUUAACAUCUAUUUGUAUCAUAUUUCUAAUAAAGAUAAGGACCAUCAAUGCAUAAAUAAUUAAACAAAUAUAUAAUAAGAGUAUCAUUUUUGUAACUAGAAUAGGAGAAGAAAGACUUCAAGAUGGGAUCAGCCAAAUAAUUAGCGUUAAGAUAAAAAUAUUGAAAGGAAAACUAAUGAAAAUGGCUUGAAAACUUUGAGUUUUAACGAUAAGGACAAGAUAAAGGGUAAAGUGAAUAGUACCAGGAUUGACUUUUUAAUGUAAAAAUAUAGUUUUUCGUUAAAGUGAACAUUACCGGGAACUUUUCGUUAAAGUUUCCAAUGAGAUAAUAUUGCAACAGCUGGCAUGAGACAAUGAUGGUAUAAAGAUGGCUACUACGGCCAAACUACUACAUAGGAUUCCAUACAUGCGGUCAUUAUUUCGACAAAUCAAUGGCUGCCGCAAUCAUGUGCUCAUUAUUCCGACAAAUCAGUAGCUACUUGCAUUGGAUUAGGAUUGCAUGCGUGUGGUCAUUGAAUGAGGAUUGCGUGCACGUGAUCUUUAUUCAAACAAAUCACUAUUGACCAUAUAUUGCAAUUGGUUAAUGGUAGGCAAAUUGAAUUUUUACAUCAAAUAAUGUGAUUGCUGAUAAUUGAAUUAUUAUUUAAAUGUUGAUUAAUAUGCUUAUUUUUUAUUUGUGAUAUAUCAUUUAAUUUGUACAUUUAGUUUACCUAACAUUACCAACUGUAAUUUGUAUAAAUGGACUGGUACCUAACAUAACCAGUUGUAAUUUGUAUAAAUGGGACUGUAAUUUGUAUAAAUGGACUGGUGCCUAACAUUACCAGUUGUAAUUUGUAUAAAUUUACUGGUCCCAAGAGCACAUGCUACUGCUCAAGAAGCAAAGUUCUUAUUUGCCCAAAAAAAAUCAUGGUUUUUUAAUUGAUGCUCUCAUUUUAAUUUACUAGCCCCUUACUUGGCCUUUUUUAUUUAUCAUUUUAUACAUAUUAAUAUUUUUUUGUAAAAUAUAUUAGUUUGAGUUUUAUUAAAAUUAAAAAUAAAUAAAAAAACUUAGUUUUAGUUUUAUCAAAUUAAAAAAAAAUGACUUAAUAUUUAGUUAUUGAAAUUGUAAAAAAGUGAUCAAGUAUUGGGUGCUUUGUUUGAAAUUUUUCAAAAUGAUAUUGUUUUUACCAUUGAAACCCUGUUAUAUACAGUGAUGGCUAAUUUGUCAAGUUCUACGAAGUUGGGAUACCCAGCGUUUUAGCAUAUAACAUAGCUUAGUAUUACAAGCAUAAUUAAUUAAAAUAAAGGCAAAAUAAGAGGAUAGCUUAGUAUUACAAGCAUAAUUAAUUAAAAUAAAGGCAAAUUGUAACAGCCCGUCCCUAAAAAUGACGAUUUUAUAAUCUUAACACGUGAGUUUAUGAAGAUGCCCUUCGAGGCAAAGUGUUGACUACCGCGUCGUGUCAUGUGAGACUCAUCUUCUUGGCGUAUUCUCGUUUUACUCGUCGCUACGGAUGCGUGGGCGCAAACGACACGUGAUUUGGAGCUAUAACAAAAGAGUUAUUAACAUUUAAAGUUAAGGACAUUUUAGUAAAUUAAUUAAUUUCAGAUUUUGUUGAGGGGAAAAUCUGGAGUGCCAUGUGGGUGGCCCAGAUUAAAGGAAAUGAGGAAUGGAUGGUGGAGGUGUAAAGGAAAGAAGAUAAAAGAAAAAUGAGAGGAAAUGUGUGACUAAUAGGGAGAUGAGAGAGUUAGGAUGGCCCAAUUAGAAACAAACGAAAGGAGGAAAAAGGAGAGAAGAGGGGAGCAGGGGAUCCCUUCAACCCGGUUCCACUUUCCGACCCGACCCGAUCCUUUUCAUCUUUUCCGGUGGUUUUUCGUCAGUUUUUCCGGCGAACCACGUUAUCUAACCCCGUUGAAAAUGUUCCACGACCUUCCCUCUACCAUUACAACCCAAAAUUGUAGAAAUUUAGCCAUGAAAGUAUGAAAACCGCACCGGUGGGUGCGGGAAACCUUUGUCGUCGAUUCUCCCAUUAUUGAAACGAUUUUCACCAAUUAUCACCACCUACAGCAUCCUCUUGAGGUCUGGAAUAAAGCCCAAACAAGUUUUGGGGCGUUGGAGUUCGUUUAAGGUCGAAUUGAGCACACCCAAAUUCAAGGGUUCCGUACCGUUCAUGGUGAUUUGAGGUGUUUCUCGGCCAAAUUGGCCUUAGUCACAAGUAUGAAAGUUGCUCCACUCGUUGAGAUCUUCAUUUAUGUGAAAUUUGAGAAUUUUUUGAAAUAUUUGGAUUUUCCAGCGAGUCGGGGUGGCGGACCGCCACCGGCAGCAGCGCAUGGCCAGUGGUCCACCAAUGUCAUUUUACGUUAAAUUGAUAUCUUGAUUUUAGAUUUGAUGUCUAUAUGUUAUGACUUGAUUAUGUGAACCUAGUUUGAUUAAGGUGCGUUAAUUGGUAAAAAUAUGAAACGACGAUCCGACCGUGGGAUCGUCACCAAACUUUAAUAUGUUAUAGUACAUAAUAUUUGAGAAUCAUAGGGACUGACAGAUAGGAAAUCCGAGAUACAGAUCUUCCCGAAAUGGAAUUGUAAGUUUGAAGAAUAAACGUUAACCGCCACUUUGUUUUGACUAUUGGUGGAGAUCCAACCGUUGGAUCAUAAUGAAAUUUUAGGAUGAUGUUUUAGAAGCAUAAUGUGGAUCUUUGGAAGUUACUGAUCGGAAAUCCGAGGAGUGAAUCUUCCGAAUUGAAUUACGUAGGGUUGUGGACCUUACCGUCGAUCGUUGACCGAUGAUCGACUUUUGGUCAAUGGGGCUUAAAUCAAUCUAAAACGUUUUUAGGGAUGUGUUUUACGUAAAUUACAUGAUCUAUUGAUAAGAAUUAUGAGAUGUGGUUUGAUAAUUGUCCUAGGUGCCGAUCGUUAGGAACGCUUCGAUGGUUAUGCUAGGAAAUUGUAGCACAGACUCCUUGUGAGUGAAUCUUUUCCUUCUUAUCAUAUAUAUAUAUAUAUAUAUAUAUAUAUAUAUAUGAUUGACAAUUCCACAAACGUUUAUAAAUUGAUUAUUGCAUAUAACUACUGUGAAUACUUUGAAGUACUUAUGCGAACUACGAAUGGCUUGAUCCGUGUUUAGGGUACGUAGGCAGUCUAACAAGACGUUAGAUGUAGUCAUACAAUAAUUGAGAUUAAACAAUUGAGAUAAAGCCUUGUUUGGGGAACUGGGCAAGGUGAAGGAAUUUGGUAAAAAGGUGAGAUUUAACCUUAUGAAUUGGUGAUUAAAUGUUGGUCAUAAAUCAAUGUGUAAAGAAUCAAGAAUUUGAAGUAAGGAAACGUAAGUAAUGAUAAUUAAUUAAACUAGUGUCUAGUUGGGCUUGUCACCUAUAAUUAUCCCCGAAAAUGAAUAAUUCGGGAGUAGGGCGUUACAGCUUCUGCAUUUUUAUGCCACAUUAUAUAUAUAUAUAUAAUUGGAAAUGCUAUAACAUGGUUGAGUAUCAGAUUUCAUCAUGGUUUAUCUAUAUGUAUAUUACCUGCACACAAUUAUUAUGAACGCGUUGAAGUGCAAAGGUGAAUGCACGACACCCAGGUAAGUUCAGGUGAGUUUAUGGUAUUAGUUGAAAUGAUGGGGUUAUGGUAUGACUACAUGUAUGUUUAGGUUGCAAUGAUAGGCAACUCCAACACUGUCGUACAGGUUGCCCAUGAAUUGUACAUGUUACAAUAGAUACAGUUAGAGCUCAUAAACCUACACCCCGGUGUUAGUACUCCCGCUCGUGGCCAGGGCACAGUCCUUCACGUGAUGUUCACCUCCCGCACCUUACGCUCACCUUGGAUCCAAGGUAGGUGCACAAUCAUGUCGUACCACUAUAGGUGGUUCCGACUCGUAGAUGACCCGCGAUUAUUUGCACAGUCUUCACGUGAUUGUAGCACUUGAGCGUAUUUAUUUACACCCAGUUCUAUUGUACAGACCACUUUAGGUGGUUCCGACUCGUAUGCAGGUAUACUUAUUAAGCUAUGGAUAAGUCGUACAGGUCACUAGAAGUGACUCCGACUUAUGAGCUAGCAUAUGUGAUGAGCUAGCAUAUGUGAUGAGAUAAGUGAUGAGUUAGUAUAUGUAAUGAGAUAUGUGAUGAGCUAGCAUAUGUGAUGAGAUAUGUGAUGAGCUAGCAUAUGUGAUGAGAUAUGUGAUGAGCUAGCAUAUGUGAUGAGUUAGCAUAUGUGAUGAGCUAGCAUAUGUGAUGAGAUAUGGGUAAGUCGUACAUGUCACUAUAGGUGACUUCGACUUGCGUGCUAGUAUGGGUUAUUAAUCACAUGAUUAUUGAUAUUACUGAUGAGAUGCUGUGUUGUGGUAUAUUUAUGAUCUUUCUGGAAACUAUGCAAGUGUUGUAACGAGGGGUUAUAAUGAGGUGUUGUAACGAGGGGUUAUAAUGUUUUAUAUGGUUUCUGUUAAAAUUUUAUUUCUAGGGUCACUCACCCUUAUUUUGUUUUCACCCUCUAGGUUUUAUUAGCUGAGCUUUCUUAUCGUCGAAGAUUCGUGGCGAUUCUUAGUAUUGGAGAUUAUUUCGAGAGUACGAUUCUUAAUUCACUUUACUGUACUUGCUUAAGCUGUAACGUCACGUGUGAAGUGGGUUCAUUUCCGCUUACCAGCGCAUUCUGGUAUUUAGGCACUCUUAGGUUUAAAUUUAUUCACAUUUUUCCACAUCAUCAAACUUUAUGGCUUUGUCACUCUUUAGGUGUCGGCCAGCACAGCUCGAUUUGGAGUCCUAGUGGACAUUCCGGGUCGGGGUGUGUCACAAAUGAAGAGGAUGGUUGAACUUGUUAAGUUUCUUAAGUGUGUCUACUUGAAGUGUGUUGCUAAUAAAUAUUUUGUUGUAGGCAUAAUUUACUGAACAAUUAUGGAGGCAGAGAGAGAGAGAGGGAAUAUGCGGCAUAGAGAGAGAAGAGAGAGAUGUGUAAUUGUGAGGUGUGUUCUAUUCCACCCCAUUGUACCUUUAUUAUAUUAGUAGGGAAAGUUAAUUCCUUACCCUUUUAGGAUUACAACUCUAAUAGGAAAAUAUCUAGUCUAAGAGAUAUGAUAGAAUCUCAUAAGGAUAUCCUAGAUAUGUUAGGAUUUACACAAUCAUAUUCCUAUUCCAAUAAGACUGCAACACAUUUGUAUUUUUUUAGAAUUUUUUUGAUAAUUUGUUGGUAUUCUCAAUUUUUGUUAACAUUGAAAAUAUAACGGUUCAGAUGAAAAACCUUUGGAAAUCCAACAGCUUGCAAGACGUUGGGCUGUGCUGAAGGAAGCUGGGCUGUCACGUGGAUGGGGCCCUCCCUCUCCCUCUUGUUGAUUCAAAGGGCGCAGGCCCGUGCAACAAUUGGCGAGGCAGCCCAUAGAGAUCCUGCGAUUCACCCAUUCGCCAUUUUUUCCACCGCUGGAGCACCAAAAUUCGGUCAAAAGGCAGGGGUAUCAAUGGCAAGGGCAAUUUGGCUUCCGCUGGAGGUGCUCUUUGUCGACUUUGUUUUUUCUCUCAUUUUAGCUUUUGCAGUAAUAUUGAAGUAAUCACUCCAAUUUUAUCCAAACUUUUGUUGUCCGUCAAUUUUUAUCAAAACUAUUGGUUAAUUUACAUAUUCAGACUAACCUUCUCAUUAUUUUUAGUAUUUUUAUCAUAAAUAAUAUCUGAAAUAGUCACAUUUUAUUCAACAACCACUCAAUUAAAAAUUAAUUAGUGUUGUUUCUAAACCAUUACAUCAAGCUUUUGUAGAUACACAUCAAUAUUGCAGCGAUCCGAGGCAUUGUUUUAGUGACGGUAGUACUUUCUACUCCUUGGAUUUGGUGAAUCGGAAAAGAGAAGAGUUACGAGUAAAAGUCCCUCGCAUUGUUUUGGGGAGAUGAAGAUGAUGAUCUUUUGUUUUUGUUUUUUAAUGAUUAAUCCACGCAGCAACAUAUAAUUAAAUUGUUGGGAUCUACUCAAGUUCCAUAUCACACACUAACAUAAAAUUUGACAAACGAAACGAAAUAUGUGUGUAGACAUCGAAAUUUCGUAAAUAAAUGUUGACCGAUAAAUCAAAGUGUCAACGCUCAUGUAUUACAUAAAUUUUACACGUAGCGUGUGACUCAACGAAAAUUGAAAUGAGUUGGAAAAGUCAUCAAAUAGGACACGUGUCAACACCUGGCAGAAACGACUUAUUUCAUCUGGGAUAUUAUAUUCAAAAUUAGCCAUUGGAAAAUUCUAUAAAUACAAGCCCAUUUCAUUCAUUUAAGGAGAGGAAUUCAUAUUACACCUUGAAGCUCUGAAGCUCUGAAACUCCGAAGCUCUCAAGCAUCCAGGUUCCCGAAGAAUCAAGAAAGUGUUCUUCGUUCUUCGUUCAUCGUUCUUCCAAGAUCAAGCCUCGACGGCCCUUGGAUCAACAAUCAUCCACCUUCAAGAUCAAGCCCCGACGGCCCUUGAAGAAAGCGUUCUUCGUUCUUCGUUCAUCGUUCUUCCAAGAUCAAGCCCCGACGGCCCUCGGAUCAACAAUCAUCCACCUUCAAGAUCAAGCCCCAAAGGCCCUUGAAGAACUUCCACCAAUUCAAGAUCAAGCCCCGACGGCCCUUGAAGAAAGCACCAUCGUUCAUCAUCCGUUCAUCCAAGAUCAAGCCCCAACGGCCCUUUAGAUCAACAACGUCGACAAAUCCACACAUCCAACCGUUCUUCAAGAUCAAGCCCAAAAGCCCUUGAAGAUCCGUUCAUCACUGUUCUUCAAGAUCAAGCCCAAAAGCCCUUGGAGAUCCGUUCAUCACUAUUCUUCAAAGAUCAAGCCCAAAAGCCCCUUUGAAGAUCCGCUCAAAUCCACCUUCAAGAUCAAGUCCACGGCCCUUGAAGAACGUUCAUCCUUAGAUCAAGCCCAACGCCCCUUUGGAUCAAUCGCACAUCCACAAAUCAACACCUUACGGAGAUCGAAUCAGAGGAUCAAAAUAGAGAGAGAUUGUAACCCAAAAUCAUCAAAUACAAAUAUUUGUUUGUGCGCGUUGUUCUUGUCUCUUUCGUUUCAGGAAUUUUCCGUGUUCACAAUGUGCUCUUGAAAUCAAAAUGAGGGCACUGCUCCAAGAACAAGAAGGGCACCUUGUCGAGGUCGCCAUCCGCCGUGAGGGAAAACCGGAAGAAGUUGGACAACAAUGAUAACAUCAAUUUGCGGCACCCAUAUCGGGACAUCACACUGUGAAAUAAAUAUUGAAAUAAAUACUCAAAACUCCUGGAAAGUCCUCGAGACAACAAACUUUCAUCUCCUUCAAACAUUUCAUUUUACUAAGUUUUAUCUUUGAAGGGAGGGAAAAAAAGAGAAGAGAGAAUCCUACUCCUUAUUCCUGAAUAUAUUCAAGAAUAGCUAUUGAAUAAAGAGAGAAUGGAGGGUGAUCGAAAGAGGAGGGAAGAGAAUUCUAGUUCCAAACAUAAAAAGGACCACAACUUUUAAAUUAUCAGCACAAUCAUCACCUAAUUGAAGAGACCAUUCACUGUGAAACAUAUUGUCAAUCAGUCUAUCUAUAUCUAUUUAUAUACCAUAUUUUUAGAGUAAGAUUCUCUCACCUCCUAUUACCAUCCCCUUCCAUCCUUUCAUCUCAUACUCUUUUUUUGUUGUCUUAUUCUCUAUAUAAAAAAAUUCAAAACAAGAUGUAUACGUGACGUAAUCGUAACCGUUUAAAUAAGAGGGGAUAGAAGAGAAGAGAGAUUAGGAGAAGGGAGAAUCCUACUCCCACAUUUUUCUUCUUCAUAAACAAAAGAGAGGUUCUAGAUUACUUGACUCUAUGCCUCAUUUUUUUCAUCAAGUAUUUGUGAUAAGUGGGUUCAUUUUCAAGUAUUUUAGUUUUUUUGUCAAAAUUGAGAAAACUGAAAAUCAAACAUUAAUAUGAAAAAUUAAAAAAUCAACAUAUAAUUAUUUAGAAAUCGCAAUAGAAAAGAAAAAAAAUGGAGGUUUGUGAUGAAAAAUCUUUUAUACUAAGUAAUUUAGUAUCCUUAUGCAUGAAGAUAAAUCAAUUUGUUCGUUACGGUCAUACUCUUUUUUGAAUUUUUGAACACAUUCUCCAUAGGGCCUUCUUAUAUGUUCCUUCUCCAAGCUCGGGUUAUGGAAGAAGUAAAAGAAGGAAUCGAAAAGAAAGUAUUGGUAACAACCGAUUUCAUUACGAGACAACUCUUGAUAUUCAUAUCAAUCUAUUAUGUACCUUUGCAUCUAGCAUUAGACAAUAAUUGUCAUAGCUUUACCAUAUUUUUUUGUUUCAUUUCUUCUGAAACAAUCUCACACACUUUUUUAUUAUGUGUCUACUACUAGGAAUUCAAUACGUAAUCUUAGCAUUCAAUAGUUAUUCCUAAAUAAUUUCAAUUUUCAAAUGAUCAACCAUUUCAUUUUACCAAGUUCAAUCAAUGUUAGUCAGAUUAGUCAACAUUUAUAUAUUUUGAUGCAACAACAAGAUGUUAUUUGUAACAAGUGAUUUUGUUAGUUGGUUAAUUGGUCACAAGUUAAUGUUCGGUUCAGUUUAGUUUUUCUCUCGAUUUUUUGUGAUUCGGUUUUUUCAAUUCUCUUUAGGGUCGGUUCGGUUUUGUUUUUUUAUUUAUACUUGAAUUUUAUUUUAAUUUAUUUUAAUUUAUUUUAUUUUAAAUCUGGAAACACCAAGAACAACACAAGCACAUAGUCAAUCAAACAACUAUCCUUCUCCACAAAUCAUAGUAAUAAUUACAUUCAUUGAGCUGAAAUGCAAAUAACUAACAAACUCACAAAAAUCAAAUAAAAACUACAAAUUGCUUACUCUUUUUCUUUGGGUUUCACUCGAAAAGUGUCGGUAAAAUUUAGGGUUUGCAAGAACGCAACUGAAAUCUAAAACGGAGGCCUUGUGGCCUAUGGGUUGCUAUUGAGUUCCAGUACAGAGAACCUUGCUUAAUCUCGAUCACGGUACAAAGUAUCGAGUACCUUUAGCACUGUAUUUUGGUAUGAUUGGUAGAACCAAAUUAAAAGCUAACAUCAACAACAACUACCAGAGACAAAAGCUCUUAUCAAUGCUUUGGAAACAUUUAUGUAUCUCCAAGUGUAAUGAUAUAAUUGGUUGGAAACUUGUGAUUUCGUAUCAAAUCAAUAAAAAGUUACAAUAUUGACAAUAUAUUAGCAAUUUUUAUGUUAAUUAUGAACAAGUCAAUCAUGUAGAACCAAAUUAAAAGCUAACAUCAACAACAACUACCAUAGACAAAAGCUCUAAUCAAUGCUUAGGAAACACAGUCCUGUAUCUCUAGGUGUAUUGAUAUAAUUGGUUGGAAAUUUAAAAGAAAAAUGGUGAUUUUGUAUAAAAUUGAUAAAAAGUUACAAUAUUGACAAUAUAUUUGACACACCCCGACCAAGAUCAAGGCAUGCUGGCCGUCACAUGAGAGUGACGUAACCAUGUGCACAGUGCGGAAGCAAUAAUGAUAAGAAAUAUAUGAAUAAUUAAAAACCGAAUCUACUAGAGUGCACUACUAAACAGGAAGUAUUAGGAGUAAGAUACAAAAGUAAAUACUCCUAAUCAGAGCAUAGAAAGUCUAGGUGCAAUCCAGUAGGACAAGUACUAAUUAUACAGUAUAAAAUGUCUUACAAUUAUUUAGAUAGGUCAGAACCGCCGAAGUCCUCACACCCAACAACUGCAAACUUACUUAAAACCUGAAGGGGCGCAAAAUAGAAAACGUGAGUGGGAAAAAACAAAUGUUUUACAAAACCAUUUCAUUUAUCAAUAUAUCUAACCCCUCGCUGUAAACAUGUAUAAUUUUUCCCAGAAUCAAGAUAUAAGCAUAUACAUAAAUAUAUAUAUAAAUAUAUCAAUUCAAAUCAUGCUUCACAUAAUCAUAUUCAUAUGUAUGUCAUGCCAAGAUAUAACAGAGUAAGCAACUCAGGUAAGAGUAAUUUCAUAGAAAUAUAACAUGUUAGCCGGAACCCCUGUAGUAGUCUGUACGGCUGAAUUCAUAGCUCAAAAGUCAAUCUAGCCGAAGUCACUACAAUGACCUAUACGGCAAUAUACUGCACAAGAGUCGGAACCAAAUGAAAAGAUCUGUACGACAAUAAUGGGUGUUGUUGAUGCACAAAAUCAGUGAGGACUUUGGUACAACAGAAAGUGUUAAGUUUGUGACAUUCUCUAGAUUACUCCGAUCACUAGUGUGGAUAAGUAUGUAAAUGGAUAAAGACAGGGAAGCAAACACAAGAUGUACGUGGUUCACCCAGAUUGGCUACGUCCAUGGAGUAAAUGAGUUCUUAUUAAUUGUGAAGGGUUUACACAAGUAUAUAGGUUCAAGCUCUCCUUUAGUGAGUACUAGUGAAUGAUUUAGUACAAAUGACAUUAGGAAAUAUUGUGAGAGAAUGAUCUCUAUUUAUAGAAGAGAGUUUCUAGUUUCAUUCUGACAUUGACACGUGUCAUGUUGUGAUUGGCUUCUGAUGUUGACAUGUGUUGCACUAUGAUUGGCUUUAGAUGUCAACAUGUGUCGCGUUGUGAUUGGCCUCCUGGUUUGAGGGAAACUCUUCUGGCUCCUUGACGGUAUAACGUUGAUCGAUGCUCAGUAGUUUCGGGAUUGGUCAAGUAUGGUACAAACAGGUGUAAUAUAAUCAUACUCAAUACUACUCUCACAUAAUAGCUGGGUGAUAAAUCGCUAGUCACCUAUGAGUCAGAACGAUAAUAAAGGUCUGUACGAAGACUGUGCACCUAAAUUGGAUCCAAUAUGACCAUAUGGUGCGGGAUGUGACAUUAUAUACAGGCUUGUGCCAUCACUGGCGGAGCUACACCCACGGCUACAGUAGGCUGUAGCCUAGGGAGGAUUUUAACAAACUGCUGGUAUAAUAGUUUAUAUAUGAGUUUGUUGUUGCUUAUUGUAUGUAUAAUAGCCCACAUAAAUCCUGCCAAAAUUAUUAGUUAAUGUGUUUCUUAAUUUAUAAAUAAUACUUUUAUUACCUUUUAUUAUUUUAUUAUUUUUAGGCUAAAAGUAAAAAUGGUAAAUUAAUACAUAAUUAGGUUUCUCCUAUUCCCCAUGCUUUUUACCUAUUCGUUCAAAACAAAAAAAUUAAACCCUCUACCCUAAGAAAAGAAAAACUAUGAAUCACCAUCAAAUUAUUUUCUAAUGAAAUUCAACACUAGAUAUGCUCUUCAUGUCUUCAUUUAACCUAUUUCUUGAUUCAAUUGUUCAUUCCAUAUAUCUACAGCACGACUUGAAUUGGUAUCCCCUAACCUUUUUUCUUUUGGGUACUUGUUAUCAACAAAAGUGAUAAUAUUUGUUCUCUUUCUAUUGCUUUUUUGUAUGCAUGUUUUAUUUGUGUAAAAAUUAGUUGGAAAGUAAUUAAUAAACUUGUUUGGAUUAUUAGUACUUCAUGUUCCUACUUUUAUGUAGAUUACUAUAUAAUUUUAUGUAGGCAAAAAAAAAAUUCAUAAGAUUAUAUGCUAAUGAUUUUAGUUAGCCCACCCAAGAAAAAUUUUCUGGCUCCGCUAUUAUGUGCCAUAACUCUGGCAAAAUCACAAUCACCCUAAGUGCAGUUUUAUGAGUUCAACGUUAUUCUAUCACAUAUCACAUCAUCGAUAAUUCACAUAACCAAACAUAACUCACAUGAGCUUACCUGAGCGUCCACAGUACCAUAAUUAUAUAUAAUGCAUCAUAUACGAAAUAUAAAUUCAUAUGCAUGGCAUUUAAGGUAUACUUUCAUUUAAACACAUAUUUCUGGGAAAAUAUCAAGUAUAUAAAUAUAUACUGAAAACCAAAAGCCCACUCAUUGGUAUGUCGAAGGGUCGUAGCCCCCGAGUCGCCUUUGAAUACUCUCGUCCUCGUGAUAAGUCUCACCUAUAUGCGAAUUAACUAUAAAAACGUUAUUUUAGAGCACAUACAAAAAAUUAGCUAAUAACUCUCAUACAAUGCUCAAUUUUUGUAUUUGAAUAUAUCACAGUGACCUACACAACCUCAAGAUCAUCCCUAAAUUUUUACAAUAUUUUUCUGACCCCUCACGCGCUGCCACGCACCGGCAAGGGCAACGCCUUACUCGCCCCCACGCGCGGCCACGUGACAAGCAUACUGAUGGCGUCAAUCAACAUCAUCAGGAAUAUUCUAGGGAAUAUUCUGUUAAAACCCAAUGGUAACUGUUAAAGAUGACUGACGGCAUGAGCAUAUUCUGUCAACCUUGACGGAAUAUACUCCUUUCUUCUCCGAUGAGUCGUCGGUCGCCGGCGACUUCGCCGAUUUCUUGGUAAAACUUUAAAUCGCUUAUUCUUCUUCGUUUCUUCGCCAUUUUUCAUGAAAUUGGUACCAAAAUGAAGCUAAUAACAUGUAGAAUCACUUUGUAUAAGUUUCAAGGCUUAAAAUCUACUAGUUUUUCCCUGAGAAAGCUCGAUAGUUCGGCUUACCUAGAUAUGCGUCGAUCUCAGCCCUCCGACGUCCAAUUCCUUCCAACGAAGUACCCCAAGACUCGUGAGGACCUCCUUAAGCUUCCUAUAAGCUUCAAAUUCCCUGAAACACAAGAUUUUACGUAUGCAUGAACAAUGCACAAAGUCGGAGCUAGGGUUUCCACGUGAAAUCGAAGGUUUCCUUACCUGAAAAUGGUUCCUUUGAAUUCGUAUGGUUCUCACGAACACAAUGGUGAUCUUAAAACCUUCGAUCUACAAGGUUUAAGAGGGUUUCUGGGUUGGUCCGUACGAAGAAGGGAGAGAGAGAAUGAGAAUCUGCGAGAGAGAGGGCACGGGAAGGAAAGAGAAAUAAGAUAGGUGUGUGUAUGGUCCAAAAGCCACCAAUCAAAACUAAGAAAAGUCUUAGUUGUAAUUGGGUCACCAAUCUAAAACAAUUUAACCCAAUAAUAACUUACACACAUCAUUUAACAUCCGAGGGUAAUUCCGUCAUUCUACGUCAUCGAGAAUAAUCUUCCGGGACGGGCUGUGACAAUAUCAGCAAUAUUUAUGUUAAUUAUGAAUAGGUCAAUCAUGUAUUUAAUACUUAAAUGUAUUUAAAAUAAACACCUUAUCAAUGUUUUCUGAACUGUGCUCGAUUUUUCUCCUUCGCUUUGGUUCUGUCCCAUUGGAUUUUUCAAGCAAGAUUUUAUCAAGGCAACUAUCAUUAACUGUGAACAUAAUUUAUCAUUGAGACACGAACAUCCAAGGGGGAGUGUCGUGGAAAAAAAUGUAGAUAUCUUUAUACGUUGUAUGGUAGUAAACCAUCAUAAACACCAUAAAUAUGUAGAAACGCCCUUGCGGUACCUUUGAAUGAUAACUCAUGUAUUUGUUGCCCUAUGUAAAGAUGGCUAAUGAUAAUGGAAGACUAAUUUUCUCAUCCCAAUCUCUCCUGUCUCUCUUAUUCUCUUUUCUCUAUAUUUUAUUUCCAACAAGUUGUGUUUUUUUUUUAGUAUUGUUAAGCAACCCAAUAGAUUUUAAUCGUAGUCUUUGUUUUUUUUCUUUUAUAUUUUUAAUCAAUUUCAGUUGCUUAUCAGUUCUAGCUAAUUGAGCUCUUUUACAGCAAUUUUUUUCUUUAAAUAAAAUUAUUAUUAUUAAAAAGAGUGAGAAAAUUCGAAAUUGUUACAAUAAUUUAAAAAAAAUAGGAGUUUCAAAUCAUGAAGGUAGAGGGAGUUAACAACAUUUUAGGGGGGGGUGUAGUCAAACUAGGAUUUUGAAGGAUUUUAAAAGUGAUAGAUUUGAUAGGAUUUAAGAUGAUUAAAGACUCUUACAAAAUUCAUAUGGAUUUUAAAGAAUAUGAAUGGAUUGCGGUGGAUUGUGGGGGAAGGAUUUGAAAUCCUAGGGGGUGAGGUUUGAUUCUUUUUAGUUUUGGUUAUAUAUGGUAUGCUUUCAAAUCCCAGAAAAUCCACAACUUUUUAAAAUCCUUUAAAAUCUUAAUUUUUUUAAUACACUUAGAUUUGGAUGGAUUCUAAAAUCCUUUAAAAUCUUUUAAUUGACUACACCUAGAUUUGAAUGGAUUCUAAAAUCUUUUAAUUGACUACACCUAGAUUUUAAUGGAUUCUAAAAUCCUUUAAAAUCUUUUAAUUGACUACACUAUGAUUUUAAAGUCUUUAAAAUCCUCUCAAAUCCAAGUUUGACUACACCCCCUAAAGAUUUUAAGGAAAACUAAUGAAAAUGGCUUGAAAACUUUGAGUUUUAACUAGGGGUGGGCAAACGGGUACAGGAACCGCGGGUAGGGGUGGGUAAUUCAAGUUCGGGGCAGGUAUGGGACAUGUCCAAUAUUUCUAAACACAAAACGGGGCGAGGCUGUUCGGGUAUAUGAAAUUAUCGGGGCGGGGCGGGUCUUAAAAUAGAAGGGAACGGGCCCCCAGCCUGACCCGUUUCUUUUCCUCAUCCCUAGUCUUCUCUAUCUCUCUUCCCCGACACUUUUCAUUUCACUCAAACCCGGCCCAUUUCUUUUCCUCAUCAGUCAUCCCUAGUCUUUUCAAUCUCUCUUCCCUAACUCCUUUCAUUUCACUCGUACCUCGAGACCUCCUCUUAACUCGCUCCCAGCCUCCCACCGUCCUAGCUCCGUACCUCGCCAUCAUCAUCGUCAGACCUCCAUCUCUCCUGAUUUACUCAUGUCUUCCUCGCUGCGUCCGCCGCCAUGUCUCUCUUUCUGUGACGAACUUAAAGGGACGGACGAAGUUGAACAACUCGAAACGACGCCUCUUCUGUCUGAAUUAGACCCAUAUUUGCAGCGCACGACUCUGCUCAUAGUCCUCUUCGGUUUUAAGGUAUUACGUUUUAGAGAUUUAGGAUUGAAAAUUAAAUUAGGGUUUUCUAGAUUUAGGGAUUUUGUUGGGUUCUUGAACCUUGACCUCUGUUAUGUUCCAAUUUCAAAUAUAUAUUGAAUUGAAUUUGAAUCGACUGUGUUUGAAACUUCUGUUGAAUUAAAUUGAAUUUGAGCAGGAGAAGAGGCAGAUGUGGGUUGGGCAAUGUCGAAUCUCAUUGUGGGUGGUGAGGUGGGCAUGGCGGGCGACAAUAUUGACUGGCAAUGGUACGGGCGGUGCUAUUAAGUUGCAGAAGAAUACGAAGGAGGGGGUGUGGGCAUGGGUGGAUAUCGCAAGCUCAAUUGAAUUUUUUCUGGUUUUGUUUGUGAUUAAUUGCUUGUAUAUGAUAGUUAUUGAUGGAUCUUGACAUGCCCAUUUAAUUGUUAUUGGCAAUGCUAGUUUGAUUGUAACAAAUUCAAACCGAUUGAAUUGUAUCCCAGAAAAAAAAAUCAAUAAAGGAACUGAGGACCCGGCCCGAACCAGCCCAUUUCAACCGGGCCAGGUUAGGUUCGGUUCUUAUAUUAGAAAAUGUUGUUCCCGGCCCGUUUCUCUUAAGCCCGGAUCCAGUCCGAUCACUUCGAAAUUGGCCCCAACCCGGCCCGGGCCCACCUCUAGUUUUAACGAUAAGGACAAAAUAAAGGGUAAAGUGAAUAGUACCAAGUUUGACUUUUUAGUGUAAAAAUGUAAUUUUUCGUUAAAAUAAGAUUUUAAUGGAUUCUAAAAUCCUUAAUUAAGAAAUUAGGCUUCAACCCAACUCAUCUUUGCAACGCCGGUUCCACUUCACAUCAACAGGCAAUGUUUUCUCCUCAACAAAUAGUAUUCUUUUAUGAGACAAAGACUAAUGAGGGUGAUAUAUAUAAUUAAUAAUAAUACUUGUGUUCCCUUUGUGAGUGAAUGCACUUAUUUUACCAUUCUCUAAUAAUGUAUCUUUAUUAUAUAAAUUUAUAUCAUGUGGAUAUCUUCCUAUAAAAAAGUUAUUCAAAUUGGAAAUCCUUACGUCAUCAAAAUAUAUAAAAAAAUGGACGAUCUCAUCGUAAAUAUGUUAGUUACUCACACUAUAACUUUGUAUAUUCCCUCACGUAGGAAACGCAAUAAUUAUCCUCUAAUUAAUUCUUCUUGAGAGUAGAAUUUUUAUUGUUGGUUUUUCGCAACCUUCAGACCUAAAGCUGAUAUGGACCUCUCAUUGUUUUUUGGGUUGCCGUUCUUAUUUUGCUUGGUCCUUUUACCUUUUCUAUAGUUGUUUAUCUAGUUCUUUUGAGCCUCGUACUAAUUUUUAAUGUAAUGAAAAUUAUCUUCGUGAUAAAAAAAAAAAUCAUUAGUCCUCGUAUGAACAUGCGAUGUAACACACUUUCAUGGAACAACAGAUGAUAAAGACGAUAUCCAAAUUUUCUCUGUGUUAUGUGGACUUUCCCAACCAAAUAAAUAAUAACCAAUAAACAAAUAAAUAAGAGUUUAACUUCAAACAUUGAGAAGCGAAAUUCCAACACUACGAGCCUAACUUUUGUCUUCAUCAUCAUCAUAGACUAGUCUCCUAUCCAUCAACUCCUACAUCAAUUUUUUUUUUUACUAGAUUGUAGCUCACUUUCAAAAGAGUUACGUAAAGUAUUUAAGCACCAUAAAAGAAAAUUAAACGACAACGAUUGACAUAAUAUUAGUAGUAUCAUGGUCUAAAAUAUUCAUAAUAUCUUGAUAUUUUUAUUGAAAUUUUCGUGUUUUUAGACUACCUAUAUUUUCAAUAUCAUCGAUAUUUUAAACCUUGCUAAGUCACUCAUGUAUCUUACCAUGCAAUGUAUAAAGUGUAAAAUAUUGUACUAAUUCAUUAUAUAUAAAUGAUUAUAGUGUGUUUAAACUUCUUUCAUUAAUUACUACAUAUUUUCUACACUCACAAUGUUUGCCAGCUCGCUAUAUAAUCAACUUAAAUCAAUUAUAUCUAUCAUGUAAUGCAUUUCCUUCCAAUUUUUUGUGAUAAACUAAUAGAUAAUUGACUAAAUAAACAUCCUGCAAAGUUUCAAUAAAAAUUUCCAAGUUUUUCUUACAAUUUCCGUAGUUUUUAUUCAAUUUUUAUCGAUAUCGAUAAUAUCCCGAUAUUUCCAUCGAAAUUUCCGUAUUUUUAGACUACUGAUAUUUCCGAUAUCAUCGAUAUUUUAUACCUUGGUAGUUAUACAUUUUAUCGGCCUCAUUUUUAUGCAACUUAUACAUUAAAUUAUUGUCAAAAUGUACAUAUAAAGUAGCUGAUCAACGAUGAGAUUUUAGGCAACCAUUUUCUUCUACGACGUCAAAGGUUGUAGAGGUGGCCAUGUGCACUACAUGCGUAAAUCAACUAGGGACUUGGAUCCUCUCUUAAGCCCAAGGAGAGGAUCCUCCUAACCAAAUGACUUGGAUUGUUGGAUGAAAAUCUAACGAUUACAAACAGAUGAUCUCUUUAAAGUUAUAAUAUUUAUUACCGUUGAAUUUUCAUCAAACGGUCAAAUAUCAUUGGUCAAAAGGGUCCUCUCAUUGGGCUCAGAGAGGACCCAAGUGCAUCAACCAGAACUAUUGCUAUUAUAACAAUUCAUGAAAUCAAUUAAACAAUAAUUUUCCUUCUGGCAGGCAUGUUAGUUAUUUCUUAUUUGGCCAAUUGCCUAGUGGAUUUGGUAGAUUUAACCUCUCCACCACAAACACAUUUAAAAAUUUCCAGAAAUCCGUAACGUAAAAUUUAAAAAUAAAUAUUAAUAACAGCAAGUUCUUUUCACCGACCGUGACCGAGAUCUGUCACAUAUCCAAAAUGUCACCUCCUUAUCGCAAAAACCAAAUUUGACUUGGGAUAAAUACCGUGUACAAAUUAAACGCGUUUCUCUAGCUUUUGCGUAAAGAGGCAACCCAACACUAAACUAGGAAAACGUUGGGUUGACAAAGAUACCAUGAAGAAUAAAGGGGUUAUGCAAUCCACUUUGCAAGAUAAUCAAAGUUUCCCGUUGUAGACUUGUCUUAACCCAACACUAAACUAAGAAAACGUUGCUUUCCCGUUGUAACAUGAAACAACAUUAAACAACAUUAAACAAUAUUAAAUAACAUUAAAUAACAUAAAAAUUAUACAACAUAAAAAAAACCAUUUAACAACAUAAAACUUAAAAUGCGUACUUCUUGCUUCUUGUGGCCUAAAGAUGUGCAACAAGAUCUUGAUGUAGGUACUUGUUUGUGGCACGAAAACGUAUCAUCCUAGCCGUUGGAUUUGAAUUUUUUUUGUUUUCGGCCAAAAAAUUUUAAAUUUAAAAGUUGAAGAUGGUGAGAAAUAUGAUCCUACACUGUUCAUUAAAAUAUUAAUUUCUUGAAUGACCAAAAGGCUAAAACAAGCCAUCCUUCGGUUGGAGAUGCCUAAGGAGAGACUAGAGAUAGAGAGUUUCCUAUAUAUGAUUUUCAUUAACAAGAUUGAAAUGAUUUCAGAGAGAAGAUCAAGUAUGGUUAUUUUUAUUUUGUAGAGUGUAGACAUUAUAACUAUACAUUCAUAAUAACAUGAGUAAUGUUAUAUUUAUCACAUUUGUACUCUUUCUCUGAUAAAGGUAGGGUUCAUCAACACAUGUGGGUUCUAUUUGCCCAUCAACACAUGCGGAUCUCAUUUUUAUUAGAAAAAUAGUACAAAUAUGGUACGGAAAAUAUGAUAAGAUCGCAAUUUUGUAAUAACAUAUAUACUCAACUAUUUAUAUACCGACCCAUCUCCUUUUAGUGUAGAUAAUAUCGUUUGUUAAAAAAAAUGUUGAACUUGUCAUAAUCAUUGAAUCCAUUUACCAUGAACAAACGGCAGUUUACUAAACUUGCCCUCAGAGUAUAUAUAAAAGGUGAAUCACAAUCUAUUGCAUUAAUAUAAGGAAACAAUUUAUAGGGUUUGACGGGUGACUUAAUAUGCUAUAUGGCACAAUGAAAAUUAAGUUCACACUUUAUCCCAAAUAAGGUGUUGCACCUUUAAUUUAUGGAUGCUGGUUUGACGUGUGACCGAAAUAAUCAAAUUGUAGCCAUUAAUCAUUUUACAAGUAAUAAUAUGUAGUUUUUACUGUUUACGAUUCACACAACAAUCUGCUAGGAAGUAGAAAAUGCAGUACUUGUCCCUCUCACAGAAGUCAUGAAUAAUUAUCAAAUUCAAAGAUAAAGAAAAACCACACAAUUUACAAGAGGAAAGAAAAUGAAGGGAUAAAGAAAGUAAGAAAGGAAUACCUCUAUGGGAGGACUCUUAUUUGCUUCAGAUGCCUACAAUAUUCAUCAUAUAAACACUGAUUAAGUAGUCAUCGAAAACCAAAACAAAUGUCGAACAUAGGGUGAAAAACAGAAAGAAUAACCGCAGCUCAUCAUACCAAUAGAGAUAGAACUGCCCGAUGCCCAAGUAUGACUGAAAAAUGGCAAUCCAAACAUGGCGCCUUCUAGCUCAUCAAACUGUCAAAACCUAGGUUCCACCAAAAAGAUACAAGUCACCUAGUUACUUGUAAAAUAAAAAUCUGUUUCAAAAUAGUGGAAAAUAUUAUUAACAUUGUUCAAAGUCCACAUUGUUGUACCUACCAAGAAACAAGAAGGAUUGUAUCUUAUCAUGAAAAAGAACAUAGGUACCUUUUCAAUUGUAAUUGUACAAAAAUGAGAGACCACUUCCGAACUUCUCUUGGAACUUCAAUCAAUUUCUGCCCACUUUUAAAUGCCUUGACAUACUUAAGCCUAUUUCUUUGAGCUUCAGUUUUGGCUUCUGAUGCCUUUAAAUUUCUUAAAGAUUCUUACCAAGUUUUACAAACUCACUUCUAUACAACCAUUUGUCAGUAUACAUACCAUUUUCUUUGAGCUUCAGUCUUUGCAACACCAAAACCCCCCAAAUAGACCCGGAAUUUUGCAAUGUGCAGGGAAUAUACAAAAAAAACCCUCCUAUCCAUCUAAAACGAAAUCAGAACCCAAACCACAAUCAAAAUCCGUAAAAUUAAUUUAGCCAACCCUAAAUCUAAUAAUUCUAACAAAUAUUAUAGUAUCAAUUGAGAGAGAAUUUGAGAAGAUACCUAGAGAUGAAAGGAAGAGCGUUUCCUCUGAUAGGGGUUCCGUGAAAGCAUCUGUUGACCAGAAAAGAAAAGGCAAAAAACCCCAAAUUACAUAUCAAGCAAUUAUAGAUAGAUCGAACCUUGAAAAUUGAAAUUUCAAACAAGAGAAAGGUUAUAAACUUACAACGAUCUGGGUGUUGGUUACUGGGUUUGGAUUUGGGUUUCUGAUAAGAGAGAGAAUCGUAUGAGGAACCGAUAGAGGAACUGCACCGGCAACAGAGAGCAACUGAUAUGGUGGAGAAUAGAGAUGGGCAAAAUAUCCCGGUUAUCCGCCCAUUUAAAGUUCACAGUUACGGUUAUGGUAAUUGAACGGUUAUGGGUACUACCCGUGGUUAUAACGGGUAUCUAUUGGUUAUGGGUAUUAUCCGCGGUUAUAACAGGUAUUCAUUUACCCAUUUAAUUUCAUAUAUGUAAAAUUUAUAAUAUUUUUAACAGUUAUAACGCGUUUUUGUAUUUGUUGCCAAACUUUUCGUAUACAAAAAAUUUGAAGCACAAGAAGCCAACAAGGAGAAAGAUCAAAGAGCUUACUUGAAGCUUAUGAUCUAUCCUGCGGUUAAUAGAAAGUACUGGUAUUAGUGUAGAAAAAUGUUUGUUUUUAGAAGCUUUAUUUUGUAAUCAUAUGAAUUAUAAUUAAAGACUUGCUUGGGUGUAGUAAAAAAAUAUCGUUUGUAAACUAUUAUUUCAAUUAUUAGAAUUGUAUGAUGACCUAAAUGAUUAAAAUAGAGAAAUGCAUGCUAAAAUGUAUUUAUAACAGUGUUUAAUUGUCAGAUUUUUUUUUUUUUUGUAAUUUUCAAGUUGUUAAAAAAAACAUGCAGAGAGGUGAAAAAAGGGAUUAAAAAAUGAUAAACGGGUUCAAAACGGGUAAACGGGUAAAUGAUUAUGGUUAAAUAGGUAAACGGUUAUGGGUAAAUGGGUACACGGUUAUGGGUAUGAGUAUAACCGUUUAUGCAAUUACCCAACGGGUAAACGGCUAUGUGGGUAUGAACAUAAAUGGUUAUGAGUAAAUAACCGCGGUUACCCGCCCGCUAUAACCAUUGCACAUCCCUAAUAGAGAACAUACGAGAAUAGCCGCUUGGAUGGUCAAUCCAAGAAGAGAAAAUCUUGCCACAAUCACGGUACUUGAAAAAAAAAACAAUUUUAAAGGAGGGAAACAAUCGCGCCUUUUUUUUAAUAGACUCUGUCGACGAUAUUCUUGACAAAUAGUCGGGUGAGCUUAUUUUUCACAACAUUUUAUUUAGGACUAGGUUCGGUUGGCAAAUCGUGUCAAAUUUCUUGUGCCAUUUGCCAGCCACAUAUACAUAAUUACCAAAAAUCAGUUACCGUUCGCCAACCAUCUUCUUGCGGUUGCCAAAAAUCGGUUCAACCAAAAUGAUUGGCUGGUUCGGUUGGUAAAUGGCACAACCGGUGGUUUCCACUUCUUCCUCGCUAUCUUCUAGUUGCAAGGGCUCAAUUUGAUUUUCAGAUUGGGAUGCUUGUUCGGUUGCAUUGUGUGGUUCAUUUUGGGUUAAUCCAUGUUGUGCACUAGCAAUUAAUUGGCUAGACUCCAUCAUCCUAAACAUAAGCAACACAUAUACAUUCAAAAUCAUAUAUAUGUACGUGUAUAUAUAGUAUCAGUAAUCAUCAUGUUAUCAAUUUUGUUAACAAUAUUUUCUAUAUUGAUUAUGGCAUGAAUCAUAUACAUAUACAUAUAUUUUUUAAACCCUAAAACUAAGGAGUUAUUUAUUUUCUAAGCCCUAAAAUUGAGGAGUCAAGCAUGUAAAAAAAUACUUAAAAUAUCUAAAUAGAAAAAGAAAAAAAAAAAAAAAAAUAUAUAUAUAUAUAUAUAUAUAUAUCGGUAGGUAUGGCAUACCGCCGACAUACAAAAUCAAUUACCAAAGCCAUGCCAUUAAUUGUCGGUUCGGUAAAAUGCCAACCGAUUAUGAAAAAAUGCCAAAACUAUACCAUACCAUUUUGAGCCAACCGGUAUGGUUCGGUCGGUAAAUCGGCUUAUGGCAAAAUUUCUCACCCCUAAUUUUAUUUGUCGCCUUAAACCUAUUGGUUUCUAGCCUACAAUUUGGAUAUUUUGUUGGGGAAAGAUUUUUGUACCAAUAAAAUUUUGCUUUGUCAGCUUAGGAUUUGUCGGCAAAAUGACAUUUUCUAGUCGUUAUAAUAUUAGGUAGAUCAAAUUUGUAAACUAUGUGAUGUGUCACCAAUAGGAAAAAAAUUCAGUGUGCUGAAAAUACAGUCUAGAACACCAAGUGUCAUAAUAUAUACUUGGUUGGAAAUUUUUUAUUUUCAAGUUUCCAACUAAUUGUAUUGUAACAGUUGGUGUUCCAAGCUAUUUUCUCGAUGCGUUGGAAAAUCUCUUCACCAAUUAAAAAUAAACAUAUUAAUUAACACUUAAGUAAUAAUCAAAGUAUCAACAACUACGUCAUAAAAUUUACGAAAUAUGAUCUUAAUUAAUGAUCUCCAUGGCAUUACCCUUUAUCUUAGCGUAUACGUACGCCUUCACAUGUUUAUUUGCUGAUAUGCAGCUUGAGUAAAAAUUUCUUUUUAAGAACAUAUAUGUGAAUAUAAACAUAUAUAUCUAGUGAUCCAUGUUGCGUUAUUUAAAAAUAAACAAAUUAAUUAAUUAAUAAAUGAACUGUGUGCAUGUCUGUGUAGAGUAAUCCAUAUGCAUGCUUGAAUCCUGAUCACCACGAAACCAUAAUAUAAGCUACUCAAGGCCCGGAAGCUAGGAUUGAAGAGAAAAACACCCAGUCAGAUUAAGCCAAUAUAUCAAAGUUAAUACUUCGAAAUGUAAGCUUUAAGAUAGAAAAAUCACUUACUACCUUGAGCAGUCGAGCUUCUUCAAUGGCAUGAAGCUUUUAGCAUGAGAUUGACUGCAUCACAACUAAAAUUUUCUCUUGGAAACUACAUAAGGAAUAGCAUGUAUACCUAUAACGUUGAGAAAGUACGCCAAUUUUUUCCUUCUGCACAUUCAUGUUUAAAAGUAAUCCUCAAAUGAACUUGCCCACAAUGAAAUGCAAUUUGAGGUAGUCGAGUGUGUUCCAUUUCCAUUCCAUGGGAAUUACUACUAAACUUUGAGAUGGUAAAGGAUUCAUGAAAUUUUUUACUUUUGAGAUAGCCUCUUUAACAUUUCUCGACUAUAACAAUGAGGGAAUACUUCACCUUGUAUCAAACAAGGGAGAGCGAAAAUCAACUACUAAUAGCAUCACAGAGCCAGCAGAAGAUUGAGGAGGCCAUGAAGAGGAGAGAGAAAAUACACUCUUUUUUUUUGUAAGGACAGAGAUAAUACAUUCAGUAAGGGGUACUGAUGUUUAUAUGCAAUGCUGAUUAGGUUUAAAUAGUCCUAUUUAUUCUGUACAGUGCCAAUAUUACCACCCGUUAGUACACUUUCAAGACACUGUACUCCAGUGUGUGCGCUAUGCAGUACGUAGUACUCCUCAUUUUUUGGGGAAAUUCAUUAUUGGUCUUCAUAUCUUCUUUAUUUUCCUUUUCCUCAUUGUGCCACGUGUUUAAAUCACUAAUUGUAGGUAAUCUUUCAAUUUAAUUAAAUCUUAUGUAAAAAAAGAUAUUUAAAUAUCAUUUAGUAUUACAAGAUAGUGAUAUUCCUCUUUAGUAUAAAAUUUUUAUAAUUAAAAGCGUUCAGUUUUUUAAUCUUCAUUUGAAUACUAUCUAUAAAGAAAAAUUAUUCGAAUAAGAGAUCGUUUAUGCAUUCAAAUGUACAAAAUGCAUCGACAGUGUGAGAACGAAUUAAUAUAUUUUUGAUGAAGUACAAUUAUUGAAUACAUUUGAAUGAUCAAAUGAUAUAUGAUUCAAAAUACAUAUUAAGAUAAUAAAUAUAAGUGAAUUGUUAUUAGCACUCCAAGAAUCUUAUUAUACACUCUAAAUUUUCUAUAUUUUGAAUGAAAAAUAAAUUUAUGAAGAGUGUAGAAUGAGAUUUUUUAAUGCUAAUAACACUUCUCUAAAUAUAAUUAUGAAAUUAAUAAAGUAAAGAUACAUGACCUCGUGAAUGAUGUAUGUAUUAUUCAAAAAAUUAUUAAAAACAAAUUGAAAAAGGACGCUGUUGUUGCCACCACUUAUGCAAUGAUCGUCGCUGCCAUCACCAACCCCCAACACCCCAUUACAGCUCAUAAAAGCACAUCAUAAGCAAUUUAUGAAAUAAAUUUACUGGAAUACUAAUUUCCCCCUUAGUUUAGGUCACCAAUGUUUAAAUUUAGGGGUGUGAUAUGCACAUACCUUUUUUUGCUUCUCUCACACUUUUUUUGUUGUUGUCGAAUCAGAUGAAUUGAAGAAGAUCAAUUGACAGAAAUUAACAAGGGGUGUAUGAAAAGUAAAAAUGGAUGUGUAGAUAACACAUCCCUAAAUUUAUCACAACUUUCAUUCCAAAUUUAAUUUUUAUGCGUAGUUUUGUUUGUUCAAAUUUACUUUGACAUUUCAAUUAGUAUUAAAAUCUAAUUUAAAUUUUAGCGUUCAAGCUAGAAAAAGUGUUCCAUUUAAUAUUUAAUCUCAGUUUUUCUCUUUAUUCUUUUAUUCCGAUUUGGUUGCAUCGUAUCUCCAUUUUUCUCGGUGUUGUAUGUUCAUAAGGCCUGGGAAACGUUGGCACGGAGUGAAGGGUACUCACUUUUUGGCCCAAAAUGCAUAAGGCAUGUAGAUAUGUUAAUCAAAUUUUGUAAACUAAAGGAUAUAGAAGUUGAUACUUAGAUUAUAAUUUAAGAUAAUACUAAAGAGACUAAAUUUGCAAACUAAAUGAUGUGUCACCAAUAAAAAUAAGCACGUUUAUCAACGCUUAAGUAAUAAAUCAAUCAUCAACUUUCAUGUCCUUUAGUUUCCAAAAUUUAAUAUACAAAUUUAGUCUCCCAAGCAUUACUCUAUUACUUAAGUAUUGAUUAACAGACUUAUUUCUUAUGGUGACAUAUUAUUUAAUUUACAAAUUUAGUCAACCCAACAUUACUCUUUUGAAAUUGUCUUGUCCACUGAUAUAAUUCUAUUUUUCUUGUGAUCAAAACUUCAAAUGUUAGCAAGUCGCACGUAAAGUCACUUCUGAGAGAAUGUGCUCACAUUGUAGUUGAAAGAUUAUGUGGCUAGCAACAUUACAAAUUUAAUUUGGUAUAAUUUAAAAUAUAGAUUGAGGAAAAAAUGAUCACAUUAACUAGAAACUGAAAAGGUUUCAGCACAGUUUGUUCAAGCAAGAAACUCAAUUUUGAUGCUACCGAUCUUAACAGCCUGAGCGCCGUACCUGGGCACUAAAGUCACCACCACACUCUCAUCAUCUUCAGCACCCAAAUCCUCCAACAGGUCCGUUAACCCCAACCUUAAACAACUCUUGCUCUUUUCCUUCUGCUUAUGUGGAACACUCACAAAACUCCCAGCAAACUCGCUCUUGUCGGGUCCACUCGGUGCCGCAUCCUCAUCGUCCACGUCAUUCACAUACACAUCAAACUUCACAGCCACAUCUUUGUCAAGCUCAAUCCCCUGAAUCACCAGUAUCUCCUCCUCAUCCUCUUUCUCCUUCUUGCUCCUCUUCUUCGGCUUCGGCCUUGACACCACCGUACUUAUCUUUGUCUCCAAAUUUAUUGGAAAAUCUUUACCCGCCACCACCUUCCCCGAUGACGUCGUCUCAGCGGCCUUCGCCACUCCAGCCGCCUUUGCCUUUCUCGCAAGCUUUGUCCGACGUGGCGUCGGUCUAGACUUGAGCCAUGGAAUCUCAACAUCUUCAUACGUAUACCCUAGCUUUUUAUUAUCAAGAGUGUCCCUCACCGUGACCCUAACAAGCUCAGCAUUCUCGUCAUAAAACAAAAACCCCGUAUCCAACCAAUCCUUAUCGUUAAUAUCUUUAUUUUUAGUCCCUAUACUUUUCCAAAUAUUCCACAUUCGAUCUAUAUUCGAAUGGUGCGAAAAAAAUAUUGGAUCCCUUGCAGCGGAGUAAAAAUUCCCCAUGUCUUCAAAAUUAGGUUGCGUGUUAUCUCCGGUCCAUGUAUGAACCGGACCAUGUGGGGUCGUUUCGAUUGAACCGGCCCCUGGAUCUGGUUCGGUGCCAGCCCUGUAGGGCGAACCAAAGAACAACAGCGGUUUCUUGGAGUUGGAAACCAUCUGCCUAUACAUGAUUUUGAGGUUGGCGUCGAUUUGAGCAUCCUUGGACAUUGUUUCAUCCGUGCCGUUAAAGUCAAGAUCGAUGAGAGUCGGCGGCUGAUGGCUGGCAGCGCGGAGCUCGUCGUAAAGCGGAGAGUCCGGGUUAGCGAACAAGGCAGGGAGUUGCAUGCCAGCUGGCGCGUCCCAGUUCCAAAACGGCAACGCGAACGUCGGAUCGUCUAUGAGUUUGGCCAAGAUUCUUUCGUGGAAGUAUAGGUAGUAACGAUGGAAGGGGAAGAAAAGCCAGGAUUGAUGGAUUUGGAGCUCGAGGUUGGGGAAGCCGACUUGAUCGUACGCGCCGUCGCAAUAGGCACAGUGGAUAUCGGCUUGCUGGGUGAAGCUACGCGGAUCGUCGUCCGGGAGGGCUUUCAUGAGCUCGAUGGCUUUUGAAUAUUUUUCGAUGUAGGCUUUAUCCACGGUGUGAGCUGCCGGCCUGACGCGGAGUUUGGUAGGGGAGGGGAAUUUGAAGUCUACGAUUUUUUGGGACGUUGGCGGGCAACAGUUGGUCGGGACUGCUCCACUUGGAAAGUCCGCACCUCCGCAUUUGGCUAGGUCAGGCGGCGACACUGGCUUUGCAACAGCGAAGGGGUCGCUGCCAAGACCAGCCACUCCACCGUACAGGCUUCCGAGACCUAUAAGUACAUGUCUUCUGUCUAGGUUUACUGGAGAAAGGUUUUCAUGGUCGUGAUCGUUGGAGCUAGUGGAAGGGUUUUUGUUUUGGUCACUACUAUUAUUCGUGGCUUUGCAUGAGACGGCUUGUAAAUUGGAAUGCCUAGGGUUUUCAAAUAAGGAAAUUCGGUGAUACUUUUGGGAGAAAGGGAAGAGAGAAGUUGUGGGGAUGAUACUUGUGGUGGAGGUGACGAGUGGAGCUGACAUAGAAGCCAUGGUUACUUGACUCUGAAUACUACGUUGUAUAGGCUUUGCUUUUAUAAUGUGUUCUAGGUUUUACUUUUCUUUGCACAGGUGGCAGGCCGUACACAUUGGCGGUCCUUAAGGGUUUGACGAGGAAUACUACGUAGUCAUUUAGUACAGGGCAACCAUGCACUAUAGCACGUGGCAUGUAAUAUUUACGUAGUCUCAGAAGGUGAAGCGGUUUUGGGCUUCUUGUGUACCAAUAAUAUUUACGUACUCAUUAUUCCACUGGAUGGAUUGCGUGCACGUGAUCUUUAUUCAAACAAAUCACUAUUGACCAUAUAUUGCAAUUGGUUAAUGUUAGGCAAAUUAAAUUUUUACAUCAAAUAAUGUGGUUGCUGAUUAUUGAAUUAUUAUUUAAGUUUGAUUAAUGUGCUUAUUUUUUAUCGGUAAUACAUCAUUUGAUUUGCAAAUUUGAUUUACCUAAUAUUACCAGUUAUAAUUUGUAUAAAUGGACUGGUACCUAACAUUACCAAUUGUAAUUUGUAUAAAUGGACUCGUACCUAACAUUACCGGUUGUCCCAAGAGCACACGCUACUGCUCAAGAAGCAAAGUUCUUAUUUGCCCAAAAAAAAUCAUGGUUUUUUAAUUGAUGCUCUCAUUUUAAUUUACUAGCCCCUUACUUGGCCCUUUUUAUUUAUCAUUUUAUACAUAUUAAUAUUUUGUUUGUAAAAUAUAUUAGUGUUAGUUUUAUCAAAAUUAAAAAUAAAUAAAAAACUUAGCUUUAGUAUUUAGUUAUUGAAAUUGUAAAAAAAGUGAUAAAGUAUUGGGUGCUUUGUUUGAAAAUUUUCAAAAUGAUAUUGUUUUUACCACUGAACCCCUGUUAUAUACAGUGAUGGCUAAUUUGUCAAGUUCUACGAAGUUGGGAUACCCAGCGUUUUAGCAUAUAACAUAGCUUAGUAUUUCAAGCAUAAUUAAUUAACGAAAAAUUAGUAUCCGGUCCCUAGUUUUUACUGUUCAUUGACUAAGACCUUAUUAGUUCUCAAAUUUUGAUUCAAGUCCCUAGCAUUAAUGUGAUAAUGAAUUUACAUGUUUAUUAUAUAAUUUUUUAAUAUAAAAAUUAGUAAUUAAUUUAGGGUUUAAUACUCACACCUCUAUUAAACUUCUAAUUAAUUUUCAAUUCAGACAUUUCCAAAAUAAUAAAAAAUUAAAUUAAAUUAAGUUUGUACCUAUUAGUUUUUUUUUAUAUAUAAAAAGAUUCUCAAUUUUUAAUCUUAAAUGUACAUCUUAAAUGUACCCAUUCUCAAAUAUAUCAAUUUGUUAUAUGUAAAAUGUACCCUUUUUUAAUAUAAAAUCCAUUCAAAAUUUUUAAUCCAUGUUUAAACUUAUAUGGGUACAUUCUUUUUCGUUGAUUUGAGAAUGUAUCCAUGUUUUGGUACAAUAAAUUUUUUGUUAAUUUUGGUUAAUGUACCCAUACAUAUAUGUACACACACACACACACACACACACACAAUAUAAUAGAGAGUAUAAUUUAUAUUUUAUUAUUUUUAAUCCCAUAAAUGAUGGGUUUUAUUUAAAAUCUCAUUAAUAUAAACAAUUAUAAAUUUCAAUUUUUAAUUUUUAAUUUAAAAAAUAUAGUAACUUACAUUAUUACAUUAAUGUCAGGGACCUCAAUAAAAAACUAAAAACUAACAAGGUUUCAAUCAAAGAAUAUUGAUAGCUAGGGACCACAUCCAAAGUGUCCCUUAAUUAAAGGGUAAAUUACAUAGUAACCCCUCAGGUUUGAUGUCUAUUACAACCCCAUACAACAUCUUUAAAACAUUUCACUUUCAUACCUCAAGUACUAUUUUAUUUCAAUAUAAUACAUCUGUUAGAUUUUCCAUCCAUUAAUCCGUUAAAUGCUGACAUGGAUACCACAUUUGUGCCACGUGGCUGCCAAAUGCGUGUCAUGUGGCAAAAAUAAUAAUUUUUAAAUUUAAAAAAAAAUGAAUCUUCAACCCAAAAAAAAAAAAAAAAAAAAAACCCCAAACCCAGAUCCCAUCAACCCCCCCCAAACGAUUAUCCCUUCCCCAUAUCCCCCAUCCCACCCCCCAACCCCCCCUCUGCGACCAACCUUACCAUAGCGCCCCCCAACCUCGCGACCCACCUCACUCAAGGCCCUAAUCCACACUACCUACAACCCAGAAACGAAAAAAAAAAACAAAAAACAAAAAACUCAUCUCCCUUUCCCUGCAACCCAAAUCCCAUCUUCCCUAAUGGGUAUGGAUUUAAGAAGUGGGGUGUGUAGAGGAGGGAAGAGGGUGGGUGCGGAGGAUGGGUAUGGUGGGUUGCAAGGAAGGGGGGUCGGGUAAGAUGAAGAUGGGUUUUUUUUUUCUCUCUCUCUUCUUCUUCUUCUGGGUUGCAAGUUGUAGGUUGGGGUUUUUUUUUGGGGGGGGGGGGGAGGGAGGGAGGGAAGACGACGUGGGGUUUGGUUUUUUUUUUUUAAUUUAUUUAGAAGAUUUAGGUUUUUUGAAAAAAAAAAAAAAAUUCCACGUGGCACAAAUGUGGCAGCCACGUCAGCAUUUAACAGAUUAAUAGAUGGAAAAUCUAACGGAUGUAUUAUAUUGAAAUAAAAUAGUACUUGAGGUUAGAAAGUGAAAUGUGUUGAUGCACAAAACCGAAGGUCUUUGAACAACGUAAAUCCGAUCGUGAAUAUGCAAGUAAUGUAAAUAACACAAGAUGUAUCGUGGUUCACUCCAAUGUUUGGGCUACGUCCACACUGAUUAUUGUAUUUCUCUGAGAGGUGAGGGGGAGAGCUUUGAGAAAGCUUAGAGCUUAGGGGAUGUGAGAAGGCUUAAGAAUUGGCCUCCCUUAUUUGUGAGGGUGAUGAGUCCUUUUAUAGAAUAAGGGAUCCUCACUUAUUACAUAUUUGCCCAUUCCUUUAUUACAUAAUUACAUUUAAGUCCCCUGAGUACUUGUACAAGGUCUAAAUACGGAGGCCCUAAGUAUGGUACAAACAGUAGUCCCCCAAGUCUUCAGUCAAGAGAGUCUUUUGGCUAGAGACUUGAAAUUCUGUCCAUGUGUGAGCCGAAAUAACUAGAUGUCGUCUAGAACUGAUAUUUGAUAUGCGGCAGUGCCCAUUUUGAAAUAAUGCUCAACUAGAAGUAGCACAUGCUGCGAGGCUGCUCUGCUUGUGUUGCCUUGGUUGGCUCGACUUGUGGCGUUGAAGGUGAGAGAGUCCCUUUUAUAGAAUAAGGGCUCGCUCCUCAUUACAAAGAUGAUGGGUUAGUUGGUGCUUGCGGUGAGGCGGAUGCUCAGCUGGCGGCGAUGCUCUCUAAUGAUAGUGAGGGAGUCCAUUUUAUAGAAUAAGGGAUCGCUCCUCAAUACAUAAAUAAUAGGUGCUCUCUAAUGAAAGUAAGGGAGUCCCUUUUAUAGAAUAAGGGCUCACUCUUCAAUACAUAAAUAAUGGGCUAAGUCCCCUAAGUAUUUUUUAUGAGGCCUAAUUGAGGCCCAAUAUAUGGUACAUAAUGUAGUCCCCCAAGUCUUCGGUCAAUAGAGUCUGUUGGCUGGAGACUUCAAAUUGAAUCCAUGUAUGGGCCGAAGUGGCGGUUGUUCGGAAGCGGUAUUUGUAUACCCUGCACUGAAGCUUUAUAGGUGAAGCUUUGCAAGUGAAGCUUUGAAGCUGGAGCUCAGUAAAUGAAGCUUUUGAAGCUAGAGCUUUUGUAAAUGAAACUUUUGAAGCUGGAGCUCUAUAAAGGAAGCUUUUGUAAAUGAAGCUUUUGAAGCUGAUUCACAUGAGUGAUGCUCAUGAAUGUUUAUGUUGAUUGAUAUGAGUGAUGCUUAUGGAUGUUGACAUGAGUGAUGCUCAUGGAUGUUGACGUGAUGCUCAUGAAUGUUAACAUGAGUGAUGCUCAUGAAUGUUUAUGUAUGAUUGAUAUGAGUAAUGUUCAUGAAUGUUUAUGUAUGAUUGACAUGAGUAAUGCUCAUGUAUAAUUUGAAGUACUGGGCAUACUUUUGAUUACCUGGUUGGCGAUAAUAGCGGCAGGGUGCCGAAUAAUUUUUUGUAGUACUGGGCGUACUUUUGGUCACCUGGUUGGUGAUAAUAGCAGCAGGGUGCCGAAUAAUUUUUUGUAAUACUGGUCGUCCUUUUGGUCACCUGGUUGGUGCUAUUUUGAGCUUAUGGGCCUUCGCCCUCUACACAACAUUCCAGCCUAUUUAUUUUGGGCUUUACCGUUUUUUUUAAUUACCCUAUGAUGGGGUUUAUACAGAUGUCUCCGAAAGAUAUGAAAAAUAAAUUACAUCAUUCAAAAAUAAAUCCGACCCUCUGCUCAAUGGGUCACGCCAAUAAUUCUUUUUUUUUAUGCAUGCCAUCACCACCGCAAUUAUGUCUGCUUCUUUUUAUCUUCUUUUGCUUUCUGCUUUUGCUUUUACUUUAUCUUUCUCUUUUGGCAUAUGGCAGACAACGCCAAAACGGAAUAAUGAAUUAUUAUGAGAACAUGAAUCUUAUCUUUUGCCUGGUUUUCCACUAGUGCUCGUGGUAUUCUCAGGAGAUUGGAUCUGGGGGUAGGCGACUACCCCAGCACCUUGCCCUGAUACGUAAUAGCCUGAUGUCCCACUGCCAUCUCCAUACUGGAAGGUGUACGAACAAUGGUUAUUCUGUGUGGAACAAAUAGAAUCCGAUUGAGAUUCAAGACUGCACCUUCGAUCUGAGCAAGAAAUGAAUUGUGACGUUGAUGAACUUCUAGGAGGAGAAGCAGAGGAUCUUUGACUAUGAUGAUCUUUGAAUUCCAGAUGAAACUGAAUAAAAUGCAGGUUGUGGAGCUUGAUGUGGGCCCAGAUCUGCUUGACAGCUUUGGGGCGGGAGGAUUCCUUGACACUGAGGAAGAUUCCCAGAGCUGGAGGGAUGAGAAUCGACUUCAUAAUCCCGAUGGUGGGUUUGUGCUUGGUCGAAAGAUCAUUUCUGGCAGGGGAAAACAUGUACCAUACCUAUUGCAAAUCUUGCAAAUUCUCUGCUUCUCCAUGGAAGAUGAAGAGCAUCGAAUCUCUGUUUUCUCUCUCUCUCUCUAAAACGUUUUCGUUAUAGAGUGCCCCAAUAGAAGUGGACGGGCAGUGAGCAUGCCAUUUAGUGCCUCCUCCAAGACAGUAACUGAUACGGUGGUCUUUAUUGGCACUCCAAGUUUACUAAAAAGGGCAGCAAAAAUAGUAUUUACAGCACCCAAACUUGAAAGAUCUAGCUCCAACUAGUGGCUUUCUGUUUCAACAGCCUGAAAGCCGGCAGUGUCAUACCGACGCCGUUUGUCUGGAUCAAAUAAUAUAUUAUAAGAAAACAUGACCUUCUUGAAGAUAUCAGCUGUUUUAGAGUCAUUAGCAUUUUUGUCAGGAUGGUACUUGAGAGCCAUUUUCCGGUAAGCACUUUUGAUUUCCUGGUUGGUGGAAUUCCUAUUGAGGCCGAGGACCGCAUAAGGGUUUUGUCGGAGCUGCUUCUUAGCUUCUUGCUUCUCCGAUUUUGAUCGGCUGCCCUGCAUUUUUGAAAUUGACGGUCAAUUUCUUCACAAAACCCUAGAAAUUGCCUCUCGAUUACCUCCGAAACACAUAAUUCACGACUCUUGGUUGAAAUUUUUUUUUUUCAUUUCAAAGAAGUGGCGGAGGUAAAUCAGUUGUCACAUAGCACCGGAGCAUGAGGAAAACCUAGAAAACCAAGAGGCAGAGAGACUCCAUGCACAUCUAACCUGGAACCUUGCAGGAGAGAGCAGAGAGAAAGAGACAAGAAAGAUUGAGGGAGAAGCGAUCUUGGUGCAUCGUCUGUGAUUCCUUGGUGAUUUGCUCGAUCGGGACUCUGAAUUCGUGCAAGUCAUUGCUGUUAAGCAAGAAUCGCGAGGAGUCGGAGAGCUUGGAAAUCGAGAAGGAGAGAGGGCCUUUAGUCAGGGCUUGGAGGGUGUCGGACUCCGUCGGCCAAGAUUGGUGCACGGUCACGGCGUCUGGGCCCAUGGCGGUUGUGUAAAUGGGGGAGGUUCUAGGAGUCCAAGAAAGAAGAAGAAGCAGCGACCAUAGAUCUGGGAGUCCAUGGCGCUUGAAAGAUACGGCGAACAAGUCGGACUUGCUGCUGGGCAGCUGGCGGUGAUAAUGUUGGUGCAUGGGUUUUGGAGUGGGAGUGUUUGGAAUGGGUUUUUUGUUUAGUUUCUAUGUGUUUUUUCACAGAGAGAGAGAGAGAGAAGUGAUGGUGUUUAAGGGAUGAGUUUUGGAGCUUAGUGAAUGCUUUUUCUGGAAAAGCCCAGUGAGGUUUGUGGGUUUUUGCAGAUUUUGCAGAUUCGCGGUGGAGGUGAAAGAAUGAAAGAGAACCGACACAACUUUUCGUAUUGAUUCCCACAUACGGCGCCAAAUGUUGAUGCACAAAACCGGAGGUCUUGGAACAACGCAAAUCCGACCGUGAAUCUGCAAGUAAUGUAAAUAACACAAGAUGUAUCGUGGUUCACCCCAAUGUUUAGGCUAUGUCCACACUGAUUAUUGUAUUUCUCUGAGAGGUGAGGGAGAGCUUUGAGAGAGCUUAGAGCUUAGGGGAUGUGAGAAGGCUUAGGAAUUGGCCUCCCUUAUUUGUGAGGGUGAGAAGUCCUUUUAUAGAAUAAGGGUUCCUCACUUAUUACAUAUUUGCCCAUUCCUUUAUUACAUAAUUACAUUUAAGUCCCCCGAGUAUUUGUACGAGGUCUAAAUACGGAGGCCCUAAGUAUGGUACAAACAAAAUGUUUUAAAGAUGUUGUAUGGGGUUGUAAUAGACCUCAAACUUGAGGGGUUACUAUGUAAUUUACCCUUAAUUAAAAUAAGGGCAAAUGAAGAGGAUGGUUGAACUUGUUAAGUUUCUUAAGUGUGUCUAAUUUAAGUGUGUUGUUAAUAAACAUUUAUUAUGGAGGCAAAGAGAGGGAAGGUGCGGCAUAGAAAGAGAAGAGAGAGAUAUGUAAUUGUGAGUUGUGUUUUAUUCCAUCCCAUUGUGCAUUUAUUUAUAUUAGUUGGGAAAGUUAAUUCUUUAACCUUUUAGGAUUACAACUCUAAUAGGAAAAUAUAUAAUCUAAAAGAUAUGGUAGAAUCCCAUAAGAAUAUCCUAGAUAUGUUAGGAUUUACACAAUCAUAUUCCUAUUCCAAUAGGACUGCAAAACAUUUGUAUUUUUUUAUAAUUUUUUUGAUAAUUUGUUGGCAUUUUCAAUUUUUGUUAACAUUGAAAAUAUAACGGUUCAGAUGAAAAACCUUUGGAAAUCCAACAUUGAAAAUAUAACAGUUUGACGUUGGGCUGUGGUGAAGGAGGCUGGGCUGUCACGUGGGUGGGGCCCUCCCUCUCCCACUUGGUGAUUCAAAGGGCGCAGGCCCGUGCAACAAUUGAGGCAGCCCAUAGAGAUCCUGCGUUUCACCCAUUUGCCAUUUUUUCCACCGCUGGAGCACCAAAAUUCGGUCCAAAGGCAGGGGUUCCAAUUGCAUGGGCAAUUUGGUUUCCGCUGGAGGUGCUCUUUGUCGACUUUGUUUAUUCUUUCUUUUUAGCUUUGCAGUAAUAUUGAAGUAAUCACUCCAAUUGUAUCCGAACUUUUGUUGUCCAUCAAUUUGUAUCAAAACUAUUGGUUAAUUUACAUAUUCAGACUAACCUUCUCAUUAUUUUUAGUAUUUUUAUCAUAAAUAAUAUCUAAAAUAAUCACAUUUUAUUCAACAACCACUCAAUUAAAAAUUAAUUAAUGUUGUUUCUAAACCAUUACAUCGAGCUUUUGUAAAUACACAUCAAUAUUGCAGCGAUCCGAGGCAUUGUUUUCUACGCCUUGGAUUUGGCGAAUUGGAAAAGAGAAGAGUUACGAGUAAAAGUCCCUCACAUUAAGAGGGCUCCUCCUCGGGGAGAUGAAGAUGAUGAUCUUUUGUUUUUGUUUCUUAAUGAUUAAUCCACGCAGCAACAUAUAAUUAGAUUGUUGGGAUCUACUCAAGUUCCAUAUCACGCACUAAUAUAAAGUUUGACAAACGAAACGAAAUAUGUGCUCUCGAAAGCAAAAUGAGGGCACUGCUCCAAGAACAGGAAGGGCUCCUUGUCGAGGUUGCCAUCCGCCAUGAGGGAAAACCGGAAGAAGUUAGACAACAAUGAUGACAUCGAUUUGCAACACCCAUAUUGGGACAUCAAACUGUGAAAUAAAUACUCAAAACUCCUGGAAAGUCCUCGGGACAACAAACUUUUAUCUCCUUCAAAUAUUUCAUUUUACCAAGUUUUAUGUUUGAAGGGAGGGAAAAAAAGAGAUGAGAGAAUCCUACUCCUUAUUCUUGAAUAUAUUCAGGAAUAACUAUUGAAUAAAGAGAGAAUGGAAGGGGAUCGAAAGAGGAGGGAAGAUAAUUCUAGUCCCAAACAUAAAAAGGACCACAACUUUUAAAUUAUCAGCACGAUCAUCAUCUGAUUGAAGAGACCAUUCAUUGUGAAACAUAUCGUCAAUCAAUAUGUCUAUAUCUAUUUAUAUACCACAUUUUUGGAGUAGGAUUCUCCCCCCUCCUAUUACCAUCCCCUUCCAUCCCCUUCCAUCCCCUCCUUUCAUACUUUUUUUUUUCUUAUUCUCUAUAUAAAAAAUUCAAAACAAGAUGUAGAUGUGUCGUAAUCGCAAUAGUUUAAAUAAAAGGAGAUGGAAGGAGAGAUAAAUUACGAGGGGAGAGAAUCUUACUCCCACAUUUUUCUUCUUCAUAAACAAAAGAGAGGUUCUAGAUUACUUGACUCUAUGCCUCAUUUUUUUCAUCAAGUAUUUGUGCUAAACGGGUUCAGUUUCAAGUAUUUUAGUUUUUUGUCAAAAUUGAGAAAACUGAAAAUCAAACAUUAAUAUGCAAAAUUAAAAAAUCAACACAUAAUUAUUUAGAAAUCGCAAUAGAAAAGAAAAAAUGGAGGUUUGUGAUGAAAAAUCUUUUAUACUAAGUAAUUUAGUAUCCUUAUGCAUGAAGAUAAUCAAUUCGUUCGUUAUGGUCAGACUCUUUUUGAAUUUUUGAACACAUUCUCCAUAGGGCCUUCUUAUUUGUUCCUUCUCCGAGUUGGGGUUAUGGAAGAAGUAAAAGAAGGAACCAAGAAGAAAGUAUUGGCAACAACCGAUUUCGUUACGGGACAACUCUUGAUAUUCAUAUCGAUCUAUUAUGUACCUUUGCAUCUAGCAUUAGACAAUAACUGUCAUAGCUUUACCAUAUUUUUUUGUUUCAUUUCUUCUGAAACAAUAACACACACUUUUUUAUUAUGUGUCUAAUACUAGGAAUUCAAUACAUAAUCUUAGCAUUCAAUAGUUAUUCCUGAAUAAUUUCAUUUUUCAAUUGAUCAACCAUUUCAUUUUUCCAAGUUCAAUCAAUGUUAGUCACAUUAGUCAACAUUUAUAUAUUUUGAUGCAACAACAAUAUGUUAUUUGUAACAAGUGAUUUUGCUAGUUGGUUAAUUGGUCACAAGUUAAUGUUCGGUUCAGUUCAGCUUUUCUCUCGAUUUUUUGCGAUUCGGUUUUUUCGAUUCUCUUUAGAUUCGGUUCGAUUUUGUUUUUUUAUUUAUACUUAAUUUUUUUUAAUCUGAAAACACCAAGAACAACACAAGCAUACUCAAUCAAACAACUAUCCUUCUCCACAAAUCACAGUAAUAAUUACAUUCAUUUAGCUAAAAUGCAAAUAACUAACAAACUCACAAAAAUCGAAUAAAAACUACAAAUUGCUUACUCUUUUUCUUUGGGUUUCACUCGAAAAGUGUCGGUAAAAUUUAGGGUUUGCAAGAACGCAACCGAAAUCCAAAACGGAGGCUCUGUGGCUUGUGGGCUGCUAUUGAGUUCCAGUACGGAAAACCUUGCUUACUCUCUAUCACGGUACAAAGUAUCAGUACCUUUAGCACUGUAUUUGGUAGAACCAAAUUAAAAGCUAACAUCAAUAACAACUACCAGAGACAUAAGCUCUUAUCAAUGCUUUGGAAACAGUCAUGUAUCUCCAAGUGUAAUGAUAUAAUUAGUAAGAAAUUUAAAAGAAAAAUGGUGAUUUCAUAUAAAAUCAAUAAAAAGUUACAAUAUUGACAAUAUAUCAACAAUUUUUAUGGGGUAAAUUACAUAGGACCCCCUCAGGUUUGAGGUCUAUUACAACCCCAUACAACAUCUUUAAAAUAUUUCACUUUCAUACCUCACCUACUAUUUUAUUUCAAUAUAGUACCUCCAUUACAUUUUCCAUCAAUUGAUCCAUUAAGAGCUGAAUUGGUUGCCACAUUUGACACGCCCCGAUCCCGAUAUCCUCGGGAUAUCAGGAUGGUCACGUGCUGGCCGACACCCGAGGGUGACGAAAGCCAUUUAUUGAGUGCAAUUGCUGAAAAUAAAGGAUAGAUAAAACUUAUAAAUGUAAAAGAAUAAGGAAUAUGCAUUUAAGGAACGUGUUCAGAGCAUACAACUAACUAGAACACUAAAAGAAUGAUAUAAAAUGGAAUGAAUAAAAGAAUGAGUCUUACACCAAGAGGACUCGAAGAUGCCGAUGCGGAAGUACCUUGAUUGUCGGGAUUGUACGCCUCGAUCCUAAAUCCUGAAGGGGGCGCAAAACAAACAUGAGUGGACCAAGUUGAUAUAUAUAUAAUAAAACAGUUAUCAAUAUACUAACCCCCAGGUUUAUGAAAACAAAUAUAUAAUGAUGAACAUAGGUUUUCCGAAACCUAGCAUGAUGUGCAGUAUCUCAAAUCAUAACUCAUAUAUAAUAAUCACUAGUGAAUUGUCCGAUAACCUGCAGGCCCCAUGCCGGCUCCCCGUCUCUGAGCAGACAGUCAGAGGAAAAUACACUUCAGGCCCCAUGCCGGCUCCCCGUCCCUGUGCUAAAUAGCCAGAGGAAACACACUCCAGGCCCUAUGCCAACACCAAACCGUCGCCCGGGACGGACCGGAAUCUAUUCCUACGUCCCGUAGCGGAAAUGACCACUAGGUAAGUACAAAACCAUUGAACAUACAUAUAUUGAAAAACAACUUCAUAGUAUAAAGUCAUCCAUCAUCUAUACUAUAAAGAGGUGUUCGAAACAUGUUCUAAAUAUCAUAUCGUCAUCCAUCAGAUAUUCUAUAAGAACACGGGUUAUAGGAAAAAUAGUAAUAAUUCAAGGUAGCCUCAGUAAGCAUGUUAUCUCAAAACGUUUCAUAAAACGUAAUCAUUAAAUCAUGCAUUUCAUGUAUGCAUUUCUACUAUUAAAACAUGCUUUUGAAGGGGUCCACUCACAGUACUUAGCCGCCGAAGAGCCACGCAAACUAACGUCACCAAUAUUGCCCCUAAGCACAUAAAUGGUCCAAUUAAUAAAACUAUAUAAUAGCAAUUGGAUUUGGGAAAACGGACGUUGGAAACGGAUUCAGAACGUCGAAUUACCCUAAGAAGGGUCCCGGACGAAAACCCGAAAAGUCAACUCUAAAGUCAAUGUUGACCGGAGGUCAACGGUCAAAUUAGGUCUAACGGGUUUUAGGCUUGAAAUCCGGAUUAGGGUUUAGGUUAAAUAGGAUUAGGAUUUAUUGGGUUUUGGAAUUCUAAGGUUUUUGGGUUAAAAGGGUUUAGGGUGAAAAUGGGUGGUUUGGGCUUAAUCCCAAACUCACACACAACACACACACACACUACACAAACCCUAAAACACACACACACACACGGGCUGCACUAGGGCAGCCCUCACAACACUUCACAAAGGCCCUAAGGCCUUAUUAAAGGACAGGGCUUUAAGCCCUUUAAAGGAUACUGGCCCAAGGCCCGUCAAAAUAAGGCCCGAGGCCUUUGGGUUUUAAAAAGAACAAGAACAAAUUUAAAAGAAAAGGGGCUGGGGUCUACUGGGCUAAGAUAUAACGGGCUUAAGGCCCGUGGGGUUUUCUAAAGGGCCUGAGAGGCCUGGGUUUGUCGAAGGAGAAGGCCGGAAUUUCGGCCGGAAAACCACCCAACUUUAAAUGGCCAUAACUUUGUCAAUACUCAACGAAAUCAAGCAAGACAAAAAUGAAAGUUGUAGCCCUUGAAGCGACGAAGAGAAUGGUUCCUCACACGACGUCUAACUCGCCGUGGUUUGGCCGGAAAAUGCCUCGAAAUCCGUCGGACUCGCCGGAAACUGGGUAAGAUUCAAAUGAGUAUAACUUCUUCAAUACUCAACGAAAUUAAGUGAAACAAAAAGGAAAGUUGUAUUACUCGACGAGACGAAGAGAUUGAUACCUUACACGCCGGCCAACUCGCUGUGGUUUGGCCGGAAAUGGCCUCGAAAGGGGCGGUGCUCGCCGGAGCUUACUCCGUGCCGUCGAACUCGCAGGGUAGGGUCCGGGGUUCGUUGCAAGCCUCUCUUCGAUGGUGACUCGGUCCUAGUGAGUCCAGGGGAAGAGAGAGAUGCGAAAGGUUGAGGGAGAGAGAGACGGGAGAGCUGAGAAAGAGAGAGCUACGGGAGGGAGAAACGAAGAAGAAGAAGAGAGAGAUCAGAAAACAUAAAAAAAAUAAACAAGGUGGGCCCCACGGGCUCACCAAUUAAGGCUUUAAAACAAUUUUAAAAUAUAAAAGAGGGUUGGGGUGUUUCAACAUUUGUACCACGUGGCAAAAAAAAAACCUAAAUCUUCUAUACAAAAAAACUAAAAAAACCAAAAAAAGCAAAAUCGAACACUCCACCCCGCAAAAAUCCUAGCAUCUUCCUUUUAUUCCCCACAACCCCAAAUUCCCCCCCAAAACCCCUAAAACCCAAACCCUAAUUCCUCCCCCACAUGAAGAAAAUCCCAGUCCAAUUCAAUCCCAAUUACCUCAAAUCCCACCAUAGAAACCCUAAAUUUUGGUUCCUCAAUCCCUAGAUUUCCCACGCCUCUGUUGCCUACACCUUAUCAAUCUUUAGCUUUCUCCCUCAUCCCCUCCAUGAACGACACUUUCUCUCAUCCGCUGUUCCCCAGCAACGGCACCGAUACCUACGAGGCCUGGUACGGCAACAUCCAGUACCUUCUCAACAUCUCCGCCAUCGGCUCAUUCUUAUGUGUCUUCUUUUUCACCUUGGUCAAGCUUUGAAGCGAUCGCCGCCGCAUGCCCGGCUCGUCCUCCCUCGUUGCUAAGCUCUUCGCAGUGUGGUAUGCUACCUGUCGAGAGAUUAUGCUCCCAUGUGGCGCUGAGGCCAUAAUACUCACGCACCCAUCUACACACCCACACCACCACUACCGUGGACUCUCUCUCACUCUCCCUCGUCUUUGUAGAGCUAGGUGAAGCCUAGAAACCGAGAACUAGCUCCAGCAAACCCCGUGAGUUUCGAGCCAGAUCCCUGCCGACUCCGACCAUCCCAUGACCAAUCUAAGGUACAAAACAUUUCCCCUUGACUCUAUGCUCUUUUUCGUAUGUAGAUCGUAGGGAAAAGCCCACAGAAUGAGAGAGAAUAGUGACCUGAGAGAGUCCACGGUGAUGGUGGUGUGUAGAUGAGUGCGUGCGUGGGUGUACUGUCGGGGAUAGAGUCUGAGAGAGAUAGAGAGUGAAAGAGUCUGAGAGAAGAGUGACUUGCGAGAGUGAGAGAUUCGAGAGAGACUCGGGAAAAGAUUUAUGGGUUUGGGUUUUUCUGGUUUUUUAUUUUUAUAAUAAUAGGGUUAAUAUUAUAAUAUUUUUAAUGUAUAAAAAUUUCUUUUUUGCCACGUGGCAGCCACAUCAGCACAAAUGUGGUAGUUGUAGAUGCAAAUUUCUUCCUCUUGAUCUUGGACAAUUUUGCACCUACAAAACAAUUAACACCUUAGGUUAAGGCCAAAAGCCUCACACACCCACAAUGAAUGGGGGGCUUUGGCCGAAGAACCUCUGUUGCCAAAGUUAGAAUUUAGAGAGAAAGAGUCUUUACAGAAUUUUGGGAUUUUUGCCAAAGUGUUGGAAUGGCUUUCUGGUGAGAACGGGAUCACUUUUAUAAGGAUAGGAAGUGGUCGGCCUAGCUAGGGUUUUUGGGUUUAAUUUAGGUUUAAUUCUUCAAUUUAUUUGGCUAAUUAAACCCUAAAGAAUAAAUUGGUGGUUACAAAAUUGAUUAUUUGUAUAAAUGGGGUAAUAAAAUGGAGAAAAGUGAAAAAGGUUAGGAAAAGGGAGGUAGCUAGCUUCUUAGUAGUUUUAGGUGUGAGUGGGUGUUUUAAUUGAUAAUUAAGGGAUUGAUUAGGUAAUUAAUCCCUUAAUUAAACAAUUUUUAGGGAAUAUGAAAGGAAAUUAUUAUUUAGCUAAUUGAUUAGCUAAAUAAUGGAAUACAAAAUAUAUAGAAUAAAUUAGGCUUUAGGUAUUACCUUAUAGAAAUGAUUUGAUGAAAUAGGCUUUAAAUUGUUAACUAUUUUGGGCACUUUUGACUUGGUUGAGGAUGAUUGUCUGCCGCUCGCACGUAGGAAUCUCGAUAUGCCUUAAGGGUAUUUUUGUCCUCUUUUACCCAAAAAUCCACGUGUCGCCUUGUGAUUAUUUUUGGCUCCACAAAUGCCCCCACACCUGUUGGGCUGCUCGCAGAAAAUGGCAGCAGGUGUAGAGAUCAUCUUGCUUUAGGAAACGUAGGACUACUUCCUCUUUAGAUGUAGAUUCUCUCUUUAAUAGGAAAUUAGGUUCUUCUAGGAAAGGGAAAUAAAUUUCUGUUAAAGCCUAUUUAAGUCUACCUUAAGUGGGUUAUUAAAUCAACUUUGGAGAGCGAUUUCUUAUACCCUACAAGAGAGAGGGAGCUUAGAGAAUAUUUGUUCCCCCUCUUCUAGCAAUCUUCUACAUCUUUCCCGUGCAAAGGAUCGUCUUUCGUUGAUUUCUUCGUCUUCUCCGUGCCGCACCGAUGUAAGAAAAAUUUAAUUUUUUGCUUAUCUUCUUCUUGGAUAGUACUAUUACAGGGCAACCGUUAAGGUAGUGCGGCACGUCUACUGGCAGGGGCUAGGAGUUGGCUCGGCAUCGGUCGAUGAGGCAUUAUGGCAGGGGCCACUGCUUAGGCUGUUUGGCUUGGCUAGAGCCAAUGGCAGCUUGUGCGGCUGGGGUCGCGGAUUGUGGCGUUGGGGCGCAAUGCUAGGCGAGCCACAUGGUUAAUGUCCUUUAGGCUCUUAGACCUUACUCGGGCCAGGCUAGCGACUGAAAGAAAUGAGGAGGUCGUGGGCCUCAUGGGUUGUUGGAAUGUUGGGCAUGCAGGCCUCCUGUCUGCUAGAAUGCUAGGUUGAGCUCCUCUGCUGAGUACCGUGAAUGGCGUUGGCUGCUUAGUUCUUUUUACAGAGAGAAAGGUGGGCUGCUCCCGAAAGAGGAAGUAAAGAGGAUCAAGGUGGAUGCAUUGGCUCGUCUAAUCGCUGUCGUGGAACCUCCUAUGAAUGAAGAUGGAAAUAAGAGAUCUUCCCUGCCUACUCAAGAGAUGCCGAUCGAGAAAAAUUGAAGACUUUCUCCACUGCUGCUCAUGAUGAUUUGUCUGCUGUCGAUAGGCCUGUGAUUGGCAUGACUUCUUCCAAUGGGAAGAAAAAUGAGGCUGCUAGAUCUGAUCAUGUGGUGCCUUCCAUGUUGAGAAUUGCUAGUACAAUUGUUGAUAAGAUUGCUUAGCGCAAAGGUUUUAUCAUGCCCCCAGUACCGAAGUCUGUACCAGGACUUUCGUUUGGAGCAAAGUCUGGUUCACCUUUGGAGAUACUUGCUAUUAUGAAAAGUGGUAAGGUGGACUCUGCUGCUAAAGUGGCGUCAAGGCCCACUCCCUUUGUUGCUGAGACUGAUUCGCCUGCUAGGAAGGAAGAUACUACUUGUAUGGGCAGCUGUGAGAAAUCCACUAAACUUGCUUCUGGGGAGGCUGCUGAGAUCAUUGUGCUUUUGAAACUAUAUCUGCUUGAAGACAUGGACGCUUGUGCCAAGUUUGUUGAUGGCGGUAGAAAGGUUGUUUACCUAAGUUCCUUUGCGAAACAUACGACCCAAUAUAAAAUGACUGCUCUGCUUACUAGGAUGCAUAAAUAGCAAGGUUGUCAAGGAGGUGGCGAAGAUUAUGGCAGCUAAAGCUUAUUCCUCAGUCGAGGAGAUCAAAAGGUUGAAUUAUGAGCUUGUUGCUUUGAAAGAAAUGGAAGAACUGCAACACGUUCGUGUUAGUCUGUUUGAGAAGAAUGAGCAGCUAAACGGUAAGAAUGAUGGGCUUGAGGUUUCUCUAUUUUUCCGGAAGACUUGCUUACUUUUACUUUUGAGGCUUCCAUUGGUGAAGUAGUUGGAGACGUUAGUGCCCAGGCUUAGGCAACCGGGGGUGAAGCACCGGAUGAUGCCGCUGCUAAGAACGUUACGGCUGCUGAAGGUGUGGAGACCAAGUAGUCGUGGGAUGUCCAAGCUGCUGUAGUGUAGUAUUUUAGGUAGCUUUUAUGAUUUUCUUUGUUUUUCCUUGUAGCUCUUGUUUUGCUUGAACUUCUUCGGCCUUUGCUAGUUGUAUAAACAUGUUUUCCUUCGCUUUUCUUCAUCUUCGCUUCUUUUGUUCAUGCCCUAACCUUUAGACUUGAUAGACCAAUGGCAGGCAUGCUACUUUUUUAUAAGCAGACAAGCUCGCGUAGCCUAUGCAGCCGUAAAUGUUGGUGUAGAACUUUGCAAAGUUGUUAGCCAUUAGGUUGGUAACCAGAUACCUUACUUACAGAAGUAGACAAGUCCGCAUAACCACUAGGCUAUUAACCUUGACUUUCUCCAAUUCUGUAGGUUGCGUAGCAAGUAUCACAACACUUUAGGAAUUGGUAUAGGUUGCUCCGCACUUGGCAGAGGUGAAGCCUAUCGACUACGUAGCAUGUCGGCAGUGGAUAAAACUUCCAUAUAUGCGCGCUAGCUUGUUUAACCUUUCACAAGAAUGUGCGGUUGUAUAAGUCUAGCACGGUUUUACUGCUUGAAGGGCAAGCCGUAGGCAGUCUUCCGGAAUCCGUAGGCUACCUUAAUGUACUCGGUAGCAGCUUUAGGGUUCCAGGGCAGCCGUCUAUAGAGCGUACUGCGUAAUGUGCCCCAUCCGUCUCUAGCUCCCGGUUCCCCACAGAUUAGACCAAGAGACCCAAAAUCCUUCAGUUAGUUAAGCCUUGAAAAAGACCAUUGUGGCUACUUCUAGGAAUCCCGGCUCAAGCCAUCGUACAUCUAGUUAUACUAGGGUAGCCAGGCUCAUCAGCGUCUGGAUAUUCGGAGUGUAAAGUUUAUCCUCCCGUCUUAGAGAGCUGACCCAUAUGAGUGUCGGGGAAUUGGUUUACCCUCUCACACUAGAGAGUAAUUAAUUUACCCUCUCGCACUGGAGAGCAAUUAGUUUACCCUCUCGCACUGGAGAGCAUGGUUGGUCCAUCGGGGGGCGCAAUUCCUGCGAUGAGUCCCUAAGAAGGGCGCAGUCUUCUUUUGAAGUGCAGGAAUGAUUAGUUGUUAUAAGCAUGUGAUCGAGUCAAGUUGUGAUUACUUCUAAAUUCCUCAUUGAAAAACGAGUGAAACGAACGAGAACUUAGCCGUAAGGUAGGAACUGCAUAACAACUGGAUAGUCCUCAACUUGUGUGGUGGUACCCAUCGAGCUUCUUGAGUCUUCGGGCUUUGAUGUAGUGGGAGGUUACACAUGGCACCUUUUCAGAUUGUAGGCGCUCUACUGCUUUUCGAACUUUUUUUUUGUUGUGUAAUUGCUCUUGCUGCCUACUCGGCUAAUCUUAUACAGACUUUCUCGGAUGAGAUUCAUCUUUUUGGAGCUUCUCUGCUGGCAGUGAUGAAGGCUUUUCUUAGGACUAGAUCUCUGGGCUGGAACUGCCAGAUUUUGGCCUUUUUGUUGUGGCUGGAAAAGAACCACUGCUGGUAAGUUGUAAUGCAGAUGAUAGUCUGCUCGCACUUCUCCUCUGCCAAAUUUAAGCUUGUGGCCAUCUCCUUUCGGUUGCUCGUCUUUUGGUGUUGCGAUGUGCCCAUAGACAUCCAGGGAGUUUGUCUGGCCAUUUUCUUUUCUUAUUGGUAGGGGAUUUCUUGUGGCAGUCGAGGAUCAUCUUAGUGGAUGUUUUGGCCAGCCUAUUGCCUUGAGGAUAUCUUGGCGUAGACAUGUGCUGCUUGAUGCCAUAUUUUUAGAAGAAUUUCGCCAAAUCUUUGCCCACGAAUUACGGGCCGUUGUUGGUGACGAUGGAUUAAGGUAUGCCAAAUCGGCAAAUGAUGCUCUUUCAUAUGAAGCGCUCUAUGUCCGUUUGAAUUGUGAUCGUCAUGGGCUCUGCUUCUACCUAUUUGGUGAAAUAGUUGGUUGCCACGAUCAUCAUGCAUUUGCCCUUAGUAGUCUGGCUGGUGAUUAGCUGGGAAUCAGAAUGAAUUGAAAGCUUUUUCACCACCAAGUCUUUUGUCACUCGAAGGCCUGCUAGUGGGGCUUUGUACUCUGCUUCGUUGUUAGGUGCUUUGACGCUUAGAGUGAUCGCUUACUCGAGCAUUGAACCGUCUGGGGUGGCAAGAACCACGGUUACUUAUAAGCCUUUGUAGUUGGAUGCGCCGUCGACAUGCAAAUGCCAGAAAUUUCCAUUGAGGGAGUAGGUAUGGCUAAAGUGUGCUCGGCUACCUUCGAAGCGUCGUUGGGCCGCUUUGUUACAUUGUCAAGGCUAGGUUUGAAGGCGCGGUAGAGAGUCGUGGAGCUGGGGCCAUGUUACAUGUAGCAGGAGAUGCUCAACUUCCGGUAUUAGGCCACUCUAGAGCUGAAUAAUGGAGCAAAGGUCGGCUAGGGUCGUAUGACGCGCAGCAGAAGGUAGUGCUCGACUGCUAGUACAUGUUGCUCUUACGUAGAAUCUUCUGAGGCGACGAGGACAAAACUUGCUUUUAAGUGUUCCUUCUAGUGUUCGUCUGCCCUUGGCGUGUCUUUUGGGCUGAGUUGUUGCGUUCGUCAGAAAACUUUGCAUCUGCCAGGGUUUACGUCUUUAUCAUCACGGGUUUGGAUUAGGCGGAAUAGUGCGUCAUGAUGAUGACUGCGUACAUUUGAAGGUAAAACUUAAGCUUUUGGGUUACAACAACUAUCACCAAAGUUAGCUUUUGAAUUUUUAAUAGCAUCGAGGAGAGCUUUUGAACUAUAAAAUACAUGUAGUUGGGCCCCCAACUCUUCUCGCAUGACGGUACAGCUUAUUUCUACUUUAGAUACCGUCAAACAUGCGAAUAAGUCCUCUGCUGCUUCUAGGGAGGUGAUGUUGGGUACUUCUUCAAGCCCUUGAAUGUGCAUUGGCGAGCCUCAUCCCAAAGUGCAUGCUUCUCUGCCAAAGAAAAAGAGUCUACCAGAGUUAGAUAUUCUUUCAUGAUCAAUUUUCUAAAUAGCGGUGGUCUGCUGGAAGGCCUUUUUGGAAGGCUGCUCUAGCUAUUGAGUCGCUGCAUCCGACUAUCAUUGCCUUCUCUGUUUUGAAUCUCUUCACAUAGUCACGAAGUGACUCCUUUGGGUUCUUUUUUACGUCAAACAAAUGGUCGGACUUCUUUUUGAUCGAGCAAUAAGAUGAAUAUUCUUUGGUGAAAACCAAAGAAAGUUCGUAGAAAUUCUAGAUAGAUUGUGGCGGCAGGGUGUAGAACCAAUCUUGUGCCUCGCCUUCAUAGUGGUGGCGAAUAUCUUGCACAUGAGAUCAUCGUUGUUUCGAUAAAGGAUCAUUGUGCUUCGGUAGCGCUUUAAGUGUCUCUUCGGGUCUUCAUCCCCUUUGAAAGAUAUGAAAUGUUGCAUACUGAACUCGCAUGGAGGCUCUGCCAGCUCGAUCUCAUCCGUGAAGGGUGACCUGCUUAUGUUGGUCAUGUUCCGUCGUAGUGCCUCGUCGGUGACCUUGUUGCGUUAGAAAUCAUGCAAUCGCUUGAUUAAAAGUCUCUCUACUUCUUCCUGAAUUUUCAUUUGUUAGGGUAGCAGAGCUCUCGGCUGCCCCUAGCCAUAACUUACUGGUCUAGGAUGCUCUUCCAUGUGUUUGGCUCGUAUACCGUGGAUGCAGUGUAUGUGGUGCGGUCCUAGUAGGUGAGCGAGUUCUUCGCAGGCUGCUAGUUGAACUUGAGCUGGAUUGAGUGACUACUUCUCUCCGUCCGUCGUGCUGCCUACUCCAAUGUGAGGUGAAAGAUGCUCCUUGCAGGCUUAGCCACGAAUGAACACUUUACCUGGAAGGUUGCUCAUGUUGACUAUCAGAGUAUGACCCUAACCGUGAAUGUAUAUUCACCCGUGGGCUUAGUCGAGAGUGCACGCUCCUCCGCGCGCUAAGACGAGAGUAUACGUUAUCUCGGGAGCCCAAUUGGGAGUGUACACUGCCCGAACGCUCGGCUCGUGGCUGGUCGAGUGGCUGCUUGCCGAAACGCUGCGGGAAAGGUUCGUCUGCCCUUGUCCUACUUCGGGAUACCUUGUUUGGGGCACGUUGGAUUCUGGUGCAUUGCAAAAGUUGAUUCACCAAGGUUGUCUGUUGUGCAAGGGUGCUCGUAAACGCUACGACUUGUCGAGACAAGUGUUGUUCGUCAUUUGGAUUGGAAUAGCUUGGAAGGAAUGUGCCUUCUUGGGCAGUGGAAGGGUGGUAGACUCCGGGCUCGAGAUUUGAGUUGGGAAAUGUCAAAUCUACGAAAAAAUGUGGUGAGAAUGCCCCCGGCUCGAUGGUAGGUCCGGAUGGUUGAGAUAGUCUUGGGCCGACUUGGGCUGCUUGGAAAGCCACGGGAGCAGGCUGGGCCACGAGAGUGAGCUGCUCGGCAGGAGUAGGCUGGGCUACGAGAGUGGGCUGCUCGGCAGGAGCAAACUGCUUGGAGUGUGAUGCACAUGGGUGCGAGGCUUGGGCUCGGCUUGGUAACACAUUGAGUUCGGGUUUGGCUUGGAGUGACAUGACUUGGGCCGUGGCCUUGGUGUCGUGAGCCUUGGAUGGCACGGCUCGGGCAGUGGUAGCUGUGCCAUGGACCUCGCCGCGGGUAGUGGUGACCGUGAUGGCCACCGCGGUGGUUGCCAUGGUGGAGCCCCGUAGUGAUGGUGCCGCUCCUAUGAUCACAUUUAGCCUCGUGGAUCGUCGUGGUCCCAUUUCUUGAAUAUUAGAAUUUUCACUUAUGGAAUUUUCUAAAUUUCUAGCCAUUAUAUUUUUCUUAUACGUUUUAUCAAAGAACCUUUGCAAAUAAAAAAUUCUAAUAAUAAGAACGUAUGAAAAAAUAUUCAAAUGGACUAGAAAAUAGAGAAAAACCUUUUUAUGCGAGAGUCUUCUACGAGUAUAGAUCUCAACUCUCAAUGAAAGCACCAAUUUGUGGAUGCAAAUUUCUUCCUCCUUGAUCCUAGACAAUUUUGCACCUACAAAACAAUUAACACCUUAGGUUAAGGCCAAGAGCCUCACACGCCCACGAUGAAUGGGGGGGCUUUGGCCGAAGAACCUCUGAUGCCAAAGUUAGAAUUUAGAGAGAUAGAGUGUUCAGAGAAUUUUGAGAUUUUUGCCAAAGUGUUGGAAUGGAUUUUUGGUGAGAAUGGGAUCACUUUUAUAGGGAUAGGAAGUGGCCGGCCUAGCUAGGGUUUUUGGGUUUAAUUUAGGUUUAAUUAGUCAAUUUAUUUGGCUAAUUAAACCCUAAAGAAUAAAUUGGUGGUUACAAAAUUGAUUAUUUGUAUAAAUGGGGUAAUAAAAUGGAGAAAGGUGAAAAAGGUUAGGAAAAGGGAGGUGGCCGGCUUCUUAGUGGUUUUAGGUGUGAGUGGGUGUUUUAAUUGAUAAUUAAGGGAUUCAUUAGGUAAUUAAUCAAUUUUUAGGGAAUAUGAAAGGAAAAUAUUAUUUAGCUAAUUGAUUAGCUAAAUAAUGGAAUACAAAAUAUAUAGAACAAAUUAGGUAUUAGGAAUUACCUUAUAGAAAGGAUUUGAUGAAAUAAGCUUUAAAUUGUUACCUAUUUUGGGCACUUUUGACUUGGUUGAGGAUGAUUGUCUGCCGCUCACGCGUAGGAAUCUCGAUAUGCCUCAAGGGUAUUUUUGUUCUCUUUUACCCAAAAAUCCACGUGUCGCCUUGUGAUUAUUUUGGCUCCACAACAACCACGUCAGCAUUUAACAGACCAAUGGAUGGAAAAUCUAACGGAGGUAUUAUUUUGAAAUAAAAUAACAAGUGAGGUAUGAAAGUGAAAUGUUUUAAAGAUGUUGUAUGGGGUUGUAAUAGACCUCAAACUUGAGGGUCCUAUGUAAUUUACCUAUUUUUAUGUUAAUUAUGAAUAGGUCAAUCAUGUAGAACCAAAUUAAAAGCUAACAUCAAUAACAACUACCAGAGACAAAAGCUCUAAUCAAUGCUUCGGAAACAUAGUCUUGUAUCUCUAGGUGUAAUGAUAUAAUUUGUUGGAAACUUAAAAGAAAAUUGGUGAUUUUGUAUAUAAUCGAUAAAAAGUUAUAAUAGUGACAAUAUAUCAGUAAUAUUUAUGUUAAUUAGGAAUAGGUCAAUCAUGUAUUUAAUACUUACAUGCAUUUAAAAUAAACACCUUAUCAAUGUUUUUUUAACUGUGCUCAGUUUUUCUCCUUCGCUUUGGUUUUGUUCUAUUGGAUUUUUCAACUAUCAUUAAUUGUGAACAUAACUGAUCAUUGAGACACAAACAUCCAAGGGAGAGUACCGUGGAACAAAAUGUGGAUAUCUUUAUACAUUGUAUGGUAGUAAACCAUCAUAAACACCAUAAUAAUGUAGAAACGCUCUUGGGGUACCUUUGGAUGAUAACUCAUGUAUUUGUUGCCCUACGUAAAGAUGGCUAAUGAUAAUGGAAGUCUAAUUUUCUCAUCCCAAUCUCUCCUGUCUCUCUUGUUCUCUUUUCUCUAUAGUUUAUUUCCAACAAGUUGUGUUAUUUUUUUUUUUUAGUAUUGUUAAGCAACCAAUAGAUUUUAAUUAGCAGUCUUUGUUUUUUUCUUUUAUAUUUUUAAUCAAUUUCAGUUGCUUAUCCGUUCUAGCAAAUUGAGCUCUUUUACAGCAAUUUUUUUCUUUAAAUGAAAUUAUUAUUAUUAAAAGAGUGAGAAAAUUCGAAAUUAUUACAACAAUUUAAAAAAAAGAAGUUUCGAAUCAUAAACACAGAGGGAGUUUACAACAUUUUAAUUAAGAAAUUAGGCUUCAGCUCAACUCAUCUUUGCAACGUCGGUUCCACUUCACAUCAACAUGCAAUGUUUCAGAAGGUCACGCGGUUUUGGGGUUGUUGUGUACCAAUAAUAUUAUAUAUAUAUAAAUUAGGAUUGAAGGAUACACGCAUUUUGUAGAGCUUAUUUUGUUAUGUAUUUUAAUGAUUUAAAUGCUUACGUUUUUCUUCACUACAAAUGAGUGAAUUAAUGAUUUUAGAAUUUGUCUAAUUUUUUACAUUGAUUAUUUAUGAAUAUUGAAUUGAAAUAUAGACGAUUCAAAAAUCGUUGAUAUACAUUACAAAAUGAACUCCACAAAAUAAGCGUCAAAAUAUGUAUAUAAAAUGGACAGCGUGAAAGGCUUGGAAAUUGGAAUAGGUUUGAAAAUUGUGCUUUUUGUAGCAAAUUGUAGCAAAGUUUGCUUGGACUUUCACAACCGUAUAAAUUAUGCCGCAGCACUCUCUAUUUUCUCUCUCGCUCUAUAUCGUGGUCCCUCUCUCUCGCCGUCCUCGAUUGCUCGAACUCACUAUCCUUUAUUGCUCGAACUCACCGUCCUCAAUUGCUCGAACCCACUGUCCUUUAUUGCUCGAACUCACUGUCUCCAACUUCCUCUGUUUGGUUCCCGAUGAAGAUGGUAAAACAGUAGGGGCAAGAAAUUAUGACAAUGUUAGAUUUGCAUAUUAAUCUGGUAGGGCUACAAUUCUCCAAUCCACACCCCUUCCAUCUAUGCUAGUGUUUGUACCCAAUAUUAGAUAUCCGGUCUGUGCAAUCGAGAUCGUUGAAUGAGAAAAAUUCUAAGCCGUGGGAUCAAAUAUAAUGAUGUGGAUUAAAUAAGAAAAAUUUAAAUGUUUAUCUUGGUUGAAUUACCAUGAUAAUAUUGUGGAAUUAUCUUCUGCAUAACGGGAUAGCGAGAAAAGUCCAAGGGUGUAGGGAAGUUGUGUGGCUGACUACCGCUUUUUUUUAUGGUGUCAUUAGUAGAGUAAUAUCACACUUAACAUUUAUUUGUACCAUCUCUCUAAUAAAGAUAAAGACCAUCAAUGCAUAAAUAAUGAUACAAAUAUAUAAUAAGAGUAUCAUAUUUGUAACUAGAAUAGGAGAAGAAAGACUUCAAGAUGGGGUCAGCCAAAUAAUUAGCGUCAGGAUAAAAAUAUGAGUAAUGAUAUUUGUAAACAUCGAAAUUUCGGUAAAUAAAUGUUGACCGAUAAAUCAAAGUUUCAACGCUCAUGUAUUACAUAAAUUUUACACGUAGCGUAUGUCUAAACAAAAAAUCGAAAUAAGUUGGAAAAGUCAUCAAACAGGACACAUGUCAACACCUGGCAGAAACGACUUAUUUCAUCUGGAAUAUUAUAUUCAAAAUUAGGCAUUGGAAAAUUCUAUAAAUAGAAGCCAAUUUCAUUCAUUUGAAGGAACCAAAAUCAUUAGGCAAAAUUCUUGAAGCUCUGAAGCUCUGAAACUCCGAAACUCUCAAGCAUCCAGGUUCCCGAAGAAUCAAGAAAGCUCUCUUCGUUCUUCGUUCUUCGUUCAUCGUUCAUCCUAAGAUCAAGCUCCAACGGCCCUUUAGAUCAACAAUCAUCCACUAAUUCAAGAUCAAGCCCCGACGGCCCUUGAAGAAAGUGUUCUUCAUUCUUCGUUCAUCGUUCUUCCAAGAUCAAGCCCCAACGGCCCUUUGGAUUAACAAUCAUCCACCAAUUCAAGAUCAAGCCCCAACGGCCCUUGAAGAAAGUGUUCUUCGUUCUUCGUUCAUCGUUCUUCCAAGAUCAAGCCCCAACGGCCCUUUGGAUUAACAAUCAUCCACCAAUUCAAGAUCAAGCCCCAACGGCCCUUGAAGAAAGUGUUCUUCGUUCUUCGUUCAUCGUUCUUCCAAGAUCAAGCCCCGACGGCCCUUGGAUCAACAAUCCACCAAUUCAAGAUCAAGCCCCAAAGACCCUUGAAGAACUUCUACCAAUUCAAGAUCAAGCCCUGACGGCCCUUGAAGAAAGUGUUCAUUGUUCAUCAUCCGUUCAUCCCGAAGAAUCAAGAAAGCCUUAUUCGUUCUUCGUUCAUCGUUCUUCCAAGAUCAAGCCCCGACGGCCCUUGGGUCAACAUCAUCAACAAAUCCACACAUCCAACCGUUCUUCAAGAUCAAGCCCAAAAGCCCUUGAAGAUCCGUUCAUCACCGUUAUUCAAGAUCAAGCCUUAACGGCCCUUGAAGAAACACUCAUCCUCAAGAUCAAGCCCCAACGGCUCCUUGAAGAUCCGCUCAAAUCCACCUUCAAAGAUCAAGCCCACGGCCCCUUGAAGAAACAUCCAACAGUUCAUCCAAGAUCAAGCCUCGACGGCCCUUGGAUCAACGAAACAUCUACAAAUCAACACCUUACGGAGAUCGAAUCAGAUGAUCAAAUUAGAGAGAGAUUGUAACCCUAAAUCAUCAAAAUACAAAUAUUAUUUUGUGCACGUUGUUCUUAUCUCUUUCGUUUCAGGAAAUUUUCGUGUUCACAAUAUUCUUACCAUCUAAAUAUACUAUAAUUUUAUACCAUCUUAUGUGGCAAUUGAGAUGGACUUCCACAUAAGUUUUAAAAAAAUCUCAUGUCAGCUAAGGUGGAUAUUUACGAUUUUACGAUUUUACUCAAUGAUUUUUAUUAAUAAAAUAAUUAAAAAAUAAUAAUGAAACCUACUUGCUCCCGUUUUCAAGCCUCAUCGCUGGGCCUCCUCCCUCUUCGCUCUCCAAUUUCACCUUCCUUCACCAACGAUCGAUGGUGCUCGACCCCCUUCAUCAUUGCCAACUGGCCGAAUAUCUUGAUGGUGCUCCCAGUGAUUGUUUUGCUCUGCCACCAAAUCAAGUUUGCAAUUUUAAUGGUUUAUGCCUUCUGGCCAAGUGUUGGAUUUGAUAGGUUUUUAAUUCCAGCAACAUUGAACAAAAAUAUGAAAAGGAUUGGAUACGAUAUUUUCCUCUGUUCUACUGCUGAGGAUUUUCCGAAUAGAAGAAGAUUUGGAAGACAACCUCUUUUCUUUUUUCUUCAUGGACUUUUGGUUAGCACCAAAAUCUUUUCCUAAUCCUCUAUAGGAAUGAAAAUUUCAUUCCAUGUUAUAUCCCGAUGUUGUCCAAGGUUUUGGCUUGAAUUUUCAUUGGAAUUAUCAUAUGUUGGAUCAGAUCAGGUGGAGAGAUGAAACGUAUCUAACAAGGAAGUUGAACGGGUAGGGUUUGAGCAAAAAUAAACAGAAAUUCCACCUAGGUUGACACCUAAGCUUCCACAUCAUGUGGUAUACUAAAUGUGGUAUAAUAAGAUGGUAAGAAUAGCAUUAUUGAAUGGGUAAUGUUAAGAGAAAUUUUUAGUUGUGACGGGAACACGGAUGGUACACCAUGCGUUUUUAUGUAAAUGGUGGAAAAUUUUAAUUUUUAAAUUAUUAACCUUUUAGCACACAUAUCCCACCAUUUAUAUGAAAACACGUGAUGUAUCACCUCGUGUGAUAGUCACAUUGAAAAAUCUCUCGUAAUGUUAGGAAAACUAAAUUUAUAAACAAAAGUUACAAAUUAAAUGAUGGGUUACCAAUAAGAAUGAUUACGUUUAUCAAUGCUUAAAUAAUAAAUCAUUCAUCAACUUCCAGUCCUUUAGUUUUUAAAAUUUUGUCUAACAUUACCCUUUCAAAACUCAUGAAAAUAAUUUUCAAUUUUUUUAACUGAAAAGUGAAAGUUACUAAACAAGAUUUCAGUUUUUAGCUUUCAAAAAAAUAAAAACAAAAGCUAAAAAUAAAAUGGUUAUCAAACAUCCCUAGAAGUCAUUCUUAGUGAUAGUAAGGUCAUCUCCAACCGAAAGAUCCAGGGGGCUAGAGGGCCGAAAAUAGUCUGAAAACCAUUUCCAAUCAAAGGCCAUGCCAAAGGGGUCGUGGACCCCAUUAGACAAAAAAGGGCCAAAGGGCCAACUGGCUGGCCCCAGUUCCAACAAUAACUAGAUGACGUCAGUUAACCGUUAUUUUUGAAUUUUUUUUUUAACAAAUUUUAACUUUCUAAGCCAUUAAACAACAUUAAAUUAAGUAAAAAAGAAAAUUCCUAUAACUUCCUAAGUCAUUAAACAAUAUUAAAUUAAGUAACAUGAAACAACAUUAAACAAUAUUAAACAAAAUUAAACAAUAUUAAACAACAUUAAAUAACAUUUAACAACAUAAAAAUUAUACAACAUAAAAAAAAACAUUUAAGAACAUAAAAUUUAAAUGCCUACUUCAUGCUUCUUUUGGCCCAAAGAUGUGCAACAAGAUCCUAAUGUAGGUACUUGUUUGUGGCACGAGAGCGUAUCAUCCUAACCGUUAGAUUUGAUUUUUUUUUGUUUUCGGCCAAAUUUUUUUAAAUUUAAAAAUAAAUUAUGUUUGACCUUUUGGCCCUCGAUUGGAGAUAGUUUUUUUUGUGACAUGACUAUGUUUAGCCCUAUGACCCUUUGGCCCUCAGUUAGAGAUGGUAAGAAAUAUGACCCAACAAUGUUCAUUAAAAUAUUAAUUUCUUGAAGAGCCAGAGGGCUAAAACGAGCCAUCCUUCGGUUGGAGAUGGCCUAAGAAGAGACUAGAGAUAGAGAGAUUCCUAUACUUAGCUGUGAGAGUUUCCUAUAUAUGAUUUUCAUUAACAAGAUUGAACUGAUUACAUAGAGAAGAAGAUCAAGUAUGGUUAUUUUUAUUUGGGAGACUUUGGAUGUGGUCCUUAGUUAUGAAUAUUAUUUGAUUGAAAUCUUGUUGGUUUUUAAUUUUUUAUCAAGAUCCCUGAAAUUAAUGUGAUAAUUUAUUUCUAUGUAAGUUACUAUAUUUUUUUAAUUAGAAAUUAGAAAUUUUAGUUGUUUAUAUAAAUGAGAUUUUAAAUUAAAAAAACCAUAAUUUGUGGGAUUAAAAAUAUUAAAAUAUAAAUAUACUAUUGUGUGUGUGUGUGUGUGUGUGUGUGUAUAAAUAUGGGUACAUUCAUCAAAAUUAACCAAAAAAUUUAUUGUAUCAAAACAUGGGUACAUUCUUCAAAAUCACAAAAAAAGAAAGAUAUUAGGCUUAAUAACAUUAGUAAAUUUCUUCGAUUAAACUUGACAUGGAUACAUUUUAAAAUCAAAGAAAAAAAAUGUACCCAUAUAAGUUUAAAAAUGGAUUAGAAAAAAAAAUUGAAUAGAUUUUAUACAAAAAAAGGGUACGUUUUACAUAUAACAAAUUGGUAUAUUUAAGAAUGAGUACAUUUUAAGAUUAAAAAGUUUUACAUGAAUGGGUUCAUAUAAUUAGCAUGGGUACAUUUAGCAAAAUAAAAAGUACAAAUACAAAAAAAUAUAUGUGUACAAAUACAAAUAAACUUUAAAAAAUAUGGGCACAAAAAGAAAUUAAUAUAUGGGUACAAAUUAAAACCGAAAAGAAAAUUGGUACAAGUUAAAAAAGAAUUACAAAUUAAAAAUGGGUACAAACUAAAACUAAAAAUAUAUGAUAAAAAAUUUAGUCAUAAAUAUAAAUAUACUAAUUGUAACAUUUUUAACAUUAAAUGAAUAUAUUUAGACAUAAAAAAUAUAUUUUAUUAUUGAAAUAAUUAAUGAUGUUAUUAAUACCCAAGGACCUUGAUAAAAAAUUGAAAAGAAAUAGAAUUUUAAUCAAUGGAGUAGCAAAAGAAAAGAUGAGAACCUAAUUUCUCCUUUGUAUUGUGUAGACAUUAUAACUAUACAUUCAUAAUAACAUGAGUAAUGUUAUAUUUAUCACAUUUGUACUCUUUCUCCAAUAAAGAUAGGGUCCAUCAACACAUGUGGGUUCUAUUUGCCCAUCAACACAUGCGAAUCUCAUUUUUAUUAGAAAAAUAGUACAAAUAUGAUAUGGAAAUUAUGAUAAGAUCGCAAUUUUGUAAUAACAUAUAUACUCAACUAUUUAUAUACCAACUCAUCUCCCUUUAGUGUAGUUAAUAUUGUUUGUUCAACCAAAAAAAAAAAAACUGAACUUGUCAUAAUCAUUGAAUCCAUUUACCAUGAACAAACGGCAGUUUACUAAACUUGCCCUCAGAGUAUAUAUAAAAGGUGAAUCACAAUCUAUUGCAUUAAUAUAAGGAAACAAUUUAUAGGGUUUGACGGGUGACUUAAUAUGCUAUAUGGCACAAUGAAAAUUAAGUUCACACUUUAUCCCAAAUAAGGUGUUGCACCUUUAAUUUAUGGAUGCUGGUUUGACGUGUGACCGAAAUAAUCAAAUUGUAGCCAUUAAUCAUUUUACAAGUAAUAAUAUGUGGUUUUAUUGUUUACGAUUCACACAACAAUCUGCUAGGAAGUAGAAAAUGCAGUACUUGUCCCUCUCACAGAAGUCAUGAAUAAUUAUCAAAUUCAAAGAUAAAGAAAAACCACACAAUUUACAAGAGGAAAGAAAAUGAAGGGAUAAAGAAAGUAAGAAAGGAAUACCUCUAUGGGAGGACUCUUAUUUGCUUCAGAUGCCUACAAUAUUCAUCAUAUAAACACUGAUUAAGUAGUCAUCGAAAACCAAAACAAAUGUCGAACAUAGGGUGAAAAACAGAAAGAAUAACCGCAGCUCAUCAUACCAAUAGAGAUAGAACUGCCCGAUGCCCAAGUAUGACUGAAAAAUGGCAAUCCAAACAUGGCGCCUUCUAGCUCAUCAAACUGUCAAAACCUAGGUUCCACCAAAAAGAUACAAGUCACCUAGUUACUUGUAAAAUAAAAAUCUGUUUCAAAAUAGUGGAAAAUAUUAUUAACAUUGUUCAAAGUCCACAUUGUUGUACCUACCAAGAAACAAGAAGGAUUGUAUCUUAUCAUGAAAAAGAACAUAGGUACCUUUUCAAUUGUAAUUGUACAAAAAUGAGAGACCACUUCCGAACUUCUCUUGGAACUUCAAUCAAUUUCUGCCCACUUUUAAAUGCCUUGACAUACUUAAGCCUAUUUCUUUGAGCUUCAGUUUUGGCUUCUGAUGCCUUUAAAUUUCUUAAAGAUUCUUACCAAGUUUUACAAACUCACUUCUAUACAACCAUUUGUCAGUAUACAUACCAUUUUCUUUGAGCUUCAGUCUUUGCAACACCAAAACCCCCCAAAUAGACCCGGAAUUUUGCAAUGUGCAGGGAAUAUACAAAAAAAACCCUCCUAUCCAUCUAAAACGAAAUCAGAACGCAAACCACAAUCAAAAUCCGUAAAAUUAAUUUAGCCAACCCCUAAAUCUAAUAAUUCUAACAAAUAUUAUAGUAUCAAUUGAGAGAGAAUUUGAGAAGAUACCUAGAGAUGAAAGGAAGAGCGUUUCCUCUGAUAGGGGUUCCGUGAAAGCAUCUGUUGACCAGAAAAGAAAAGGCAAAAAACCCCAAAUUACAUAUCAAGCAAUUAUAGAUAGAUCGAACCUUGAAAAUUGAAAUUUCAAACAAGAGAAAGGUUAUAAACUUACAACGAUCUGGGUGUUGGUAACUGGGUUUGGAUUUGGGUUUCUGAUAAGAGAGAGAAUCGUAUGAGGAACCGAUAGAGGAACUGCACCGGCAACAGAGAGCAAUUGAUAUGGUGGAGAACAGACGAGAAUAGCUGCUUGGAUGGUCAAUCCAAGAAGAGAAAAUCUUGCCACAAUCGCGGUACUUGAAAAAAAAAAAAACAAGUUUAAAGGAGGGAAACAAUCGCGCCUUUUUCUAAUAGACUCUGUCGACGAUAUUCUUGACAAAUAGAUGCUUCGUCGGGUGAGCUUAUUUUUCACAACAUUUUAUUUAGGAUUGGGUUCGGUUGGUAAACCGUGUCAAAUUUCUUGUGCCACUUGCCAGCCACAUAUACAUAAUUACCGAAAAUCAGUUACCGUUAGCCAACCGUCUUCUUGCGGUUGCCAAAAAUCGGUUCAGCCAAAAUGAUUGGCUGGUUCGGUUGGUAAAUGGCACAACCGGUGGUUUCCACUUCUUCCUCGCUAUCUUCCAGUUCCAAGGGCUCAAUUUGAUUUUCAGAUUGGGAUGCUUGUUCGGUUGCAUUGUGUGGUUCAUUUUGGGUUAAUCCAUGUUGUGCACUAGUAGUUGAUUGGCUAGACUCCAUUAUCCUAAACAUAAGCAACAAAUAUACAUUCAAAAUAAUAUAUAUGUACGUGUAUAUAUAGUAUCAGUAAUCAUCAUGCUAUCAAUUUUGUUAACAAUAUUUUCUAUAUAUUGAUUUUGGCAUGAAUCAUAUACACAUACAUAUAUUUUUAAAACCCUAAAACUAAGGAGUCAUUUAUUUUCUAAACUCUAAAAUUGAGGAGUCAAGCAUGUAAAAAAAUACUUAAAAUAUCUAAAUAGAAAAAGAAAAAGAAAAAAAAAUAAAUAUAUAUAUAUAUCGGUAGGUAUGGCAUACCGCCGGCAUACAAAAUCAAUUACCAAAGCCAUGCCAUUAAUUGUCGGUUCGGUAAAAUGCCAACCGAUUAUGAAAAAAUGUCAAAACUAUACCAUACCAUUUUGAGCCAACCAGUAUGGUUUGGUCAGUAAAUCGGUUUAUGGCAAAAUUUCUCACCCCUAAUUUUAUUUGUCACCUUAAACCUAUUGGUUUCUAGCCUACAAUUCGGAUAUUUUGUUGGGGAAAGAUUUUUGUACCAAUAAAAUUUUGCUUUGUCGGCAAAAUGACAUUUUCUAGUAGUUAUAAUAUUAGGUAGAUCAAAUUUGUAAACUAUGUGAUGUGUCACUAAUAGGAAAAAAUUUCAGUGUGCUGAAAAUACGGUCUAGAACACCAAGUGUCAUAAUAUAUACUUGGUUGGAAAUCUUUUAUUUUCAAGUUUCCAACUAGUUGUAUUGUAACAGUUGGUGUUCCAAGCUAUUUUCUCCAUGCGCUGGAAAAUCUCUUCACUAAUUAAAAAUAAACAUAUUAAUUAACACUUAAGUAAUAAUCAAAGCAUCAACAACUACGUCAUAGAAUUUACGAAAUAUGAUCUUAAUUAAUGAUCUCCAUUACCCUUUAUCUUAGCGUAUACGUACGCCUUCACAUGUUUAUUUGCUGAUAUGCAGCUUGAGUAAAAAUUUCUUUUUAAGAACAUAUAUGUGAAUAUAAACAUAUAUAUCUAGUGAUCCAUGUUGCGUUAUUUAAAAAUAAACAAAUUAAUUAAUUAAUGAACUGUGUACCUGUCUGUGUAGAGUAAUCCAUAUGCAUGCUUGAAUCCUGAUCACCACGAAACCAUAAUAUAAGCUACUCAAGGCCCGGAAGCUAGGAUUGAAGAGAAAAACACCCAGUCAGAUUAAGCCAAUACAUCAAAGUUAAUACUUCCAAAUGUAAGCUUUAAGAUAGAAAAAUCACUUACUUCCUUGAGCAGUCGAGCUUCUUCAAUGGCAUGAAGCUUUUAGCAUGAGAUUGACUGCAUCACAACUAAAAUUUUCUCUUGGAAACUACAUAAGGAAUAGCAUGUAUACCUAUAACGUUGAGAAAGUACGCCAAUUUUUUCCUUCUGCACAUUCAUGUUUAAAAGUAAUCCUCAAAUGAACUUGCCCACAAUGAAAUGCAAUUUGAGGUAGUCGAGUGUGUUCCAUUUCCAUCCCAUCGGAAUUACUACUAAACUUUGAGAUGGUAGAGGAUUCAUGAAAUUUUUUACUUUUGAAAUAGUCUCCUUAGCAUUUCUCGACUAUAACAAUGAGGAAAUACUUCACCUUGUAUCAAACAAGGGAGACCGAAAAUCAACUACUAAUAGCAUCACAGAGCCAGCAGAAGAUUGAGGAGGCCAUGAAAAGGAAAGAGAAAAUACACUCUUUUUUUGUAAGGACAGAGAUAAUACAUUCAAUAAAGGGUACUGAUGUUUAUAUGCAAAGCUGAUUAGGUUUAAAUAGUCGUAUUUAUUCUGUACAGUGCCAAUAUUACCACCCGUUAGUACACUUUCAAGACACUGUAAUCCAGUGUAUGCACUAUGCAGUACGUAGUACUCCUCAUUUUUUUGGGGAAAUUCAUUAUUGGUCUUCAUAUCUUCUUUAUUUUCCUUGUCCUCAUUGUGCCACGUGUUUAAAUCACUAAUUAUAGGUAAUCUUUCAAUUUAAUUAAAUCUUAUGUAAAAAAAGAUAAUUAAAUAUCAUUUAGUAUUACAAUAUAGUGAUAUUCCUCUUUAGUAUAAAAUUUUUAUAAUUAAAAGCGUUCAGCUUUUUAAUCUUCAUUGGAAUAUUAUCUAUAAAGAAAAAUUAUUCGAAUCAGAGAUCAUUUAUGCAUUCAAAUGUAUAAAAUACAUCGACAGUGUGAGAACCAACUAAUAUAUUUUUGAUGAAGUACAAUUAUUGAAUACAUUUGAACGAUCAAAUGAUAUAUGAUUCAAAAUACAUAUUAAGAUAAUAAAUAUAAAAGAAUUGUUAUUUGCACUUCAAGAAUCUCAUUCUACACUCUAAAUUUUCUAUAUAUUAAAAGAAAAAUAAAUUUGUGAAAAGUGUAGAAUGAGGUUUUUUUAAAUGCUAAUAACACUUCUCUAAAUACAAUUAUGAAAUUAAUUAAGUAAAGAUACAUGACCUCGUGAAUGAUGAAUGUAUUAUUCAAAAAAAUAUUAAAAACAAAUUGAAAAAGGACGCUGUUGUUGCCACCACUUAUGCAAUGAUCGUCGCUGCCAUCACCAACCCCCAACACCCCAUUACAGCUCAUAAAAGCACAUCAUAAGCAAUUUAUGAAAUAAAUUUACUGGAAUACUAAUUUCCCCCUUAGUUUAGGUCACCAAUGUUUAAAUUUAGGGAUCGUGAUAUCCACACACAUUUUUUACUUCUUUCACACUUUUUUUUUCGGUUGUCGGAUCAGAUGAAUUGAAGAAAAUCAAUGAACAGAAAUUAACAAGGGGUGUGUGAGAAGUAAAAAUGAAUGUGUGGAUAACACACCCCUAAAUUUAUCACAACUUUCAUUCCAAAUUUAAUUUUUAUCCGUAGUUUUGUUUGUUCAAAUUUACUUUGACAUUUCCAUUAGUAUUAAAAUCUAAUUUAAAUUUUAGUGUUCAAGCUAGAAAAAGUGUUCCAUUUAAUAUUUAAUCUCAGUUUUUCUCUUUAUUCUUUUAUUGGGAUUUGGUUGCAUCGUAUCUCCAUUUUUCUCGGUGUUGUAUGUUCAUAAGGCCUGUGAAACGUUGGCACGGAGUGAAGGGUACUCACUUUUUGGCCCAAAAUGCAUAAGGCAUGUAGAUAUGUUAAUCAAAUUUUGUAAACUAAAGGAUAUAGAAGUUGAUAAUUAGAUUAUAAUUUAAGAUAAUACUAAGGAGACUAAAUUUGCAAACUAAAUGAUGUGUCACCAAUAAAAAUAAGCACGUUUAUCAACAAUUAAGUAAUAAAUCAAUCAUCAACUUUCAUGUCCUUUAGUUUCCAAGAUUUAAUAUACAAAUUUAGUCUCCCAAGCAUUACUCUAUUACUUAAGUAUUGAUUAACAGACUUAUUUCUUAUGGUGACACAUUAUUUAGUUUACAAUUUUAGUCUACCCAACAUUACUCUUUUGAAAUUGUCUUGUCCACUGAUAUAAUUCUAUUUUUCUUGUGAUCAAAACUUCAAAUGUUAGCAAGUCGCACGUAAAGUCGCUUAUGAGAGAAUGUGCUCACAUUGUAGUUGAAAGAUUAUGUGGCUAGCAACAUUACAAAUUUAAUUUGGUAUAAUUCUAAAAUAUAGAUUGAGGAAAAAAUGAUCACAUUAACUAGAAACUGAAAAGGUUUCAGCACAGUUUGUUCAAGCAAGAAAUUCAAUUUUGAUGCUACCGAUCUUAACAGCCUGAGCGCCGUACCUGGGCACCAAAGUCACCACCACACUCUCAUCAUCUUCAGCACCCAAAUCCUCCAACAGGUCCGUUAACCCCAACCUUAAACAACUCUUGCUCUUUUCCUUCUGCUUAUGUGGCACACUCACAAAACUCCCAGCAAACUCGCUCUUGUCGGGUCCACUCGGUGCCGCAUCCUCAUCGUCCACGUCAUUCACAUACACACAUCAAACUUCACAGCCACAUCUUUGUCAAGCUCAAUCCCCUGAAUCACCAAUAUCUCCUCCUCAUCCUCUUUCUCCUUCUUGCUCCUCUUCUUCGGCUUCGGCCUUGACACCACCGUACUUAUCUUCGUCUCCAAAUUUAUUGGAAAAUCUUUACCCGCCACCACCUUCCCUGAUGACGUCGUCUCAGUGGCCUUCGCCACUCCAGCCGCCUUUGCCUUUCUCGCAAGCUUUGUCCGACGUGGCGUCGGUCUAGACUUGAGCCAUGGAAUCUCAACAUCUUCAUACGUAUACCCUAGCUUUUUAUUAUCAAGAGUGUCCCUCACCGUGACCCUAACAAGCUCAGCAUUCUCGUCAUAAAACAAAAACCCCGUAUCCAACCAAUCCUUAUCGUUAAUAUCGUUAUUUUUAGUCCCUAUACUUUUCCAAAUAUUCCACAUUCGAUCUAUAUUCGAAUGGUGCGAAAAAAAUAUUGGAUCCCUUGCAGCGGAGUAAAAAUUCCCCAUGUCUUCAAAAUUAGGCUGCGUGUUAUCUCCGGUCCAUAAAUGAACCGGACCAUGUGGGGUCGUUUCGAUUGAACCGCCCCCUGGAUCUGGUUCAGUGUCAGCCCUGUAGGGCGAACCAAAGAACAACAGCGGUUUCUUGGAGUUGGAAACCAUCUGCCUAUACAUGAUUUUGAGGUUGGCGUCGAUUUGAGCAUCCUUGGACAUUGUUUCAUCCGUGCCGUUGAAGUCAAGAUCGAUGAGAGUCGGCGGCUGAUGGCUGGCAGCGCGGAGCUCGUCGUAAAGCGGAGAGUCCGGGUUAGCGAACAAGGCAGGGAGUUGCAUGCCAGCUGGCGCGUCCCAGUUCCAAAACGGCAACGCGAACGUCGGAUCGUCUAUGAGUUUGGCCAAGAUUCUUUCGUAGAAGUAUACGUAGUAACGAUGGAAGGGGAAGAAAAGCCAGCAUUGAUGGAUUUGGAGCUCGAGGUUGGGGAAGCCGACUUGGUCGUACGCGCCGUCGCAAUAGGCACAGUGGAGAUCGGCUUGCUGGGUGAAGCUACGCGGAUCGUCGUCCGGGAGGGCUUUCAUGAGCUCGAUGGCUUUUGAAUAUUUUUCGAUGUAGGCUUUAUCCACGGUGUGAGCUGCCGGCCUGACGCGGAGUUUGGUAGGGGAGGGGAAUUUGAAGUCUACGAUUUUUUGGGACGUUGGCGGGCAACAGUUGAUCGGGACUGCUCCACUUGGAAAGUCCGCAGCUCCGCAUUUGGCUAGGUCAGGCGGCAACACUGGCUUUGCAACAGCGAAGGGGUCGCUGCCAAGACCAGCCACUCCGGCUUUGCAACAGCGAAGGGGUCGCUGCCAAGACCAGCCACUCCACCGUAGAGGCUUCCGAGACCUAUAAGAAGAUAGAAUUCAGUUCUUGGCAGUAGAGGACUCUAUUGCAGGGAAAAACUGAUUUGAAUUAGGAAGGCUUAAGUAGUUUUCCAUAAGGAUUUUAAUAGGGAAUCCAUAUUCUAAUAUGAGAAGGAUAUGUGUGUACAUAUAUAUAUAUAUAUAUGGCAAUCUCUUCUCUCACAGGUGUGUGCUCUUUUGGAACUAAGCCCUAUUCUUAGUUUGAGUGAUAAAUACCCUGACAGAGAGAAGAAGAAUUGAUGUGCUUUUCAGGUUGAUCGAGAUCCACCAUGACUGCAUCAAACGGGAGUUCUACAGGUUAGUAUAAUUAGGUUUUAUUUGGAUUGAUGUUUUGUGUCUACUUGGUUGUAGUUUAAGUAACUGAAUCUUGCAGCUAGAUUUUGGUUUACAUGUGGUAUCAGAGCCAUAGAUUCAUGUUCUUAAAUUCAAUCGAUAAAAUUGAUUGAAUCCAAAAUAAAAUUCCGAUCUUCAGACUUCGAAACAGGUUCUGGUAGUUAAAAUUAGGAAAAGAAGAAACGGUGCGUUUUGAUUAAAAUAUGAUGAUUAAUACUUGACCGUUAAGAGCUAAUAAACUAUCUUCUCUUCCGAAUUGGGAAUACAAAUCGACAUCUAUCGAUUUCGAUUUCGGGGUUUGAAAAACUGGGUUAUAUGACAUCUAUCGAUUUCGAUUUCGAGGUUUGAAAAACUGGGUUAUAUGAAUUGUUAUUGAGUAUCCACAAUUUAUAUUAAUUGCUUCCGCUGCUGGGUGUUGAUGCUCAUAGAACAAACGGGUAUGUCUCCUGAACAUUGAAUUGAAAUUUGUUUUUUAAUCAAUCUUAUCUUGAAUUUCAUUAUGUUCUACAGCAUGAUUCGAAUAGUGAGCAUAAAAAUAUGCUUAUUUAUGCUGAUUAGUCCUAUGUUUAUGCGUUUUUCUCUAACCAUCUAUGGAAGGGAGUUCUUCGAUAAGAACCUCUGCAGAUUUCACUUGUUUUAUGCAGAAAGUUUUAUGAAGAACUGUUCAUUUGAUAAAGAUCUGCUAAAACUGUGUUCUUAAAUGGAAAAAUCUUUUAUUCUAUAUGUGCUUAUCAAUUCUUCAUUGUUAAGAUUAUAUAUAUGGAUAAAAGGUUUUGAUGAUAUGAUGUACAAAGGAUUGUGAGAUGAAAUCUGGAACUCUAAACGUUCUUCUGUGAUUCAUUGUGAUUUCAUUGUGCUACAGUGUCUGCAAUAUCAAUGAAGACUCUGAAUUUGGCUAACAUCCCAAUUCUUACUGGUGGGGGAAAUUACAAGAAGUGGAGAAGGGAAAUCAGUUUGCUGUUGACUCUAAACGAGUUUGAUAUAGCAAUCGAGAAUCCCAAACCCGUGGUCAAUGAUCAGAGCAGCACAAGGGCUGAAAAGGCAGAUUUUGAGAGAUGGACAAGGGCUAAUAAGGUAGCAUUGUCCAUCCUUGAGAGUGGCAUGACUGAUACAAUCAGAUGAGGAAUUAAGAAGCACGAUUUGGCUGCUGAUUACCUAAAAGCUAUUGAAAAGAAAUUUCAAGAAUCUGAAAAAGCUGAAGUGAGUCAGUAUAUGUCUUUAUUAACUACUUACAAGAUGGAGGGUACAAGCUCUAUAAGGGAUCACAUAAUGAAGAUGACAUAUGCUGCAGAAAGACUCAAUGCAAUGGAUAUAAACAUAGGUGAAAAGCAGUUAGUAUUCAUGAUUCUUCAAGCACUUCCCAGUAAAUAUAGUCAGUUGAAGAUCUCCUACAAUACUCAAGACAAAAACUGGGAUAUUGAUCAGUUGAUUGCACAGUGUGUGCAAGAAGAAACUCGUCAAAAACAAGAAAGAGGCAAAGAAGUUGAGGACAUCAACUUUGUGCAAACUAUAAAUGACAAAAAGCAGUUCAACAACAGAAGCUUUUCUGGUUCUGGUAAGAGUUCUAAGCCUUUUAAAACUUCUAAUAAGUUCAGUAAUUCUGCUAAAGUAGUUGACUCCCCUAGAAAAUCUAUCAAGUUUAAAGCUAAACCUAAAGAUGUGUCUAAAUUAAAAAUGUUUUUGGUGCAAAACUAAGGGCCAUUUAAAAGUUAACUGUGAAAUUUUCAAAGAUUAUGUAAAGAGCAAAGAAAAGGAACAAGUACUUGUCUGUAUUGAAUCAAAUUUGUGAAGUAUACCUGUUGAUUCUUGGUGGUUUUGAUAUACCGGAUGCUCAGUGCAUAUAACUAAUUCUUUAAAUGGUUUUCAAAAACAAAAGGAAUUUGGAAAUGCUACAUAUAAUGUUUUUGUUGGGGAAGGAACUAAAGUUGCAGUAGAGUCAAUUGGGAUAGUCAAAUUAGUCUUAUGUUCUGGUUAUGUUUUAGAGUUGAAAGAUGUGUGCUAUAUGUGCCUAAGAUGAGAAGAAACUUAAUUUCUGCCCUCUAAAAUUGUAAAAGAUGGUUUUUCUUUUCUUGGUGAUGAUGAGUGCCUCAAAAAUUUUCAAGAAAAACUGUCCUUGUCCUAACACUAUUUUAGGGACUGCUUUUUUGUCUGAUAAUUUAUGGAAUCUAAAUUGCACUGUUAAGGCACUCAAUCACACGAUUUUCAGCAUUAGUACUAAGAGAAUGAUAGGUCAGGAUACUUCAUACAUUUUAUGGCACAAAAGACUAGGACACAUCUCUAAAGAAAGGAUAAUUAAGCUGUAAAAAACUGACUUGAUUCCAAAAUUAGAUCUUUCUACUGCAACUGAAUGUGUUGACUGCCUAAAGGGUAAAAUGACCAAUUUUAGAAAAACAGAUGCCAAAAUGAGCCAGGGGUUACUUGAAAUCAUACACACUGAUAUCUGUGGUCCUUUUCCAGUUAAGACAAUAUGUGGAAACAAGUAUUUCAUUAAUUUCAUAGAUGAUUUUUCAAGGCUGGGAUAUACCUUUCUGAUUAAUGAAAAAGCUGAUGCCCUUAAGUGUUUUAUAAUUUACAAAACUGAGGUUGAAAAACAGUUAGGCAAGGUUAUUAAAAUUGUUAGAUCGGAUAGGGGAGGUGAAUACUUUGGCAGGUACACUGAAUCCGGGCAGCAAAAGGGACCAUUUGCUCUCUAUCUCGAGAAGAAUGGUAUUGUGGCGCAGUACACCACACCUGGAACGCCUCAACAGAAUGGUGUUUUUGAAAGAAGAAACAGGACUCUUAUUGGUAUGGUUAGAAGCAUGAUGUCCAGAUCAAAAUUGCCAGGAUUCUUGUGGGGAGAAGCUUUGAAAACAGCUAAUCAUAUAUUGAAUCGAGUUCCAAGCAAGGCAGUAUCUACCACACCCUAUGAGUUAUGGCAUGGGAGAGUUCCUAGUUUUACUUAUUUCCAUGUUUGGGGUUGUAAAGCAGAAGCUAAGUUAUAUAAUCCUAAUGAAAGAAAGCUGGAUUCAAGGACUCAGUCAUGUUAUUUUAUUGGCUAUCCUGAGAAAUCAAAAGGAUACAGGUUCUAUAUCCCUCAAGGUCACACUCGGAUCCAAGAGACACACAAUGCAGUUUUCCUAGAAGAUGAAGAUGUCUCUCAUUUGUCAAGGGAAAAUUUCAUAUUUGAAGAGAUGCAUUCAGAUGGUGGGGACCAUGUGACAAUGGAUUAUAAUAUCGGUCUCAUUGUUUCCCAAUCAAUCAUCAAUUGCCAUUGAAGAUAUGAGUGAAGAUUUAGGAGUUCCUGAUGACAACUCUGUAGGAGUUGAUUCCACAACAUAAGCUGCAACAAUUCCUUUUGCAGAAGCAUGUGAACCAGUUGCUGUUCCACCUCCAGUUGAAAUCAGAAGGUCACAAAGAGCUCGGAAAACCACUGCAAGCAAUGACUAUGUGUACUUAUAAGAGACUGAGUUCGAUAUUGGUGACAUUUGAUGAUCCUCUUACAUAUACUCAGGCAACUGAAAGUCCUCAAGCAGUUCUUUGGAACAAUGCAAUGAAGGAUGAGUUAGAUUCAAUGUCCAAAAACCAGGUUUGGACAUUGGUGGAAUCCAACUCUGAAAUUAGGCCAAUAGGCUGCAAGUGGGUAUAUAAAACCAAAAGGGAUGCUGCUGGAAGAAUUGAAAGAUAUAAAGCAAGGUUGGUUGCUAAGGGGUUUACUCAAACGGAGGGGAUCGACUAUAAUGAUACUUUCUCUCCAGUUUCCUCCAAAGACUCCAUGCGAGUUAUCAUGUCUUUAGCUGCCUACUUCGAUCUUGAAUUACAUCAAAUGGAUGUAAAAACCGCUUUUCUUAACGGAGACUUACAAGAGGCUAUAUACAUGAAACAACCUGUUGGAUUUGUUGAAAAGGGGAAAGAGAAUUUAGUAUGCAAGCUCAAUAAGUCCAUAUACGGCUUGAAACAAGCAUCAAGGCAAUGGUACCUAAAGUUUGAUCAAAUUGUCUCUGCAUAAGGUUUUGUAGAAAACAAACUGGAUGAUUGUAUAUACAUUAAGUUCUCAGGUUCCGAGUUCAUCUUCUUAGUACUUUAUGUUGAUGCCAUUCUCCUAGCUAGUUCAUGUCCCCAAUUGCUUCAUAGCAUUAAGAGAAUGCUAAGUGAUAACUUUGAGAUGAAAGAUCUUGGAGAAGCACAUUAUGUACUAGGAAUAGAGAUUGUUCGAGAUAGGAAAAUGAGGCUCCUUGGUUUAUCUCAAAAGGGGUACAUUGACAGAGUGUUGGAGAAAUUUCAUAUGGCAAAUUGCAAUUGUGGUCAGGUUCCAGUCAAUAAAGGUGACAAGUUUUCGAAGAUUCAAUGUCCAAGAUCUGAUUUGGAGGUGAAGAAAAUGCAAGCUAAGCCUUAUGCCUCGUUGAUUGGAAGUCUUAUGUAUGCAACUAUCUGUACAAGGCCUGAUAUUGCCUUCAUAGUUGGUAUGCUAAGACGAUUUCAAGCAAAUCCUGAGAAGCACAUUGGGGGUGGCAGCCAAGAAGGUUCUUCGAUACUUGCAGAGAACCAAAACUCACAUGUUAGUAUAAUGGCCGAACUGAUUCUUUGGAGCUCAGGGGGUAUAUACUCGGAUUUAGCUGGAGAUGUGGAUGACAGGAAGUCCACAGGGGUUAUAUCUUCAUACUCAAUGGAGGGGCAGUUUCGUGGAAAAAUGCAAAGCAAACUAUUAUAGCCACAUCAACUAUGGAAGCUGAGUUUGUAGCCUGUUUUGAAGGCAUGAAACAGGCAGCAUGGUUGAAGAAUUUUUUGACAGAUUUAAAGAUUGUGAAUUCGGUUCAGAAACCAGUAACAAUGUUCUGUGAUAAACAACUCGGCUGUGUUUUUUGCUAAGAAUAAUAAAAGGACUUCAGCAUCUAGAUUUGGAUGGACGAAGUUUCUUAAGGUCAGAGAACAAGUCAAGAAAGGAGUUAUUGAAGUACAGCACAUUAGCACUACUAUGAUGAUUGCUGAUCCCUUGACUAAGGCACUGCCAAUUGGAGAAUUCAAGAAACAUGUUUCUUCAAUAGGAGUACUAGAAGGUUUUGAUCAGUGGGAGUAAUCACGUGUGUGUUAAAGGCUUGGGAUUGCAGAAGCAGAAGUAUAUAUGUGUUUCAAGAACUGUAUGUGCAAUUCUGACAAGCUGAACUAAGGAUGCUUUAUGUUUUAACUUGCUUUAGUUAGUUUGUUAAGGUUGUUUGUGUUUUAAUAAGUGUCCUUGUCUGCUACUCAAUACUUUGGCUUUCAGGUGUUGAGGUACGGAUACUGGACUGAGUUAGAAUUUAGUUUCAUUAGUAACUUUGAAAGAACAGUUUGUCUGUUUUUUAAGUUUGUGGUUAAUGAUGUUAUAUAGUCAAUUACUAUGUUGCUUUUCUGUGAAGAUUAAUGUGUGUUGUGAUCUUUUGAAAAGUGGGAGCAUAAUGUUUGACGGUUUAUGUUAGUCAUGAGUCAUAUUUACAAAUUGAAUAUAUGUGAGCCUUGAAUUAAUACUACAAUUUGGUUGUGGUCUGAGAUUCUUGGUUUCUAUAUUUUGAGAUGUAAUGGGACAGUGGUCAUGAUGGUUAAAUCUUAGAUGAGGUUAUGUGAUCACUUCUUAUGAUUGGUGACGGCAAGGUUUGAUCUUUGUCUCAUGUUCAAGUGGGAGAAUGUAAGAAUGUGAACAUGAGAUAAGAUGAUCGGAUAUUAGUUGUUUGAGUCCAAUCCGAAUAAGAAAGCCUCUAAGAAGAUGGAAUUCAGUUCUUGGCAGUAGAGGACUCUAUUGCAGGGAAAAACUGAUUUGAAUUAGGAAGGCUUAAGUAGUUUUCCAUAAGGAUUUUAAUAGGGAAUCCAUAUUCUAAUAUGAGAAGGAUAUGUGUGUACAUAUAUAUAUAUAUAUGGCAAUCUCUUCUCUCACAGGUGUGUGCUCUUUUGGAACUAAGCCCUAUUCUUAGUUUGAGUGAUAAAUACCCUGACAGAGAGAAGAAGAAUUGUUGUGCUUUUCAGGUUGAUCGAGAUCCACCAUGACUGCAUCAAACGGGAGUUCUACAGGUUAGUAUAAUUAGGUUUAUUUGGAUUGAUGUUUUGUGUCUACUUGGUUGUAGUUUAAGUAACUGAAUCUUGCAGCUAGAUUUUGGUUUACAUAUUUUUCGAUGUAGGCUUUAUCCACGGUGUGAGCUGCCGGCCUGACGCGGAGUUUGGUAGGGGAGGGGAAUUUGAAGUCUACGAUUUUUUGGGACGUUGGCGGGCAACAGUUGGUCGGGACUGCUCCACUUGGAAAGUCCGCAGCUCCGCAUUUGGCUAGGUCAGGCGGCAACACUGGCUUUGCAACAGCGAAGGGGUCGCUGCCAAGACCAACCACUCCGGCUUUGCAACAGCGAAGGGGUCGCUGCCAAGACCAGCCACUCCACCGUAGAGGCUUCCGAGACCUAUAAGUACAUUUCUUCUGUCUAGGUUUACUAGAGAAGGGUUUUCAUGGUCGUGAUCGUUGGAGCUAGUGGAAGGGUUUUUGUUUUGGUCACUACUAUUAUUUGUGGCUUUGCACGAGACAGCUUGUAAAUUGGAAUGCCUAGGGUUUCCAAAUGAGGAUAUUCGGUGAUACUUUUGGGAGAAAGGGGAGAGAGAAGUUGUGGGGAUGAUACUUGUGGCGGAGGUGACGAGUGGAGCUGACAUAGAAGCCAUGGUACUUGACUCUGAAUAAUACGUUGUAUUGGCUUUGCUUUUAUAAUGUGUUCUAGGUUUUACGUUUCUUUGCACGGGUGGCAGGCCGUACACACGUGGUCGGUCCUUAAGGGUUUGACGAGGAAUACUACGCAGUCAUUUAGUACAUGACAACCAUACACUAUAGCACGUGGCAUGUAUUUAGAGAUCGAGAGAGAAUUGGGUAAGGUUCACGAGGGAUUGUAGUUUCAGAAGGUGAAUUGGUUUUGGUCUUCUUGUGUACCAAUAAUUUUUACUUAGUCAUUUAGUGCAGGACAACCAUGCACUAUAGCACGUGGCAUGUAUUCAGAGAUCGAGAGAGAAUUGGUUGGGUAAGGUUCACGAGGGAUUGUAGUUUCAGAAGUUCAAGCGGUUUUGGGCUUGUUGUGUACGGCUGUGGGUCUGCUGUCACGGACUCUCUGUCUCAUUUGUGUCUUAUUUUUUAUUUUUUGACACGUUUUAACGUCAAAUCAUUAUAGCAAUGUUAUGCAAUUGGGAGCUAAAUGACCGAUGCUCUUAUUUUUUAGUUUGCUUUUUUUCCAGAUCUGAUCAAAUCAUGAUAGCAAUGUUAUGCAAUUUUCAAGAGGGAGAGAUGCACCUGGGAGAGAAACGGUACGGUGACUUCUAAAUCACCGUCCAACAGAACAAUUCUCAGUAGAGACUACUAGAGAGAGAUGCACCUCACCAAUGAAAAAUUUAACUGCAAAAAUUCUGGGUAUCGGGAGUUGUGGGGUGGGUCUUGGCAGUUUUCUUAUUUCUUUGAAUUUUUUAUAAUUUAUUUUAUAAAAGUAACAGUGUUUUGUGGGGGUUAAAUUGUAAAACACGUGUCAUCAAACUAAAUAAAGAGACACCAAAGAGACAUGGAAUUCGGGACAACAGACCCACAGCCGUUGUGUACGGAGGCAGACUCUCUGCUCUCCUACUUUCUGUGUCCUCCUGUUUUGUGUAGUCACGAUUAAAUCACGUCAAUAUUUUAUAUUAUUAUUUUAUAGAUAUAAUAAGACAAAAAAGAAUAGUAAUUUAAAAUAUUAACGUGACUUAACUGUGACCACACGAAUAGGAAGGCAUGAGAAGUGGGAAGGCAAAGAAUAUGCCUCCGUUGUGUACCAAUAAUAUUAUAUAUAUAUAUAUAUAUAUAUAUAUAAUUAGGAUUGAAGGAUGUAGAGCUUAUUUUGUUAUGUAUUCUAACAAUUUAAGUGCUUAUCUUUUAGGUUUUCUCUUAAACAGCAUGCCUAUAAAAAAUCACCAAAAUUCAAACCAUAUGACCAUUAGAUCCAUAGUCAUUUUAGUGUUAAAUGAACUUCACAAAAUAAGUCUCAAAAUAUGUAUAAAAAAUGGACAGCGUGAAUGGUUUGGAAAUUGGAAUAGGUUUGGAAAUUGUGCUUUUUGUAGCAAAUUGCAGCAAAGUUUGCUUGGACUUUCACAACCGUAUAAAUUAAACUGUUCGCUUUGUUGGGAAAAACAAGUUUGCCGCUGGUCUUGGGUUCCAAGAUCGGCCAAUUUGACGGCACACUUUUUGGCGUUGAGAAGCAGUACGGAGAUGUGCAGAUUAACUUGGAUUGAUACUCCUCCAUCUUCGUUGGUUCGUGUAUUGAACAAAGAUGGCCUUCCUUGCCCUCCUUAAUAUUUUUUGUUCUUCCUGCAGUGGAGGCGGUGACGCCUUGCUCUUGGUGCAGCGUCUAGUGUUCUGUACCCUCCUCUUCUGCAUAUGUUUGUAUUUCCCCUCGUUGCCCCUUCUAAGUGGGCUUCCUAUUGUUUUGGCUUCGGCCCUGGUUAUGAAAUAUUUCCAAUCUUACCCAAAAAAAAAAAAAAAAAGAAGAAGAAGAAGAAGUCAAGCACGGUGGGAGACUGGUCAUAGUUUCUAGAUUGAUGCUCUAAUUCUAAUGUUAUACAACGCGUACGCUAAAAUAUUUUUAUCAAAAUAUUAGUUUUAGUGUUAUCAAAACAAUAAUGUUAUUCUUACCAUGUUUUUGUAUCACAAUUAUAUACCACCUUAGAUGGCAUAUGAUGUAGAUAGCCACAUCAUUUAAAUUAAUAAGCAUUUAAUUUCAAAUGUUAAUCAAUAAUUAAUAAAAUGAUUGUUAAUUAAAUGAUGAUUAUGGUAUACAAGGAGUCUCCUUCUUCCUUCCCCUUUCCAUUCUGCUUUUUCUUCCUACCACUUUCUGUUUUUUUUUUCAUGCCAGUUUUUGUAUUGAUUUCUAUUGAUUUCCAUGAUUAUGGUCAAUCUUUAUAGAAUUUACUCGUAUACCACAACCACCAUUGAUUUCUAUCUCUAGACUCAUGCCCCGUAGCCCUAAUCCUCAUUCCCCUUCAAGUAUUUCUGUCUCCAAUCUUCUUUGGUACUCCAUGGUUGUUCAUCUCGUGAUUUUUUUUUAUUAUUUCAUUAAGUAACGCCUAUUAGCUUUCAUGCGAAUUAGGAGUCAAAAUCAAAUUUGUCUAUCGGAUUAGGGUUCAUGCCCAAUUAAGUUACUAACGCAAGAGAGAUUUUGAAGUCUACAAUUUUCCUUAUUUAAGUGUUUUAAUUAAUAAGAAAAUUGAAAUUAAACGAUUUAGCUUGUCCAACUCAUCUGCCACCUAAGAUGGUAAAUAAAUGUGGUAAGAAUAGCAUUACUCUUAUCGAAAUUACAAAAAAAAAAAAAAAAAAAAAAAAAAGCUGAUUCAAUAUUUAGUUAUUAAAAAAAAUAUAAAAAAAGUGAUCAAGUAACUAUCCAAUACCCAUGUAUUGGGUGCUUUGUUUGAAAAUUUUCAAAAUGAUAUUGGGCUCGUUUGGAUAUGUUUUUAAAAUGACUGAAAGCGUUUUUAGAGAAAAUAUUUUUUUGAUUCCAAAAGCACUUAAAGUGUUUUCUGCAAAAAGCACUUAAAGUGCUUUCUGCAAAAAGCACCAGUUAUGUGCUUCUUCCUAGAAGCACUUUAAGUGUUUUUCAAGCAUUUACUUGCUUUUUUACUAAGGAUUGGUUCCAAAAACAUUUUCACAAAAAGUGUUUUCAGUCAUUUUAAAAGUACAUUCAAACGAGCUCAUUGUUUUUCCUAUUUUAAUCAAGUGCGUCGUCCCCUGUUGAGAAUGAAUCUCAUAUUAUGGGGAGAGGGGUCUUGCAUGGAUGAGAGGAGGGACCUUGCAUGAGCUUAUAAGUAAGUUGGGUUACUCUCUAUAUUGCCAAGAGAAAUUUUAUUUGGACCUACUUUUCCUCUCUCUAAACCCAACUUUAAUAUUUUGUUACCUAAACUCUCUAGUUUACCCUCAUAAAUUAUAAACAUAAAUAAACUGGAAAAAGAAAAACUCAUCAAACCUAUUUCCCAACUGUUCUGGCGUCUCUUCCCUGUAUUUGUUGGGUCUAUCUCCCUCCCGACUGUUUUUUUUCCCUGAUAUUCUCUGUGUGUUCCCCCACCUCUCCCACACCCACCGAUUCUUUGUGGUGGCUAUUCCACCCAACGUCCAGUGAAUCUUUCCAUUUUUCUUCUAUUGCGCGUGAUAGGGCCUUGCUGUUAAUAGGCAAAACUAAGCGGCAUCGUCGACUCUGUAAGCGACUUGUUGCAGAAGUCCAAAAUGGAGUCAAAAGGAUUUUGUAUUGGGUCGGGUUGUUGAAGGCGAUGGCUGAUUUAGCAAUCUCGCCUAACUACUUCUAUAUGCAGGAGAAGGAAGAGGGAGGAAGGUCUAAAGUGGUGGUUGAGUGGUGGCGAUGUAUGUGGGUUCUAUCUCGGUUGAAUGGGUGUAGAAAGAUAUUUAAUUUUCAGUUUCUUAUUUUAUUUUGUAUAAGGGAUAAUAUCGGAAUUACAUAAAAAGUUUUUUUUAUAGCUGGGUGUAGAAAUAGUAUUGUUGGGUCUAAAUAAAAUUACCCUAUUGCCAAACAUAGUAUUGUUGGGUCUAAAUAAAAUUACCCUAUUGCCAAUUAGCUUUGUUUGAAAAUUUUCAAAAUGAUAUUGUUUUUACCAUUGAACCCUUGUUAUAUACAGUGAUGGCUAAUUUGUCAAGUUCUACGAAGUUGGGAUACCCAGCGUUUUAGCAUAUAACAUAACUUAGUAUUACAAGCAUAAUUAAUUAAAAUAAAGGAAAAUGAAGAGGAUAGCUUAGUAUUACAAGCAUAAUUAAUUAAAAUAAAGGCAAAAGUAACAGCCUGUCCCUAAAAAUGACGAUUUUAUAAUCUUAACACGUGAGUUUAUGAAGAUGCCCUUCGAGGCAAAGUGUUGACUUGUGUUGACUACCGCAUCGUGUCAUGUGAGACUCAUCUUCUUGGCGUAUUCUCGUUUUACUUGUCACUACGGACGCAUGGGCGCAAACGGGACAUGAUUUGGAGCUAUAACGAAUGAGUUAUUAACAUUUAAAGUUAAGGACAUUUUAGUAAAUUAAUUAAUUUCAGAUUAUGUUGAGGGGAAAAUCUGGAGUGCCGGUGGGUGGCCCAGAUUAAAGGAAAUGAAGAAUGGAUGGUGGAGGUGUAAAGGAAAGAAGAUAAAAGAAAAAUGAGAGGAAGUGUGUGACUAAUAGGGAGAUGAGAGAGUUAGGAUGGCCCAAUCAGAAACAAACGAAAGGAGGAAAAAGGAGAGAAGAGGGGAGCGGGGGAUCCCUUCGACCCGGUUCCAUUUUCCGACCCGACCCGAUCCUUUUCAUCUUCUUUGAUGGUUUUUCGUCGGUUUUUUCCGACGAACCACGUUAUCUAACCCCUUGGAAAAUGUUCCACAACCUUCCCUCAACUAUUACAAUCCAAAAUUGUAGAAAUUUAGCCAUGAAAGUAUGAAAACCACACCGGUGGGUGCGGGAAACCCUUGUCGUCGAUUCUCCCAUUAUUGCAACGAUUUUCACCAAUUACCACCACCUACAACAUCCUCUUGAGGUCUGGAAUAAAGCCCAAACAAGUUUUGCACUACUACAAUAUUAGCUUUAGAUGGCAGAUGAUGGUGGCGGAUUUAGAAAAAUAUUGUCGGAUAAAUUAUAUCUGACACAUUAUUUAAUUAGUGGUGAAUAUAAGAAAAAUCAUGUCGGUUAUAACCGACAUAAAUUCGUGGCAGAUACUAGCAGAUAUUAAAAAACUCAUGUCGGUUAUAACCGACAUAAAUUCCUAGCGAAUAAUUACUGACAGAUAUUAUAAAACUUCUGUCGGUUAUAACCGACAAUAUUUUUGAAUUGGGGGAAUUUAAAAUUUUGGGAGGGAAUUUAAAAUUUUGGGAGGGAAUUUAAAAUUUUGGAGGAAAUUUUGGGGGGAUUUUUACCCAUAUUAAUUCAUGGCGGAUAAUUACUGACGAAUAUUAUAAAGCUCAUGUCGGUUAUAACCAACAAUAAUGAAAAUGUUUAUGUCGAUUUUUAUUAAAAAAAUGUUUCUGUCAGUUUUAACCGACAUUAAUGAAAAUAUUCCACAGUAAAACCCCUACUUCUUCUCCUUGUGCUGGUGCCUUCUCCCUUCCCCCUUCUUUCCCCCUUUUCUCUUCUCCUCAUUUCCUUUUCCUUUGUAUUUUUGAUUUUGACAAGGUCUCUCCUUUAUUUGAUUCUUUGUUGUUCAUCUCUCACAAAUGUAGAGAGAGUAAAGGAGAUGCUUAGAGCGCUUUCUUUGUUCCUUUUUUUUUUCUUUUCAUUUUUUCCCUUUUCAAACUCCGACUAUGUCUUACAUGGCCGGUCCCAAGCCCGGAUAAAGGAGGAGGGGGAGGGCGUCAGGUAGUCGACAGCCGGCACUCCAUGAUCACGUCGAAUCCUUAUGAAAAUGAAUCCAGAACAAAAUCGCGCUAAAGCUAGGGCGCCACCCGUAAGUGGCGCGCUGUGUGGCCCGAGCACAGUGAUAAGUGAGCAAGGGUCGCUGUAUCUCCAUCGGCACUCGGAUGCAGUGUUAAAUGAGCAAGGGGGCCAUAGAAACUUCUUUUCGAACGACUCCACUCAAAGUUGUUUGGGAGCAUAUGCUCCUAUCAACUUUACCCGGGACACACAAAAGAAGUACUUUGAUCCUAUUAGACGGGGGAGGGUGAAGAAGCUAGGACAGAAGGGUAGAGUUCAAGAGAGCAAAAUGCGUUUAGGAACGUGGAAUAUAGGAACCUUAACGGGAAAAUCUAUGGAAGUAGUGGAAGUUAUGGUGAGGAGAAGGAUAAAUAUUAUGUGCCUACAAGAAACUAAGUGGGUUGGUAGUAAGGCAAAGGAUCUAGAAAACUCAGGGUUUAAACUUUGGUAUUCGGGCACAAAUAGAACGAGAAACGGUGUUGGCAUCAUCGUGGACAAGACCUUGGUACAAGAUGUUGUAGAUGUCAAGAGUGUAGGAGAUAGAAUCAUGGCAAUCAAGAUUGUAAUAGGACAAGAACUUAUCAAUGUGAUUAAUGCGUACGCACCUCAAGUAGGGUUGGAUACGAGUUCGAAGGAGAAAUUUUGGGAAGAUCUUGGAGACUUGGUGCAAGGAAUUGCUCAGACGGAGAAGUUAUUUAUAGGAGGAGAUUUAAAUGGACACGUGGGCAGGGAGACAGGCAACUAUGGAGGUUUUCAUGGUGGCCAUGGUUUUGGGGAGAGAAACGAGGAUGGGGAAGCUAUCUUGGAUUUUACAAUGGCAUAUGAUCUCUUCUUAGCCAACACCUUCUUUAAGAAGAGAGAAGAACAUGUGAUCACCUACAAGAGUGGGUCGUCAAAAACACAAAUAGAUUUUCUUCUAAUGAGGAAAGGGGAUCGUAUAACUUGUAAGGAUUGCAAAGUUAUACCAGGAGAGAGCGUGGCUAAUCAACAUCGCUUGUUGGUGAUGGAUGUACAUAUCAAAAGAGUAAGACAAAAGAACAAGACUUGGAAGUGCCCAAGGACUAGAUGGUGGAAUCUAAAAGAAGAAAAACAAGUCAUUUUCAAAGAGAAGGUAAUCACCCAAUGUGUGUGGGAUAGAGAGGGGGAAGCUAGCCAAAUGUGGGAUUUCAUGGCUAGUUGUAUCCGAAAAGUAGCAAAAGAGGUAUUAGGAGAGUCUAAGGGCUUUGCCCCACACUAAAAGGAAUCUUGGUGGUGGAAUGAGGAGGUACAAACAAAGGUGAAGGCUAAGAAGGAAUGUUGUAAAGCCUUAUACAAGGAGAGGACCGAUGAAAAUGGUGAAAGGUAUAGAAAAAAAGCGAAGCAAGAGGCGAAGAAAGCUGUCAGAGAAGCUAAGUUAGCGGCUUACGACGAUAUGUAUAAACGACUAGAUACCAAAGAAGGAGAGUUGGAUAUCUAUAAACUAUCUAGAGCAAAGGAAAAGAAGACAAGGGACCUAAACCAAGUGAGGUGCAUCAAGGAUGAGGAUGGAAAGGUUCUUGCUACAGAGAACGCGGUUAAAGACAGAUGGAGAGGUUAUUUUCAUAAUCUUUUCAAUGAAGGACAUGAAAUGAGUGCUUCUUUAGGGGAGUUGAGUAACUCAGAAGAGUGUAGAAACUACUCUUUUUAUCGUCGAAUCCGGAAGGAAGAAGUGGUUGUAGCUUUGAAGAAGAUGAAGCAUAAAAAAGCAAUAGGCCCAGACAAUAUACCAAUCGAAGUGUGGAAACUUUUGGGAGAGACAGGUAUAACAUGGCUCACUGACCUUUUCAAUAGGAUUUUGAAAACGAAAAAGAUGCCAAAUGAGUGGCGAACGAGCACUUUGGUGCCUAUCUACAAGAAUAAGGGCGACGUACAAAAUUGCAUGAACUAUAGGGGUAUUAAGCUAAUGAGUCAUACAAUGAAGCUCUGGGAGAGAGUCAUUGAGCAUAGAUUGAGGCAAGAGACACGGGUUUCGGACAACCAAUUCGGGUUCAUGCCAGGGCGCUCAACCAUGGAGGCAAUCUAUCUCUUACGAAGAUUGAUGGAAAGAUAUAGAGAUGGGAAAAAUGAUUUACACAUGGUCUUUAUAGAUUUGGAAAAAGCGUAUGAUAGGGUCCCAAGAGACAUUCUUUGGAGGAUUUUAAAGAAGAAAGGAGUACGAGUAGCAUAUAUCCAAGCUAUAAAGGACAUGUAUGAAGAAGCAAAGACUGCCGUAAGAACUCAUGAAGGACAAACCGAAAGCUUUCCCAUAACUGUAGGAUUACAUCAAGGCUCAUCCUUAAGUCCUUACCUUUUUGCGUUGGUAAUGGAUGAGUUAACAGGACAUAUUCAAGAUGAUAUUCCUUGGUGUAUGCUUUUCGCAGACGAUAUAGUGUUGAUAGAUGAAACUCAGGAAGGGGUAAAUGCAAAGCUUAACCUUUGGAGAGAAGUGUUGGAAUCUAAAGGUCUUCGCCUAAGCCGAUCAAAGACAGAAUAUAUGGAGUGCAAGUUCAGUGCAAAUGGAGGCCAAAACGAGUUAGGGGUGAGGAUCGGAGAUCAAGAAAUACCAAAGAGUGACCGUUUUCGUUACCUAGGAUCUAUCUUGCAAAAGAACGGAGAAUUAGAUGGAGAUCUCAACCAUAGAAUACAAGCUGGAUGGAUGAAGUGGAAGAGUGCAUCUGACGUGUUGUGUGACCGUCGUAUGCCACUGAAGCUCAAAGGAAAAUUUUAUAGGACGGCAAUAAGGUCGGCGAUGAUUCAACUUGGCGGGUUCGAGCAAAUAGGCGUUGGGCCAUAUUAGACACAGAACCUGCACACUGAACACUGAGAGCUAGCGAAUCCUUAACAGCUAACUCAUCAGACCGUUUGGAAAGUAGUCUGUUAUCUUUGGGAGUGAGAAGGUUCCUGGCCACCACCGCAGCGGUCAUAUCAUUCUUCAUCACGGAAUCCCCAACGGUAAGAGGACCAGUAGGGGAGACAAAGGAUGGGCGCCAUAUGUUGUCUGGAGAAGGCGGGGCUGCCUCUUCAACAAGGUUCAAGUCAAAAAACGACGGUCGGAGGGCCAGACAUUUUCAAAGGUGUUGAAGAGAGAAGAGGUCGGACACAAAUCAAGAUCUUAGAAGUGCAAGAAUGAAGCUUCUACUGGUGGAGAUUCAAGUGUGCUUUGGAACUUAAUGCCAGCCCCUAUAAAAAUCUGCACUCGACGGAGCUUCAGAAAUCGAAGAGGCGUUUGCUUUCUCAAAAGCUGGGCUGCUUAGAGAUCACGAGGGUUGAUCUCAGGAAUCGAAGAGGCGUUUGCUUUCUCAAAAGUUGGGCUGCUCAAAGACCACGAAGGCCGAUCUCAGAAAUCGAAGAGGCGCUCACUUUCUCAAAAACUGGGCUCCCCAGAGACCACGAGGGCCGAUCUCAAAAAUCGAAGAGGCACCUACUUUUCCAGCCUUGUCAGCACCUGUCACACGCACACUCAGCUUUGCGGAAAUUAUGGGCAUUCUGUCGAAGACUUCUGGGGAAGUAGAAAACACAUGAAUCUUACUGUUCAAUCACCCACUUCCCACACGCAAUAAUAGCUCAUGGGUACCACAGAUAACUUUGCCAAAGUUCUCUGCCAAAGUUGAGCACGUGAAGCUUGCAGCUCCCACUACAUCGCUCUGACCAAGAAGGGUAAAAAGAAUAGCAAAGAAACAGCACUAACAAAGUUUAGACCCAUAAAUUUUGAAGGUCUAGCUACCAUAUUAUUACCCACAAGGGUAAAGGAACAGUACCACUGCUGGAUAAUUGGAAAGUCCCUAUGUGUCAACCUCUGUGCUUCGUGGCAAGGUAGACUAGCAAACAUGCCCAACCUUUACUCACAUUCGAGAAAACACUCCCAAUAAGAUUGCUUGCUCCAAAAUCGAAGAGGCACCGUCCUCCGAAUCUCGAGAGCCAGACUCCCAACAUGACUACUUUCUUAAAAAUCGAAGAGAGGGUAAAGGAACAGUACCAUUGCUGGAUAAUUGGAAAGUCCAUGUGUGUCAACCUCUGUGCUUCGUGGCAAGGUAGACUAGCAAACAUGCCCAACCUUUACUCACAUUCGAGAAAACACUCCCAACAAGAUUGCUUGCUCCAAAAUCGAAGAGGCACCGCCCUCCGAAUCUCGAGAGCCAGACUCCCAACAUGAUUACUUUCUCAAAAAUCGAAAGAGACACUGCUCCCCGAAUCUUCGAGAGCCAGACCCCCAGCAUGAUUGCUUUCUCAAAAAUCGAUGAGGCAUCGUUCUCCGAAUCAAUCGAAGAGGCGCUCGCUUUCUCAAAAGCUGGGCUGCUCAGAGACCACGAGGGCCGAUCUCAGAAAUCGAAGAGGCACUUACUUUUCUAGCCUUGUCAGCACCUGUCACACGCACACUCAGCUUUGCAGAAAUUAUGGGCAUUCUGUCGAAGACUUCUGGUGAAGUAGAAAGCACAUUAAUCCUACUGUUCAAUCACCCACUUCCCACACGCAACAAUAGCUCAUGGGUACCACAGAUAACUUUGCCAAAGUUCUCUGCCAAAGUUGAGCACGUGAAGCUUGCAGCUCCCACUACAUCGCUCUGACCAAGAAAGGUAAAAGAAUAGCAAAGAAACAGCACUAACAAAGUUUAGACACAUAAAUUUUGAAGGUCUAGCUACCAUAUUAUUACCCACAAGGGUAAAGGAACAGUACCACUGCUGGAUAAUUGGAAAGUCCCUGUGUGUCAACCUAUGUGCUUCGUGGCAAGGUAGACUAGCAAACAUGCCCAACCUUUACUCACAUUCGAGAAAACACUCCCAACAAGAUUGCUUGCUCCAAAAUCGAAGAGGCACUGUCCUCCGAAUCUCGAGAGCCAGACUCCCAACAUGACUACUUUCUCAAAAGCGAAGAGAGGGUAAAGGAACAGUACCAUUGCUGGAUAAUUGGAAAGUCCCUGUGUGUCAACCUUUGUGCUUCAUGGCAAGGUAGACUAGCAAACAUGCCCAACCUUUACUCACAUUCGAGACAACACUCCCAACAGGAUUGCUUGCUCCAAAAUCAAGAGGCACCGCCCUCCGAAUCUCGAGAGCCAAACUCCCAACAUGAUUACUUCCUCAAAAAUCGAAGAGACACUGCUCUCCGAAUCUCGAGAGCCAGACCCCCAGCAUGAUUGCUUUCUCAAAAAUCGAAAAGGCAUCGUUCUCCGAAUCUCGAGAGCCAGAUACCACAGACCACUUUUUCAAAGUGCUCUGACAGAGUUAAAACAUGUGAAACUGGCAGCUCCCACUACCGUGCUAUGACCAAGCAGGGUAAAGGAAUAGCAUUACUACUUGUUGUUAGGGAGACUCCUAUAUAUGUCGACCUCCAUCCCCAACGGACAGGCAGACCUGCAAAAAUGCUCAACCCUUCAUCAUAUCUGAGUGGGCACUCCCAACGAAGCCUUUCGAAAUAUUCAGCUUUCUUUCCCCCCGAUAAUACCUCUGCAAACAAGCUAUACUAGAGCAAGAAUAUCUCAUAUCAUCAGGGUUAAAAGCAAGAGUAUCCCAUAUCAUGCUUUUUCCCUGUCUUUUCCUUUGGCCUUGUUUUUACCUGCAAGACAAGGAGAAAGAGAGCAAUCAGUCAGCACUUGGAAUCAAGCUUCCAACCAGGAAAUGACUGCCUGGAACCCCUUACUUGGCAUUGCUCUCGAGUACUCAUCUUCAACAUCUUAUGUUUCCAGGGAAGAUUCUGCAUCUGCUUGAGGAACAGAUAGGGCAAGUGCGAAGGAUACAAGGAAGCAUGCGGAGACAAGCGUAACAGCACACGUGCCGAUACAUCCAUUACUCUGUCAAAAGCAAAAGUAUCCCAUAUCAGCAGGGUGGAACGUACUCUAGAUUUGAUGGACUUGUUUUGACCCUCAAAUUCUUCAGUCGGCCUUAUAUUCUGGAGGAAACCAGAAAACCCUCCAGCUCAGUUCAAGAAUAAGCCUGUGGAAAGUUACUUCUUCAAAAGCAAAAGUAUCUCAUAUCAUCUCUUCUCAUUUUUCUUCUCUCUUUAUCCUUCAUGCUGCUGCAAGAUGGGGAGAAGGUGAACAAUCAGUCGGAGCUCUGAUUGCUUACCUUGUCUGUCACCUCUUUCAGCAGACCCCCUAGCUCGGCGACUUGGGGGACUCCUACUAAAUGGUUUGUAUCGCGCUUGACCAAGCCUGAAACUACAAGUAAGCUUCAAGUGAAAUUGAUACAUUACCUUGUGCAUCUCCACCAGUUAAAGAUACCACCCCUGGAUGGAGGAAGAGUACUUCCAGAGAAGAUGCCACAUCUACCUAUGAGACAGAUAAGGCAAGUCAAGACGACACCACACUCCGAUACUUAGAAGUUUCGUGAUUAUGAGAUCAUUCUCCCACAAUAUUUCCUAAUGUCAUUUGUACUAAAUCAUUCACUUGUACUCACUAAAGGAGAGCUUGAACCUAUGUACUUGUGUAAACCCUUCACAAUUAAUGAGAACUCUUCUAUUCCGUGGACGUAGCCAAUCUGGGUGAACCACGUACAUCUUGUGUUUGCUUUCCUAUCUCUAUCCAUUUAUAUACUUAUCCACACUAAUGACCGGAGCAAUCUAGCGAAGAUCACAAAAAGCGACCGUUUUCGCUACCUAGGAUCUAUCUUGCAAGAGAACGGAGAAUUAGAUGGAGAUCUCAACCAUAGAAUACGAGCUGGAUGGAUGAAGUGUAAGAGUGCAUCCGGCGUGUUGUGUGACUAUCGUAGGCCACUGAAGCUCAAAGGAAAAUUUUAUAGGACGGCAAUAAGGCCAGCGAUGUUGUAUGGCACAGAAUGUUGGGCGGUGAAGCAUCAACACGUACACAAAAUGGGUGUAGCGGAGAUGAGGAUGCUUCGUGGGAUGUGUGGGCACACGAGAAAGGAUAAGAUUGGGAAUGAGGAUAUCCGAGGUAAAGUAGGAGUAGCCGAAAUUGUAGGAAAGAUGAGAGAAAAUCGGCUCCGGUGAUUUGGACAUGUGCAAAGAAGGCCGACUGACGCUCCGAUUCGAAGAUGUGACUACGGGACAGAGGUUCAGGGCCGAAGGGGUAGAGGAAGACCUAGGAAAACUUUGGAAGAGACUCUAAGAAAAGACUUAGAGUACUUGGAUCUAACGGAGGACAUGACACAAAACCGAGCGCAAUGGCGUUCUAGGAUUCAUAUAGCCGACCCCACUUAGUGGGAAAAGGCUUUGUUGUUGUUGUUGUUGUUGUAUUUUUUCCCUUUUCAAAAUCGAAAUGUUCUAAAUUAUUUCACUAAUCCUUGCUAGUUUGAACUGCAGGAGUCUGUCUCUGGAUUUGAAAGAUUAUCUGGACUUACAGUUUUGAAGAAUUGGGAUUCUAGUGUUACACAUAUUAUUGCAUCGACAGAUGAAAAUGAAGCAUGCAGAAGAACCCUUAAAAUUUUGAUGGGUAUCUUGGAGGGGAAGUGGAUUCUGAGUGUGGAGUGAGUUUUACUGUUUUCGUUUUAAUUGUUCUUCCUCAAGUGCUUGGACUUUACAAUUGUAAUGAGUACAGAAGCCGAAAUGAGAUAUUGAUAUACAUGUUCACAUUGCUGAUAAUUCGUUAUCCGUCUGUUUGUGUAGGAAUUAAUGCUUGCACAUAAGUAAUGAAACUAGUUAAUGAGGAGCCUUAUGAAAUCAACGUUGACAUUUAUGGAAUCAGGGAUGGUCCUCGACUUGGUAGACUAAGGCUGCAGAACAAGGUUAGCUUUUCCUCGAGUUUAACUAUCAUCACGAAAACUUUAGAUUUUCAUGGAUUCACCAUAGGCAUUGUUAAUCUUGUUCAGUCCAUAAAUAGGUUACACACUUAUCUUAACAAAGGUGAGACCUUCUCAAUUCCUCAUCGAGAUGAAUCAAGAGCAUAAUUGUAGCAGUGAUCAAGAGCAAUUUUUUUAUGUUUCUUCCAAAUUGUUGAGAUGAAUCAUCUGUGUUUUGUUCUAAUAAUCUUACAAAUUUGUUGAGCAAUUUUUGUAAAGUCAGAAUCUUUGGUUUCGGUUGUGAGGUAUCUGAUUUGGGUAUAUGUGUUUUGCAGGGCACGGUGGUUGUGGCGGAGGAAGAUUAGGAUUGACGACAGAGCUCUGGCCAUGAACUAUCAGCUCUGUCUUUCUCUCUCUAACUAUGAAUUGAAUACAAAAGUCUGUGUUGAUAUGGAAAAUGUAGCUCAAAAUUAUUACACAAAUGGCAAAAAAAAAAAGUUCGAGUGUGGAGUUUCACUUACUGAUACAGGGCUUUUGAAACAGGGUUGUCUAGACUGUAGAAGAAAUCCAUGGCUUUUGGAAGAGGGGAUGUUCCAAAUCUAUCUUUUCUCCCUCUCUAAUGUUCUUCGAGGGGUUCUUGUGAUGCAAAAAGUGGUUUAUAUAUAUUUUUUAUUAUUAAUAAAUUUUCUGUCGGUUUUAUCAGACAAUAAUUCUUUUAUUUAUUCUUAUUAAUAAUUUCUCUGUCGGUUAUAUCUGACACAAUUUCUGUCGAUUUUAGAGUAUUUUCUAUCGAAAAUUUCAUUUCCUGACGCAUCAAUUAUGUCGCUUAUUAUAUCCGCCACUGCACUCAUUUCAUGUCGGAUUUUGCUUAAUUUCCAACAGUAUUAUACAUUUCUUGUCGGUUUUUAAACCGACACUAAUGGGUACUUUUGUAGUAAUGUUGGGGCGUCGGAGUUCGUUUAAGGUCGAAUUGAGCACACCCAAAUUCAAGGGUUCCGUACGGUUCAUGGUAAUUUGAGGUAUUUCUCAGCCAAAUUGUCCUUAGUCACAGAUAUGAAAGUUGCUCCACUCGUUGAGAUCUUCAUUUAUGUCAAAUUUGAGAAUUUUUAGAAAUAAUUGGAUUUUCCAGCGAAUCGGGGCGGCGGACCACCACCGGACAGCGCAUGGCUAGUGGGCCCCCAAUGUCAUUUUACGUUAAAUUGGUAUCUUGAUUUUAGGUUUGAUGUCUAUAUGUUAUGACUUGAUAUGUGAACCUAGUUUAAUUAAGGUGCGUUAAUUGGUAAAAAUAUGAAACGACGAUCCGACCGUGGGAUCGUCACCAAUCUUUAUUAUGUUAUAGUACAUUAUAUUUGAGAAUCAUAGGGACUGACGGAUAGGAAAUCCGAUAUACGGAUCUUCCUGAAAUGGAAUUGUAAGUUCGAAGAAUAAACGUUAACCGCCACUUUGUUUUGACUAUUGGUGAAGAUCCAACCGUUGGAUCAUAAUGAAAUUUUAGGAUGAUGUUUUAGAAGCAUAAUGUGGAUCUUUGGAAGUUAUUGAUUGGAAAUCCGAGGAGCGAAUCUUCCGGAUUGAAUUACGUAAGGUUGUGGACCCUACCGUCGAUCGUUGACUGACGAUCGACUUUUGGUCAAUGGGGCUUAAAUCACUCUAAAAUGUUUUUAGGGAUGUGUUUUACGUAAAUUACAUUAUCUAUGGAUAAGAAUUCUGAGAUGUGGUUUGAUAAUUGUCCUGGGCGCCGAUCGUUAGGAACGCUUCGAUGGUUGUGCUAGGAAAUUGUAGCAUAGACUCCAGGUGAGUGAAUCUUUUCCUUCUUAUAUAUAUAUAUAUAUAUAUAUGAUUGACAAUUCCACAAACGUUUAUAAAUUGAUUAUUGCAUAUAACUACUGUAAAUACUUUGAAGUACUUAUGCGAACUACGAAUGGCUUGAUCCCUAUUUAGGGUACGUAUGCAGUCUAACAAGACAUUAAAUGCAGUCAUACAAUAAUUGAGAUUAAACAAUUGAGACAAAGCCUUGUAUGGGGAACUGGGCAAGGUGAACGAAUUUGGUAAAAAUGUGAGAUUUAACCUUCUGAAUUGGUGAUUAAAUGUUGGUCAUAAAUCAAUGUGUAAAGAAUCAAGAAUUUGAAGUAAGGAAACGUAAGUAAUGAUAAUUAAUUAAACUAGUGUCUAGUUGGGCUUGUCACCUAUAAUUAUCCCCAAAAAUGAAUAAUUCGGGAGUAGGGCGUUAUAGCUUCUGCAUUUUUAUGCCACAUUAUAUAUAUAUAUAUAUGUGUGUGUGUGUGUGUGUGUGUGUGUGUGUGUAUAAUUGGAAAUGCUAUAACGUGGUUGAGUAUCAGAUUUCAUCAUGGUUUAUCUAUAUGUAUAUUACCUGCACACAAUUAUUAUGAACACUUUGAAGUGCAAAGGUGAACGCAAGACACCCAGGAAAGUUCAGGUGAGUUUAUGGUAUUAGUUGAAAUGAUGGGGUUAUGGUAACUACAUGUAUGUUUAGGUUGCAAUGAUAGGCAACUCCGACACUGUCGUACAAGUUGCCCAUGAAUUGUAUAUGUUACAAUAGAUAGAGUUAGAGGUCAUAAACCUGCACCCCGGUGUUAGUGCUCCCACCCGUGGCUAGGGCACAGUCUUUCACGAGAUGUUCACCUCUCGCAUCUUACGCUCACCUUGGAUCCAAGGUAGGUGCACAGUCAUGUCAUAAAGACCACUAUAGGUGGUUCCGACUAGUAGAUGACCCGUGAUUAUUCGCACAGUCUUCACGUGAUUGUAGCACUUGAGCGUAUUUAUUUACACCCAGUCCUGUCGUACAGACCACUUUAGGUGGUUCCGACUCGUAUGCAGGUAUACUUAUUGAGCUAUGGAUAAGUCGUACAGGUCACUAAAGGUGACUCCAACUUAUGAGCUAGCAUAUGUGAUGAAAUAUGUGAUGAGCUAGCAUAUGUAAUGAGAUAAGUGAUGAGCUAGCAUAUGUGAUGAGAUAUGUGAUGAGUUAGCAUACGUUAUGAGAUAUGUGAUGAGUGAUAUAAUCAUAAUUGCAUACAUUUUCAUGCCCUUUUAGUUUAGAUUUUUGUUAUCCUUUUGAGUGAAUUUAGUUUGUUUCACUUAGUUUUAUGUUUUUCUUAGAUUUGAAGUGUGAAGAUGAAGAAAGAAGAAAAAAGAGCAUUUUUAGCGAUUGAAAUGAGUUUGGCAUGCUGGAAGCAGAGGCUAUUUGUGCGGAUCAGCCAACUUUACGGAUUAAACUGUACUUCCUUAGAAUGCCAGCUGUUGAGUCUUAUACCAUUGGAAAGAUAUGAAAGUUAGCUUUCAGAGGAAUUUUACGAUUCGUGAUUCCGAGUUUCCUAGAAGACGUUAUAGUGGUUUUUCUACCAGAUGUCUGCCAGCAAGGUUUUACGCGGGAUUUGCAAAGAGAUUCCAGAUUUACAAAGUUUAAUUAAAGGAAACAAGCAGAGAAAAAAGAAGAGGAAGCUUUUAGAAAAGUUCAGGACUAUUCUAAACGGUGCAUAGUUAAUAUAUUUAAUAGUUUAGUGUGCCACAUCAUCAAUAAACUAAUCUAAGUCAGAAGAGAAAUUCAAGAGUCCCAUUCAAGUAAGUAUUCCAGCAGUUUUAUUCAGGAAUAAAGGAGGGCAGACCGUCGGACUUUAGGAGCGGACAGAGAGAGUUUUUGGGUUUUCGAAGGUGCAGAGAAGAGGUCGCAGCAAGGAGUGAAACAGAGUCGCCGAUCAUCUGGGCAAUCCAUCACCAUCGUGUGGAAGUAUUUUAUGUUUUUCAGAUUUUUAAUUAUGUUUUCAGAUUUUAUGAGUAACUAAACUCUUUUUCUAAGGUUAGGAUGAUGCCCUAGCAUGGAUGUUUAUGGUUUGUAAUGUUAUUCAUUGGAUUUCCAGUUUCUUUUAGAUGAAUGCUUAAUCACUGUUUGAAUUGUUACUGUUUGUUUGAGUUCUUUGAUUGAUCACCUUAGGACUUUGCAUCUAGUAAGAUUGGAAGAUGAAUUUGAGACUGAACUAACAAUAUAAUUCAAUUAGCUUCUUGUGGUUAAGUGUGGUAAAUUACAUUAUUGCUUGAAAAAGAAUAAUGGUUUGUUUGGGUCCCUUGUUUUCUAGAGGGUAAAGAGUCCUACUUGUUAAAUUUAUGCCUUAACUAGGAUAGACUGCUUGUUAGGAUAUACGACCUCUGCCUAAACUAGGAGAGAAUCAUUCACAUAAGGAAAACUAUGGUCUAAUAUGCCUGACAAGGACUUAGAUACGGGAAUUAUCAUCUAAAGAAUUGAAAGAUCCAUUGAAUGCAUUGAAACCUAAACUAGAUUGCUUGUGGUUGAUUCCGAAUCCCUAGAUUUUCAUCACUUGCCUUAAAACACAACCGUUUCUUUUCUUUAAUUUCAGUUUUUACUUAAGGUUCUGUUUUUGUUCAUUUAUAAAAUCAUCACAACAAAUUUUUUACAUCUUUGAUUGACUUAUUAAUUAAGAUCGAGUCUAGUUCGUUGUUUGGGUUUGUGUGUCUUUAAUAUAAUUAGAUUUGGUUUAGUUUAUCAAAUUGGAGAUUGAAUUAGAAUCCUCGUGGGAACGAUACUUGGACUUGCAAAACGUUAUAUUACGACUAUCUUGUGCACUUGUAAGUUUACACCAAGUUUUUGGCGCCGUUGCCGGGGACUCUAAUUGAGUCCCCCAAUUUGAUAUCAUAUUCCAUAUCUAAUAAGUAGUUUAUUGUAGAUUAUUCAAUUUGAUUUUGUUUUGUUCUCUAGUUUCGAGUAAGAGUCAUAACUAUUAAGAUAAGUAAAAGUAAUUUUCGUCACUGUUUUAUUUCAGUUUUGUAUCACUGUUUCGACACAGUUUUGGACUAAACUAUUCGAUUUUUUACCAGGAAUAUUGUGUAUCGUUGGAAAGCCCCAGAAGUCUAGUUUUCAACCCAAAAAACAGAUCAAUGAUUGGAUUUUUGAGCUGCAAGAAAUGUACAAAAUACUGAGCAGUGGUCAAACAAGGAGCACAGUCUGGUCGUAUAUGCAAGGUAGACGUUCGUUGCAAUUUGAGUUGAUUCAUAUAGACCAAGAACUUGUGCGUACUUUAAGAGAACAGUGGAGGCAGCGAGUGUGUCAAGAACCAGCCAUGGAGGAAGUAGUUAAUAAUGGUGGAAAUAAUCCUCCACCAUUGCUACCACCACAACCAAGGCUCAUGCGUGAUUAUACAAAGCCAACGGAGUACAACGCACCGUCAUGCAUUGUUUUGGCUCCAAUUGCGCAGCGAUUUGAGAUUCGUCCACAAAUCUUUCAGUUGCUGCCUAUAUUUCUUGGGAAGGAGGAAGAAAAUCCAUACCAUCAUAUCAAGGCGUUUUUCAAGCUAUGUUCCACAUUCACAUUCACCAAUGUUACUGAAGAGCAAAUUCGACUUCGGUUAUUCCCAUUCUCUUUGAGGGAUAAAGCAAGCAGUUGGUUGGAUUCUCUUCCCGAAGCAUCUAUCGACACAUGGACAAAAUUAUCGAAGAAGUUUUUGUCCAAGUUCUUCCCCGCUCGAAGAACCAAUGCUCUGAUCAAUGAAAUCAUGAGCUUUCGACAACAAGAAGGUGAACAGUUUCAUGAAAGUUGGGAGCGCUAUAAGGACUUGUUUCUUCAAUGUCCUCAUCAUGGUUUCAACACUUGGCAAAAGGUUCAUUAUUUUUACAAAGGUUUGAACUCUCAAUGUAGGAGUUUGGUUGAUUCAACGGUUGGUGGAACCUUGAUAGACAAAACUCCAGAAGAUGCCAUACAUGCCUUUGAAACUAUAUGUGAAAAUUCUGAGCAUUGGGAUUUUCCUACAAAAGAUUUGAGAGUUCCAACUGCAUCGUCAACAAAAAAAGGAGGCAUUUAUGAAGUUAAUACAAGGACGGGCUUAGAGGCACAAGUGGCAGCCCUCACCAAGCUUCUCACACCACUUGUAAGCAAGAUAGCCACGCAGCCAUGUACUUUAUGUGCGAGCAUCGCCCAUGACAUGGAAAAUUGUCCAACAAAUGCUAAUCUAGAAGGCAUCCAAGAGGUCAAUGCAUUUAGUGGGAGGCCCCGGAAUGAUCCAUAUUCUAAUAAUUAUAACCCGGGAUGGAGAGAACAUCCAAAUUUUUCUUAGAGAGAUUCACAAAAUAGCAUGGGAUCAUUCACUUCAACAAAGCAAUAUCAGCAACCUUAUCAAGCUCCUCCAAUUCAACAAAAAGACUCGUCUAUCAAGGAUAUGUUAUCUCAACUCUUAAAGAAAACUGAUCGGUAUGAACAUGAAGUUGUGUCGCUUAGACAAAGUCAGACGGUGUUGGAAAAGGCUCGAUCUAAUUUUGAGACUCAGUUGGGACAGAUAGCUACUACUUUGAACAAGCUGGAGUGAGCACAAGGGCAAUUUCCAAGCCAAACUGAAACAAAUCCUAGGAAUCAAAAGCAUGUUCAAGCUGUCACCACUUUGAGGAGUGGAAAGACGAUUGGUAAUAAUGUGGAAAGUUCAAAAAUUAAUAAGGAAGAAGAUGAAGGGGUCAGCACAUAUCGGGCAGCAGCUUGACAAGACAAGCUAAAAAAGAGAAGUAUAUGGGAGAUAUUUUAGAGCAAUUUAGAAAGGUGCAGAUUAAUAUUCCUUUUCUCGAUGCCAUCAAACAAAUUCAAUCAUAUGCGAAGUUUUUGAAGGAACUUUGUACUAACAAGAGACGGUAUGAAGAACAUGAGGAGGUGAAGUUAUCAGACACGGUUAGUGCGGUUCUUCAAAGAAAAUUGCCACCAAAACUUCAAGAUCCUGGUAGCUUUACAGUCCCAUGUGUCAUUGGAGAAAGAAAAUUCGAAAAAGCUUUGCUUGACUUGGGAGCCAGUGUGAAUUUGAUGCCCUAUUCUGCUUAUAAACACCUCAAAUUAGGCGAACUAAAGCACAUAUCCAUUUCUCUACAAUGCACUGAUCGUUCUGUGAAAUAUCCAAGAGGGAUUGUUGAAAAUGUACUUGUGUGUGUUGAUCAAUUUAUUCUUCCUGCUGACUUCAUCAUUUUGGACAUGGAAGAAGCCGAAAUUCCUGGUCGUGACUUGCCUCUCAUUCUUGGCAGACCUUUCAUGGCUACUGCAGGUACGAAGAUUGAUGUUAAAUCGGGAUUAUUAACUAUGACUGUGCAAGGUAUUACUGUAGAAUUUCAGGUCUUCGAAGCAUUGAAGAAGCCCAUGGAUCUUUAUGACUGCUUUCGUGUUGAGGUAGUGGAUCCAAUUAUAAAAAAAAACAUUCAUUGAAUCAAGCAUCUCAGAUCCUCUGGAAGUUUGUAUCUCUCAACAUGGGAUGAGUUUUGAAAAGGCUACCAUCAUUGAAGCAGAACGAGAUCUCAAUGCCGUAACGUCCUACUCUCUUAGAUGCCAGCCCAAAUUUGAAGCGUUGCCACUCACAAGCCAAAAUUGUACCAUCCAUUAUACAACCUCCAAAGCUUGAAUUGAAGCCUCUUCCAGAGACUUUAAAGUAUGCAUAUUUGGUGAUUCAGAGACUCUUCCUGUGAUUAUAGCUGCUGAUCUUAACCAAACAGAAGAGGAAAAGUUGAUGCAAAUGUUGAGGGAGCAUAAAACAGCAUUGGGAUGGAGUAUUGCAGACAUAAAAGGAAUUAGUCCUCAAUUUGCAUGCAUCGGAUAUAUCUUGAGGACAAGUCAAAGCCUUCUAGAGAGGCACAGCGACGUCUAAAUCCACAUAUGCAAGAAGUGGUUCGGGCAGAAGUUCUUAAAUUACUGAAUGUCGGCAUUAUUUAUCCUAUAUCUAACAGCAAAUGGGUAAGUCCACUGCAGGUUGUACCACAGAGAUCUGGAAUUACAGUUGUCAAGAAUGAAAAUAAUGAGCUUAUACCCCAGAGGACUGUCACGGGUUGGAGAAUGUGUACAGAUUACAGAAAGAUCAAUAAUUCAACUCGAAAAUAUCAUUUUCCACUCCCUUUCCUUGAUCUCAUGCUUGAGAGACUUGCAGGCCAUAGUUAUUAUUGUUUUCUUGAUGGCUAUUCCAGAUAUAAUCAAAUUCCCAUAGCUCCGGAAGAUCAAGAAAAGACUACUUUCACAUGUCCAUUUGGAACUUUUGCCUAUCGACGAAUGCCUUUUGGGUUAUGUAAUGCUCCCGCAACAUUCCAAAGAUGCAUGAUGAGCAUUUUCUCAAACUUGGUGGAAAGGUGUAUCGAAGUGUUCGUGGAUGAUUUUUCCGUGUUUGGGUCAUCGUUUGAUCAAUGUCUUCAUCAUCUUUCAUUGGUGCUCUAACGGUGUCAAGAAACCAACUUGAUUUUAAAUUGGGAAAAAUGUCAGUUUAUGGUGAAAAGUGGUAUUGUUCUUGGUCAUGUAAUUUUAGCUGACGGAAUUGAAGUUGAUAAAGCUAAGGUGGAGCUGAUUUCGAAGCUUCCUCCUCCCACUUCUGUAAAAGAAGUUCGAUCCUUUCUCGAGCAUCCAAGUUUUUAUCGCCGAUUUAUUAAAGAUUUCUCGAAAAUCACCAAGCCACUUUGUGAUCUGCUUGCUAAAGAUUCUGUGUUUAAUUUAAAUGGUGAGUGCUUACAAGCUUUUGAGACCCUCAAGAAAGAAUUAACACAAGCCCCAAUCAUAAAAGCUCCAGAGUGGUCUCUUCCUUUUGAAAUCAUGUGUGACGCCUCUGAGUAUGCAAUAGGUGUUGUGUUAGGGCAGCGAGUUAACAAACUUCCUCAUGUUAUAUUUUAUGCUAGCCGAAUUCUCACUUAACAACUUUCAUAUCCCUUAGUUUCCAAAAUUUAAUAUACAAAUUUAGUCUCCCAAGCAUUGCUAUAUUACUUAAGUAUUGAUUAAUAGACUUAUUUCUUAUGGUGACACAUUAUUUAGUUUACAAAUUUAGUCUAUCUAACAUUACUCUUUUGACAUUGUCUUGUCCACUGAUAUAAUUCUAUUUUUCUUGUGAUCAAAACUUCAAAUGUUAGCAAGUCGCACGUAAAGUCGCUUCUGAGAGAAUGUGCUCACAUUGUAGUUGAAAGAUUAUGUGGCUAGCAACAUUACAAAUUUAAUUUGGUAUAAUUUUAAAAUAUAGAUUGAGGAAAAAAAGGAUCACAUUAACUAGAAACUGAAAAGGUUUCGGCGCAAUAUGUUCAAGCAAGAAACUCAAUUUUGAUGCUACCGAUCUUAACAGCCUGAGCGCCGUACCUGGGCACUAAAGUCACCACCACACUCUCAUCAUCUUCAGCACCCAAAUCCUCCAACAGGUCCGUUAACCCCAACCUUAAACAACUCUUGCUCUUUUCCUUCUGCUUAUGUGGCACACUCACAAAACUCCCAGCAAACUCGCUCUUGUCGGGUCCACUCGGUGCCGCAUCCUCAUCAUCCACGUCAUUCACAUACACAUCAAACUUCACAGCCACAUCUUUGUCAAGCUCAAUCCCCCGAAUCACCAAUAUCUCCUCCUCAUCCUCUUUCUCCUUCUUGCUCCUCUUCUUCGGCUUCGGCCUUGACACCACCGUAGUUAUCUUCGUCUCCAAAUUUAUUGGAAAAUCUUUACCCGCCACCACCUUCCCCGAUGACGUCGUCUCAGCGGCCUUCGCCACUCCAGCCGCCUUUGCCUUUCUCGCAAGCUUUGUCCGACGUGGCGUCGGUCUAGAGUUGAGCCAUGGAAUCUCAACAUCUUCAUACGUAUACCCUAGCUUUUUAUUAUCAAGAGUGUCCCUCACCGUGACCCUAACAAGCUCAGCAUUCUCGUCAUAAAACAAAAACCCCGUAUCCAACCAAUCCUUAUCGUUAAUAUCUUUAUUUUUAGUCCCUAUACUUUUCCAAAUAUUCCACAUUCGAUCCAGAUUCAAAUGGUGCGCAAAAAAUAUCGGAUCCCUUGCAGUGGAGUAAAAAUUCCCCAUGUCUUCAUAAUUAGGUUGCGUGUUAUCUCCGGUCCAUGUAUGAACCGGACCAUGUGGGGUCUGUUCGAUUGCACCGGCCCCUGGAUCUGGUUCAGUGCCAGCCCUGUAGGGCGAACCAAAGAACAACAGCGGUUUCUUGGAGUUGGAAACCAUCUGCCUAUACAUGAUUUUGAGGUUGGCUUCGAUUUGAGCAUCCUUGGACAUUGUUUCAUCCGUGCCGUUGAAGUCAAGAUCGAUGAGAGUUGGCGGCUGAUGGCUGGCAGCGCGGAGCUCGUCGUAAAGCGGAGAGUCAGGGUUAGCGUACAAGGCAGGGAGUUGCAUGCCAGCUGGCGCGUCCCAGUUCCAAAACGGCAACGCGAAGGUCGGAUCGUCUAUGAGUUUGGCCAAGAUUCUUUCGUGGAAAUAUAGGUAGUAACGAUGGAAGGGGAAGAAAAGCCAGGAUUGAUGGAUUUGGAGCUCGAGGUUGGGGAAGCCGACUUGGUCGUACGCACCGUUACAAUAGGCACAGUGGACAUCGGCUUGCUGGGUGAAGCUACGCGGAUCGUCGUCCGGGAGGGCUUUCAUGAGCUCGAUGGCUUUUGAGUAUUUUUCGAUGUAGGCUUUAUCCACGGC
rnacentral:lncRNA from 1 species